UUUUAUAAACUUUAGGAAAAUUUAGAUUAGAAGAGGAUUAAAUCCAAUGAGGAGAUAUAUAUGUGAUUAGGUGAAGCAAAUCUUUAAGAAAAAAGAUUUUCACCCCUUACAUUUUUGUCAAAUAUCAUAUUUUAUGUUUAGAAUUAAAUAUUCAGUAACUUCAAUUUCUUUAGCACUUUAGUUCUUUAUAUAUGGAUGGACAUGAACAAGUUGAUAUUGUAAAUCACCCGAGAAAUUUUAGCAGGUAGCAGCCAUGGACUUUCUUGUUUCACCUCAAACUAGUGCUAUAGCUGCAAUUUUAAUCACUCUCUUAAUCAUUCUAUACACGUCGUUGUUAGUUUCAAGAAAUUUGCUUAGCAAAUACACAAGCAAGAAGAAGAGGGAAGCACCGGAGGCUGGGGGAUCAUGGCCUGUGAUUGGCCAUCUACACCUCUUAGGAGGGCCAGAACCUCCUCACCGGGUAUUAGGCAAAAUGGCUGACGAGUAUGGACCAAUCUUCAAAAUCAAGAUGGGCAUAAAUCGAGCUUUGGUUGUGAGUAAUUGGGAGAUGGCUAAAGAGUGCCUUACUACACACGACAAAGUCUUUGCUAGCCGUCCAAAAACUCUAGCCAUGGAGAUUUUAGGCUACAACUUUUCCAUGUUUGGCUUCAGCCCAUACGGCUCCUACUGGCGUGAGACACGCAAGAUAGCCACACUUGAGCUUCUCUCGAACCAUCGUCUUGGGAAGCUCAGGCAUGUACGAGAGUAUGAGCUGAAGACAUCUUUGAAGGACUUAUACGAGUUAUGGGACAAGAACAAAAGCACUAAUAAGAUGUUGUUGGUAGAGAUGAAGAGAUGGUUCACUGACACAAUCCGUAAUGUCGUUUUAAGAAUGAUUGUCGGAAAGGGAUGCGACUCAGUGGAUGGUGAAGAAUGGAUAGAACUACUGACGAGAUUUUCUGAAAUGAGUGGUAAGUUUGUGGUGUCAGAUGCUCUGCCGUUUCUUAGAUGGUUGGAUAUAGGGGGUGAUGAGAGGUCAAUGAAGAAGAUCGCCAAAGAAUUAGACAUUGUUGUUCAAGGAUGGUUAGAAGAGCACAAGAGGAAGAGAGAUUCUCAGGAGAUUAAAGAAGAAGAUUUAGAUUUUAUGAGUGUGAUGCUCUCGAUCCUGGGUGAUACAAAGCAAUAUUCGGGUCGUGAUGUUGAUACAAUCAAUAAAGCUACUUGCCUGGUAUGCCUCUCUUAAACGAUUUUUUUCUUUUUUUUUUUUUUGGUUUUGAUUUUGAUUUUGUUUCAUUUUAGUUACAUUCUAAGUGCGACGCAAUCCAUCUCUGCGGAGUUCAAAAUCUUAUCCCGCCCCACCCCUUUUUUGUGUUUUAUUAAUUGUUUUUUAUUUUUAUCAACGUACAUACACUAAUGAGGCUCGAAUUCAGGUCUUUAAGUCUUAGGAUAGUUGCUCCUCACCAGUGAAACUAGACCUAUUUCUUUUUACUCAAAAAGUUUUACUUGGCACUUAUGUCUUAACAGAAUAUUAUAUGCUUUUAAAACAUAUUACGCAUAUAAUCAUUCAUAAAGUUGUUACAUCACUCUUCAGGAUGAGACUUCCAGACAAGAGCAGUUAAUUUUGUAGCGUGUGAAUUGAGAGUAUUUAAUUAUGGGUCUUGUUAAGUUACAUAAUAUUUAACUCAUAGCAAAUGCAAAAGUAAUCACCCAUGACCUCUCACUUAUUUCACAUAUUACUAUUUUUUGCGUUGGGUAACUUGUUUUGGGUUGCUUUAUACAUUUAAUUAUAUUCUGCUUUCUCCUAAUCAGUUGAGAGGGCAAAAUAAUUAAUUAAAAAGUCGAUGAAAUCAUCUUCCACUUAUAUAUCAUCGCAUUUGUUAUUUGGGACCUAAAUUUUCAAACAAGUUUUUGAUAAUAUAUUUGUGGAUUUAGGAAAAGUCUUGGGUGAUUUAGGGAUAUUGCUCAUUUUUCAUUCAUUUCUUACUAUGUGUAUGCUUCAAAUUAUCAUGACAAUAUUGAUACACACAUAGAAAAUAAUGAAUGACUAAAGAACAAUGCUCGAAGGGCACUAAAGACCUUCUCGUGAAUUUGAUAUGAUGCAUUAAAUCUAAUUCAUCUUAAUAGUCAAAAGAUGAAAAUGAAAAUCUUUAAGAUGAAUUUAAUUAAGUUGGAUUGUGAAUGAGUGUAACAUAUGAAAGUUCCAAAAUAAUACUUUUAGCCCUACCAAUUUUGCAGGGUCUCGUCUUAGCAGCAACAGACAACACAAAGAUGACAUUGACAUGGGUUAUCUCUUUGCUUCUCAACCACCGUGAUAUUUUAAAUAAAGCUCAAAACGAACUAGAUAUUCUGGUGGGUACGAAAAGGCAAGUGAAUGAGUCAGAUAUAAAGAAUUUAGUUUACUUGCAAGCCAUUCUCAAAGAAGCAAUGCGUUUGUAUCCUGGUUCGCCACUCUUAAUUCCACACAAGUCUAUAGAAGAGUGCACGAUUAGUGGUUAUAAUGUCCCUACCAGCACACAACUUAUUAUCAAUGUUUGGAAGCUUCAACGUGAUCCACAUGUCUGGGAAGAGCCUUGUAAGUUUCAGCCAGAAAGAUUUUUGACAAGGCACAAGGAUAUUGAUGUCAGAGGACAAAAUUUUGAAUUGUUACCUUUUGGUAGUGGUAGAAGAACUUGUCCUGGAGUUUCAUUUGCCCUCCAAGUUAUGGAAUUUACACUUGCUUCUUUACUUCAUGGCUUUGAUUUUGCAACCCCAUCAAAUGAACCGCUGGACAUGGGAGAGGGACUCGGGUUGAGUAUCCAGAAAGCUAGACCACUUGAAGUACUCAUUGCUCCACGUCUUUCUGCUUCUUUGUACGGCUAGAUUGGUUCUCAAUGCAAUCAAUCCAAUAAACUUUUAUAACAAGUAUUCACGUAUUUGUUUGCUUGUAUACUCUUGCUUAUUAUGCCUUCUUUGUAUUCAUUAUUAGACAUGAAUAUCUAUUGUUAAAUAAAGUUUUAUCAUGGCUAAAUUGUCAGGUGAUGACUAUCGGGGCAUCCUAUGGUGUUCAAUCUGAUGUGUUUGUCUAAAAUCAAUAUAUUAGGUAAGCAAUCUUAUCGGGACUCAUUUUAAUUAACAAAGAGCCCAAAACUAGUUAUGUCAAUUAGAGUGCUAAAAAGGUGACGAUGAUGAUUUUGAUUUGAAUAUUGUUAUUUUUUUUGGAAAUGGAUUAUUUUGUUGAUGAUGAUGAAUCCAAUUAUGAUUAUUUUUAUUUUUAAAUGGAUUAUUAUUUUGUUCAUGAUUUAUUAUUAUUAUUAUUAUUAAUGAUAAAUUAUAAUUAAUUAAUAUAGUAGCAAUAAAUGAAUAUAAUUAAUUAAUAUAUUAACAAUAAUAAUAAUAAUUAUUAAUUAUUAAUAACAUCAUCAUCAUCAUCAUCAUUAUUAUUAGGAAGGACUUUUUAGUAACUUGAUACCAUCUAAUUCAUUUUGAUUUUGAUUCGAAAAUAAAGUAAACGCAUUAAUGGAAUCCAGCUCAUUCCGAUUCCAAUUCCUACAGUUUAAUUUACUUAUUCACAUUCCUAUUCUCCAUUCCGAUUCCCGUUUAGUAAACAUAGCAUAAGUUAAAUACAUUGGUUGUAUGGUGCACGUUGAGUAGUAUUCUUUGUUAGGAGGCAUGAGAUCUGAUCAAUCGUUUGGAUUUAAUUCAAUUUGUCAACUGAAUAUUAUUGACUCACAAAUUCUUCCUAACAAAUUGAUUUGAGAACUUUAUUGCUAAAUCAUGAAUUUCUGAAUAGUUUUUCAAGAAUAAAAAAUUGCUCGAAGAUCAGAAUGUGUAAAAGAAAUACAUAACGGGGAUUUAACUCCAUUUGUUCUACGUUAAACUUAGUUAGUUAGGAGCCAACGCGAUGUGUUCUGUUUAAAUAAGGAAAGCUAAGAGUAAAUUUGAUCUUGGCCAUACAUUUAAUUACAUGACAUGUGUCAAAAUCUUUUAUAAACUUUAGGAAAAUUUAGAUUAGAAGAGGAUUAAAUCCAAUGAGGAGAUAUAUAUGUGAUUAGGUGAAGCAAAUCUUUAAGAAAAAAGAUUUUCACCCCUUACAUUUUUGUCAAAUAUCAUAUUUUAUGUUUAGAAUUAAAUAUUCAGUAACUUCAAUUUCUUUAGCACUUUAGUUCUUUAUAUAUGGAUGGACAUGAACAAGUUGAUAUUGUAAAUCACCCGAGAAAUUUUAGCAGGUAGCAGCCAUGGACUUUCUUGUUUCACCUCAAACUAGUGCUAUAGCUGCAAUUUUAAUCACUCUCUUAAUCAUUCUAUACACGUCGUUGUUAGUUUCAAGAAAUUUGCUUAGCAAAUACACAAGCAAGAAGAAGAGGGAAGCACCGGAGGCUGGGGGAUCAUGGCCUGUGAUUGGCCAUCUACACCUCUUAGGAGGGCCAGAACCUCCUCACCGGGUAUUAGGCAAAAUGGCUGACGAGUAUGGACCAAUCUUCAAAAUCAAGAUGGGCAUAAAUCGAGCUUUGGUUGUGAGUAAUUGGGAGAUGGCUAAAGAGUGCCUUACUACACACGACAAAGUCUUUGCUAGCCGUCCAAAAACUCUAGCCAUGGAGAUUUUAGGCUACAACUUUUCCAUGUUUGGCUUCAGCCCAUACGGCUCCUACUGGCGUGAGACACGCAAGAUAGCCACACUUGAGCUUCUCUCGAACCAUCGUCUUGGGAAGCUCAGGCAUGUACGAGAGUAUGAGCUGAAGACAUCUUUGAAGGACUUAUACGAGUUAUGGGACAAGAACAAAAGCACUAAUAAGAUGUUGUUGGUAGAGAUGAAGAGAUGGUUCACUGACACAAUCCGUAAUGUCGUUUUAAGAAUGAUUGUCGGAAAGGGAUGCGACUCAGUGGAUGGUGAAGAAUGGAUAGAACUACUGACGAGAUUUUCUGAAAUGAGUGGUAAGUUUGUGGUGUCAGAUGCUCUGCCGUUUCUUAGAUGGUUGGAUAUAGGGGGUGAUGAGAGGUCAAUGAAGAAGAUCGCCAAAGAAUUAGACAUUGUUGUUCAAGGAUGGUUAGAAGAGCACAAGAGGAAGAGAGAUUCUCAGGAGAUUAAAGAAGAAGAAUUAGAUUUUAUGAGUGUGAUGCUCUCGAUCCUGGGUGAUACAAAGCAAUAUUCGGGUCGUGAUGUUGAUACAAUCAAUAAAGCUACUUGCCUGGUAUGCCUCUCUUAAACGAUUUUUUCUUUUUAGUUACAGUCUAAGUGCGACGUAAUCCAUUUCUGCGGAGUUCAAAAUCUUAUCCCCCUUUUUUGUGUUUUAUUAAUUGUUUUUUAUUUUUAUCAACGUACAUACACUAAUGAGGCUCGAAUUCAGGUCUUUAAGUCUUAGGAUAGUUGCUCCUCACCAGUGAAACUAGACCUAUUUCUUUUUACUCAAAAAGUUUUACUUGGCACUUAUGUCUUAACAGAAUAUUAUAUGCUUUUAAAACAUAUUACGCCUAUAAUCAUUCAUAAAGUUGUUACAUCACUCUUCAGGAUGAGACUUCCAGACAAGAGCAGUUAAUUUUGUAGCGUGUGAAUUGAGAGUAUUUAAUUAUGGGUCUUGUUAAGUUACAUAAUAUUUAACUCAUAGCAAAUGCAAAAGUAAUCACCCAUGACCUCUCACUUAUUUCACAUAUUACUAUUUUUUGCGUUGGGUAACUUGUUUUGGGUUGCUUUAUACAUUUAAUUAUAUUCUGCUUUCUCCUAAUCAGUUGAGAGGGCAAAAUAAUUAAUUAAAAAGUCGAUGAAAUCAUCUUCCACUUAUAUAUCAUCGCAUUUGUUAUUUGGGACCUAAAUUUUCAAACAAGUUUUUGAUAAUAUAUUUGUGGAUUUAGGAAAAGUCUUGGGUGAUUUAGGGAUAUUGCUCAUUUUUCAUUCAUUUCUUACUAUGUGUAUGCUUCAAAUUAUCAUGACAAUAUUGAUACACACAUAGAAAAUAAUGAAUGACUAAAGAACAAUGCUCGAAGGGCACUAAAGACCUUCUCGUGAAUUUGAUAUGAUGCAUUAAAUCUAAUUCAUCUUAAUAGUCAAAAGAUGAAAAUGAAAAUCUUUAAGAUGAAUUUAAUUAAGUUGGAUUGUGAAUGAGUGUAACAUAUGAAAGUUCCAAAAUAAUACUUUUAGCCCUACCAAUUUUGCAGGGUCUCGUCUUAGCAGCAACAGACAACACAAAGAUGACAUUGACAUGGGUUAUCUCUUUGCUUCUCAACCACCGUGAUAUUUUAAAUAAAGCUCAAAACGAACUAGAUAUUCUGGUGGGUACGAAAAGGCAAGUGAAUGAGUCAGAUAUAAAGAAUUUAGUUUACUUGCAAGCCAUUCUCAAAGAAGCAAUGCGUUUGUAUCCUGGUUCGCCACUCUUAAUUCCACACAAGUCUAUAGAAGAGUGCACGAUUAGUGGUUAUAAUGUCCCUACCAGCACACAACUUAUUAUCAAUGUUUGGAAGCUUCAACGUGAUCCACAUGUCUGGGAAGAGCCUUGUAAGUUUCAGCCAGAAAGAUUUUUGACAAGGCACAAGGAUAUUGAUGUCAGAGGACAAAAUUUUGAAUUGUUACCUUUUGGUAGUGGUAGAAGAAUUUGUCCUGGAGUUUCAUUUGCCCUCCAAGUUAUGGAAUUUACACUUGCUUCUUUACUUCAUGGCUUUGAUUUUGCAACCCCAUCAAAUGAACCGCUGGACAUGGGAGAGGGACUCGGGUUGAGUAUCCAGAAAGCUAGACCACUUGAAGUACUCAUUGCUCCACGUCUUUCUGCUUCUUUGUACGGCUAAAUUGGAUCUCAAUACAAUCAAUCUAAUAAACUUUUAUAACAAGUAUUCACGUAUUUGUUUGCUUGUAUACUCUUGCUUAUUACGCCUUCUUUGUAUUCAUUAUUAGACAUGAAUAUCUAUUGUUAAAUAAAGUUUUAUCAUGGCUAAAUUGUCAGGUGAUGACUAUCGGGGCAUCCUAUGGUGUUCAAUCUGAUGUGUUUGUCUAAAAUCAAUAUAUUAGGUAAGCACUCUUAUCGGGACUCAUUUUAAUUAAUAAAGAACCCAAAACUAGUUAUGUCAAUUAGAGUGCUAAAAAAUGCUGGUCUAGUGUGCAACAUCAGUCACUGGAUCAAAAUCAAUUAAAUAAAAUUGACUAGCCGCCACUUGUGUUAUGUAAUAGCCUAGUGGUACCUUUCCUAUUAACAAAAGUUGACGGAUGUGUGUCAAGACGCUAGUUCGCUUUCCAUAAUUGGUAGGAGUGAAUUUUCUCUCCUAGUAGUAAUGGAGGUAUACAUCUGUAUUAUGUUUAUAAUACAAUAGAAGUACAUUAAGCCCACUAGAUGGUAUAUAUUUCCUUGAAGUGGAGAUAAAAAACUGGACUGUAUUAUGUAGAACUGACUUAGGUUAGUUGCUAUUGGAUUUUAGAUUGUAUAGUCCCAAUAAAAGAUAUAUAUUUCCUCGAAGUGGAGAUAAAAAAUCUAGAUUAUUGUGUCAUAUAUAACUUAUUUAGGUUAGUUACUAUUAGAUUUCAGAAUGCAUAGUUCCGAUUUGAUCCAAGAUCUUGAACUUUAUUAAAGUCCAAGAAAACUAUUAAGCCAUAUAAUUUAAUAGAAUUAUACCAUUAUACGAUUAAACCUCACAGCUUCAUAACUUCCUCGGACUUUAACAAAUUCAGGAUCUUGAAUUGAAAUAUUUCCAUCAUAUUGUGUGUGUAUGUUGUAUAAAGUAAACUUCUAAUUGUAAAGACAUAGAUGUUAAAAACAUAAAACUAUCUGAAUACAUAUAAUUGGUGUCCUUAAUGAUCGUGAUAGAUAAAAUUCUCUAUACUAUUAUUUAAAAAAAAAAAGGGAAAAAUCCAACCGUAGUCUCAAAAUUUGCUUAAAUAGUUACAUAGACUUUCUUAGUUUUAUAAUUGGUCAUACAUCCCUUUGAACUAUUAUGUCUUUUGAUUAUAGCAACCAAAAAUUAACUUUAAAUAAAUUUCUAUAAUAAAUAAAAAUAAGAAAUUAAAAAACGUAAUACAUAAAAACUAAAAAAUUUAUGAAUUAUUUUGAAUAUUAAAAAGUUAUUUUAAUAUCAUUACUCUAUCAUUUUUUUAAUAAUAAUAAAAUCUCUUUGAUAGAUUAAUAAUUUUAAGUUAAUGAUAUUUAACAUUCAAAAAAUUGGAAAAUAUUUAUUACGUUAUUUACAAUAUUUUUUAACUAUGUUUAUAUUACUAUAAAUCUUAAUGUUAAUUUUUGAAUUAAUAGAUUUUGGAAUUAGUAAAAUCAAUCGGGAUAGACUGAUAGUAGUUUAAUAUCAAAAUAAUUUUUAUUAUAUAUAUUUCGUUUUAUUAAUUAUACUUAUUAUAAUAUUUUAUUUGUAUUAUAUGAUAUUUUAUUUAUUAUUUUUAUCUCAUUAUUAUAUAUAUUUGUAUUUAUUUUUAUUAUAAUCAAAGGAUAUAAUAAUAAAAAGGGGUUAUGUGGCUAUUUAUAAAACUAUUGGAGUUUAUAAAAUUAUUUAAACAAACCUUGAGAGUAUAGACAGCUUUUUCUCUUUAAAAUACCCCAUUAUUAUAAUAAAAAAAAUAGACAUGCACAAUAUCCUCGAUUUGUCUUGAAUGUGAUUGCAUAUUAACCUCACCACUGCUGUACUUGGCAGAAGAUUGCAACUUUCUUAAAAACAUUAUUUCGUGCAUCAAAUAUAUCAUCUUUUUUUUCUUUUCGAUACAUAAGGACUUAGGUAAAACUAGCCAACAACUGAACGCGAGUACGCAGUCCCGGAGACAUCAGGUAAUAGCCACCCUUUAGUUCUAGUUAGAGGAAUUGGAAAAAAAAAUGGAUCCCAAGAGGCAAAAAGAGAGUUUAGCUGGUGAGGUAAUCAGCUACAAAAUUGAUUUCAUGAUAGCUAGCAACAGAGAUACCUACUAAUCCCUGUUGAGGAGUCCGUUAAGUCCCUCAUUGGGAUGACUUUUCUUCGUGGCCAAGAUCUCAGUGAUGGACUGAAUAUUAACUUCAACUUAUAGUUGUCAAAUCCCAAUAUUCCAAGCAAGUUGCAAACCUUGAAAUAAACCCCAAGGCUCUGCUCCAGUAAUAGUGCAAUGGCCAAUAUUCAUACCAAAACCAUGAACCCAUUCCCCACAGUAAUUUCUAGUGACACUACAACAAAUAGCUAUGUUACCGACCAUACAUUUUCAAGGGUAUCAUUUACUCUUGGUAAUAAGUAAUUUUUACAAAGGUAUUACACAACCGUCAGAUAAACAUAGAAACUAGUAACUAUUUUUCCGAGGGUAAUUUACCCCUCGAUGAUAAUGGAUGUUUUGUCGGAAAUGCAUGUCGAGAUAAGUCGAAAUUACACUGAUUUUUUUUAAUGGACUGUUUUUUGUUUUGAAAUAAUAAUCAAUAAGAAACCCAAAAAAAUUACUUUAGCAGACGAACGAAAGACAGUGACUACUAUUUGAAACCAUUGCCUAUUUCAAAUAAUAAUAAUUAAGAAAAAAGUCGGUUACAAAUAAAAUCACAAAUCAAUGAAGUUUAUUAAAUUUACCGGUAAAAAAAAACCCUAGAAAUUCUAUCACAAUUCCCGCCGUCAACGACGACCUCUCAUUCACACCGGCACCAACCUCUCAUUCAUGGGGGAACCGAUCUCUCAUUCUGAUAUCAGUCUGUCAAAAUUCCUUUUAUUCGAUUUGCAGAUACGGUCUGAAUCUUCUUAUUGAUUUUCAAUUUCGGCUUAAAAUUAGUCUGGUCAUUUUCAGUUUGCCGGCAAUUUCAGUCACGACGAUGAUGAUUAAACCACAACUGUGGGCUACGGCGACUAAGACGUCGAGCUCAAGGCUCAACAAUCGAUUAAAGAACCAAAUCAUCGGUAGCCAGACGAAGAAGCUCUCGUUCCUCAAGGUUGAUGUCGUUCUCGCCGUUUGCAGAAGCUGUAUCGGCUGAUAUUACCGCCUAGCAGGUUCACUUGUGGCUUCGAAGCCAUCCAAGCCAUGCUAGACGCCGGCCUAUUUCCUGAUUUGUCUCUGAUCUUUUCUCGUAGAGAUGAACAGGUGAAAUUUCAAAUCUAUAAUCUUUCUCUUUUGGUUUUAUUGUUGCAUAUUUUUUAAAUUUUUAAUCUUUUUAUUACUGAUUUGGGGAGCUUAGUGUUCAAUUUGUACUAUCACAGAAAAGGAUCCUGUGAUAUUUAUUUAUCUAACAUUUACAUUUUAAUGUUCAUUACUGAGUAAUGAUCUAUGUUUGAGUUUUGGAUCAUCAUCUGCUAACUGAUUGUUUCUUUUAAUUUCAUGAACCAUAGAUAUAAAAUUUCAUAGCUCUUUAGUUAAUGGCUAAGAGCAGAGCACAUCUUAUUUUGAGCCAUAUGUGAUGCCACUUGUUAUUUAUUAAUUAAUAGCAAAGUUAAUAAAAUUUAAAAAAAUAAAAAAAAAUAAUUGAAAGAUAAGAAGUAACAUUUGUUGUAGUACAUUAGCUCUUGUUUAAUGAUUAUAUUUAGUUAAUGGAUUCAUUCAUUAGUUUGUUCAGAAAUUGGAGUUGCUAUAUUUUGAUCCAAAUGAAAAAUAAAAACUUAUAUUGAAGGAUGGAUGGGUGUCAUUUUCCCUUAUAGUUUUUAUAUUGCUUCAUAGAUGAUUGUAUUUAUUUUUUAUGCGAUCAAGCCUCAAUUCUUGUAUCUUUUAUGGCACCAUUUUAAUAGAACUUUUUCGGCCAAAAAACUUAUAGGGCGGCAUACAAAUUUUGCAGAGGUUACUUCGUAGAGCCUAAUUCAAGUUUUCUGUUUUCUUUGACUUUUGACAUGCAAUUCUUAUUUUGACCAUUAAAUGGAAAUUAAUCAUGCAUUUUCUCUGUAGUGUGAUGCUUAAUGCUUUUGGGAUUCAUUUCACUCGUACUCACAAUCAGGCAUAGGUAUACUUCUAAAAUAUUUCUACCUGCAAAGGUUGCAGACACUAUGUUGCUGUGCAAGGCUGAGGCUGGUGGUAUGCACAUGAGACAGAGUAGUAAGUACUUUGUAGAAGAUUUUAGCUCGUCUUAAGAAUUAUAUAUGGAUUAUUUUUGCUAAAUGACAUAUUCUAACUAGUUUUAUGUUUAAUUGACAAAGUGUGGAGGUUCCAAAUGGCAGUGAUCAUGAUUAUGAUAGUGUGGUUCCUUUGGAUCCUUCUAAAAAUAGUCUGAACAAUGAAUGUGGUAUAAUCUAUCUCUCACUGAUCCUUGCUGAAAUAUUUUAUGAUCGUGUAGCCUGUGAAGUUUAAUUUUAUGGUUUGAAGAAUAUUUUUUAGUUUAUUUAUUAUGAUUGAGCUGCUAUUGAACUAUUUCUCAUUAUAAAUAAUGACAACCAAUAUCUACGGCUAUUGUUACACUACAAAUCCUUGGAUUGAGAUGCAUAUUUGUGUAAAUGGUUAGGCAUUGUAAUCACUUCACUUCUCAAUCAACAUCAGUUAUUGAACACAAUGAAAGGUUUGUUAAUCAUUCAUGCGUUUCAACAUUUUGGAUUAAAAGGUUUGGGUACUGUUGAUAUAAAUGUUUCUGCUUUUGUAUCGUAUGGGUGUGGUUGCUUCAUGUUUUCUGUAAGGUUGCCAAGAAAGGGAAAGAUAUGAAACAAGUUUCUAGUUUUGCUUUGUUUUCAUUUUGCUUUCUAAUUAACAAAGGGGAGUGAAUUCUGUGGGCUAGUGCAAACUAAACCGCUAGAAACUCAAGUCAGUUUCUCUCACUUUUUCUUGCUUUGUACAGGAUAUUGUUUUACUAGAUGAGAUGAGGAAGAGGAUAGAGAAAUUGACUGUGAGGAAAAUGUUUCAAAGAAUGAAGAUGGCUUUUCAGAGGAUGAUUGACAUUUGAUUGCAAGUGUACUAACAUCUAGGAUGCUUUUGUGCAAAAGAAUAUUAUCAGAAGAGAUUUGGUUGUAUUUCCAAUGAUUCCAAGGAUAUGAUUUCUUUAAAAUAUUCAAUGAAACUGCAGAAAUUGUAUUUUGUAGUAUAGUAUAUUGUUGGUUAUGUUGAGCUUUUAUUUUACUAUUUUAUGUUAUAUAUUCUCAAUAAAUCCGAUUCAAGUUAUAUUAAUUUAAAAGAAACCAAGUAAAUAAAAUAAAACAAUUACUGCAAAUGAAAGAUUAAAUAAGAAUAAAUAAAGGAAAUAUUUGAAAAAAAACAAUGAACAUUUUCGACAGCUUUUUUGGUAUUUCCAAGGGCAAGAUGUAAUGGAAAAUAUGUAAUUUUUCAGUUUCAUGGAAGUUAUUUUUUAGGGCAACUGAUGCCAUUUCCAAUGGUGUUGCCAUUGAAAAUAUAAUUUUUUCUCCGACAGCUCAUCAGAGAUUGUGUUUUUCGGAUGCAACUUAAUACGACGAUGAUCGACGGCGAAACUUUCUCGAAAAUAAUUUUUUCCGAGGACACUUGUGUAUUUCCAUGGGUAUUUGCCCUCGAAAAUAACCCUUUUUCUUGUAGUGUGAGGCCACCUGCACUUGCAAGGCCUGAAAUCUUUCAGCACCAUAUGUAUUUAAUUUAUAGAAAGGCCAACGUUGGGGCAUCCAUUUGAACCAUUUGCUGAUCCUUUUGUGGCCUGGUCUAACGAGAUUCUCCAUGGAAGAUUAAAUUUUAGCCGCACGAUGCGUGAUGUCAAGCAUAAUAUUUGCAACACUAAUGUUAGCAGAAUUGUGAAGGACUUGUUUCUCCAAUACCAAAUCUUCCACAGAGCAACACCCAAAGAUACAGGGUCAUUUUUCAUCUCUCUCAAUCAUCCCCAUGUUCUUAAGAUCGUAUUAGAUCCAGUUCUUUAACUCAAAUUCAAAAAAAUUAUUCCAUAAAUUGUUAGGGACCAAUUUAAGCGACACCUAUCAAACGAUAUCACAAUCCAUGAACACAUGAAUGUGGUAUGUUCAAGGUGGUGGCCACGUUGGUAGAAAAUAGCAUUUGAGGUAAUGUAUCUUCAAUAGAGCUCAGACUUAGUUUUUAGCCUAUUACUUAUAACAAGCCACAUCAAAGGUUUUGAUACUUUGAGGUCCAUUGCAUUUCUAACCAAAUUCUAUAAAGAGUUGUUGGCCAUAUACUCGUGAAUUGCUCUGUAUUGGAGUAAGCCUAGUCACAUUGAUCCUCACCUCUAUUAGUACAAGGAGCUUUAGCAAAGUUUAGUUCAUGAUUUGCGAUAAAACAGUAACAAAAAUUGAUAUAAUCAUUAAAUAUAUUCCCAUAAAUAAAUAAAAACAAGAAAAUAAGAUGAGAAAUUGAGUUCUACUUAGUUUUUGUAAUCUCUCUUUUUUCUCCUUGCAUCCUCUGUUGCAACCUUCAAAUCUCUCUUAUUCUCUCUGUUUUCCUUUUUGUUUUCCUCUGUUAUUUUUUUUUUGAAUGACGGCCACCUCUUUUUUUUUCCCAUUUGUGAUAUUUUUAUAUCUUGGAAUUAGGGCAACCAAAAGCAUGUGGUUGCUUGUCUCCCAAUUUUGGAAAUCUUGGAUCUCAAUUUUUCAAUUAACACGCGCAAAAUCUCAUCUACAAUUACUACAUGAUUGCGGUAACAACGACAACAAUAUCUUCUUUGUUCUAGACUUGUUAGCCAAGUUUUUUUGUCAUCUCUGCAAGUUUGCUAUAGCAACAUUCCAUCCAUAAAAAUUUAGCUUUUUUGAUCCCCUGCAAUCAUGCACAUAAUUUGAGCACAAAGUGAUCUAAAACAAAAUUAAUUUAUCAAAAUUAAAUUUAAAUAGAUGGUCAUGCAAAAUGUAAUUAAAAAUGUAAUAAAAACGUAUCAUUUACUCUCUAAGUAAUAUUAGUUUAAGUCUAAAAAUGUCAUGAUAACUCUCAUUUCAUAGAGUUAUCAAUGACCAAGCCUUUUAUGAAGCAAAUCCACAUUGACUGAAUGAGAAGACACUAUCAUAGUACUUGAAGUAUAAAACUCAUUUUAUUUAAAGAACUGAAAUGUCCAAAAUUAGAACAAGUUGACCCAUAAACCAGACAAAUAAGUAAGAAAAUGCAUUAGAUUAUAAAAAUUUGAGUAAAACAUAAUAGUUGUGGAUGAAUGUUAAGUUGAGACAAAUGUUUCAACAAACACAUUAUUAUCAGUGCGUAACUUGGAAACACUUAAUAGGUUUUUGGCUAUAUGAGGAACAAAAAGAAUAUUUGGCAGCAUAAUUGGAUCAUGAGUAAGUAGUAAGCAUAAUAUAUUUAGUAUAUGUAAUUUGUAAUCCACUAUCAUUAGCAACAAGCAAUUGAUCAGCACCAAUGUAAGGUUAUAAAUGAAGUAAAAUACUUGUCUUAUUAGUAACAUAUGUAGAAGCUCCACUGUUAAUAUACUAAGAAAGAUCUUCUAUAGUCUAAGGUGGGGAAAGUGUAAGAGGAGAAGGUGUGACCUGCUUGGCUGCACUAGCAAAUGCACUAUUGUAGUAAUUGAAAGUAGCUAGAUUGAUAGUUAAAGAAGUAGCUCCAAGAUUAUAAAGACAACGAGUUAAGACAUGAUAUGAAUUUGGAUAAAUCGUGUUGCUUUGAUAGCCAUACCUCUGUGAUUAUACUAUUUCACUACAAGAAAACUGUUAAUAGAUGACAGACAACUUAUGAUAAAUUAUGGGUAUAUCAUAAAAUUAUGAUAGACUUGUGACAUAAUUUUCAAUCUAUCAUAAAUUAAUGAUGGCUUUGUGAUACAAUUAUUUUCUAUCACAGAUUAAUGAUGGCUUUGUAAUAGAAUUAUUUUAUAUCACAGAUUAAUGAUGGUUUUAUGAUAAAAUUAUUUUUUUUAUCAUGGAUUAAUGAUGGAUUUGUGAUAGAAUUAUUGUUUAUCAUGAAUUAAUGAUGGUUUUAUGAUAGAGUUAUUUUUAUCACAAAUUAUUAUUUUUUACUUAGCCAUGUGUCGACUUAUAAUUCGUUACUUCAUAUGUGAACAAUUACACUAUAUAAUUUCUAAAGUAUAAAAUGAAAAAGUGAACCCUAAAUCUAACCUAAUUAAACACACGUUAAGUUGUUGCUGCUGCUCCCCUGCUGCUCUUCGAUUUCAUUGCCGCUUCAGGAAGGAACAAGAGGAGUCCCCGUGCGGUUUCAGUGGAGAUGCCGGUGAUGGCGUUGGGGACGAGAGGGAGCUUGUACGAGGUGCUGAGGGUGGAGCCAAAGGCGACGAUUUCAGAGAUUAAGACGGCGAAAGUUUAUCAUCCCGAUUUGUCAGGUAACGGUCGGGAUUUCACCGAGAUCCACAACACUUACGAGACGCUGUUGGAUCCAAAGGCCAAGGCCGUUUAUGACAUGUCUUUGGUGAGUAGGAGGAGGACGAGAACGACAUCGUUUGGGUGUUCAGGUAGGUCUGGGUUUCACCCGACCCGUAGAUGGGAAACUGACCAGUGUUGGUAUGAAUUUUCAAUUUAGGGCCCGACAUUCUUGUUUAGGAUCAAUACCGUUCCUCAAAGGCUUUCCAGAAUUUUCCUCUCACGCUUUCCACGCUCGCUAUUCUCCUUCUUCACUAACAUCACUUGGGUUUUGCAGUUGUGGUGUUCUGUCACAGUCUAGUUCAGAUAUGCUUUUCACUGUGAUGUUGAUACCAAUGUUAUCUGGCUGUUCUAGAGUGAUAAAUGAUAAUCUUGUAUGUUUGUUGUAUUUAACUUUGAGUUAAAAUACAUGUCAAUGCUAUUAUUUUUAUAUAUUCAUGUGCAUUUUCUUUAGGUAGGGACUUUAUUGCUCCUUACAAGUGCAAAGGAACAUCCAAGUAUGUACACCGAGAAUGUUUGGAUAAUUGGCGAGCUGUAAGGGUAUUGAUGCCAUCUCAAUUUUCUGAUUUAGAAAUCUAGAACCUUUUGCAGUAAGCAUAGUUUAUAGUUUCUGUGUGAUCUCAGUGAUCUUUGCAUAGCUAGCACUUGAUUUAUUAUAGUCUGUAACUGGUUUUAUAUAAAAGUAUACCAAAAAAUAACAAUGCUGUAAUUUAUGGACACUCUAAACUUACUUAAUGGGAUAUAGAACAUACUGUACUGUUAUGCAACCUUUUGAAAUGCUAUCUUUUAUGUUUCUUAGUUUGUCCUUGCAAACAAUCUCCAUAUGGUAAUAUCAUUUUCGUCCAUUUAAGAAUUACUGCUUUGGCCCUUUUUGGAUUUUUCCCAGUAAUUUCUUUUCUAGGAAGACUUUUAUGAUCUUAAGCUGCAUUGUGGUUCUUGCUUUUAUCUAGAAUGGUUCUUUUUAUAUGUGUCCUAUUUUUAUUUAAUCAUUUUUUACUUACAGAAAGGGUUUGCAUUUGCUCAUUGCACAACCUGUAAAGCCCCUUACCAUUUGAGAGUUCAUGUUGCUGUUGAUAGGCGAUGAAGAACCUUGAAAUUUUGUUUCUUUGUUAUCUCUUCUCUCUUUUAGCACAGGUAUGAAAAUAUUGGUAUUAUUGGUUAUUGCUUAUAUUCUUCUUUGUUUUUUUAAUUUUUAAUGUUAUCUUUUUUUUUCCUUUUUUUCUCCUGUCUCUGCGAGAUGAAACUAUUGCUAUUACACAUACAAUUGAAGGUACAUUGGCUAGCUUAAAUUAGCCGAAGAAUUCUUUAAAUUCUAGACAUAAAAUAGUAGCUUAAUGUUAUUAUUCUGGUUGGUGUUUGAAUCAAUUUUGUUCACAGGAAGCUUGCAGGUCGCUUUGUAAGUUUCAAUUUCUAUUUAGAGUGCUAUCGGAAGAUGAUAUUGUUGCUGGAAUUUUUGUAGGACGUCUUGCUAGAAAUCUUAUUGUUGGAGUACUUGCAUUAAUUUUUGAAAGUUUUGUUGGGUAACUUGGCUUGGUGGCCAGAAUUCUUAUUGUUUUUCUUAGAGUUUGAUUGGAGUUUGACAGUAAUUUUAUACUUUGGGAGACUUUUUCAAUUUGGGAUGUUUUAUUAUGUAUUAGUGGAGAUCACAUUGGAUAUUAGAUGUAUUUAUUUUGAAAUUAAUUUUUGGAUUGAAUGAAUGUUAAUUGAUAUUAAUUUUUUAUAUUUGUUUUAUUAAUUAAUAAAAUUUGUAAAUAGGAAUUCAUCAAUAAAUUAUAAUUAUAAUAUAAUUUAAAAAAAUCAAAACUUUAUGAUGGAAAAAGCCAUCAUAUAUUCUAUCAUAAAUAGUUUCCCGCCAAAAUUGAAUAAUAAAUUUUCAAAUAAUAAUUGAAUUUCCCACCAAAAAUUUAAAAAAAAAAUCGUACAAAAAUUUAAAUAAAUUCAAAUUUUAAUUUAAUUAUUUUUUUACAUUAAAAUAUUGUGUGACAGAUAUAUGACUAUGAAAUACCAUCAUGAAUUUAUGACGGAAAAUAUUCUGUCAUAAAUUAAUGACAGUGACAUAGAUGAUAGAUGAACUGUCUGUCAUGCACCCCCUUUUAUGAUAGUUAUUCCCGUCAUUUAUUGUUUGUUUUCUUGUAGUGUUUAUUAAAGCCUCCGAUGACAUCAGUGAAAGGACUAGGAACAAAUCCCCUGCCAUGACCAUAAGUAGGCCUAAAACCUCCUCUACCUCCUCUAAUAUAGUGUCUUUGAAGUACAAAUGUAGGAUUAAACCUAUUAUUGGACUUAUUUAUCCCACAUCCAGGGAUAAACCAAACUUGGCCGAUGAUGGAGUCAAAAUUGCUGUCAUUUUUAUUAUUUUGUCCUAGAUUAGACAUGUCUCUAUUAAAUAAAUCUAGGUUUCUAUUAUUUUUCUAAUUUCCAAAACCAAGCUUAGAGAAACCUUAAUCUUUUUGGGCAAAAUUAGUAGCUAAAUUGGGAUAACAUCUGAACCGAGUUUUCCUCUCUUCUGUUCAAACCUCAUUUUAUGACUUAAGAAUAAAGCACACAAGUUAUCCAGAUUCAUACCUUUUUCCUCUAGCCAAUAAAAUUGUAAUUUAUUAUUUUUAUCUCAUUAUUAUAUAUAUUUGUAUUUAUUUUUAUUAUAAUCAAAGGAUAUAAUAAUAAAAAGGGGUUAUGUGGCUAUUUAUAAAACUAUUGGAGUUUAUAAAAUUAUUUAAACAAACCUUGAGAGUAUAGACAGCUUUUUCUCUUUAAAAUACCCCAUUAUUAUAAUAAAAAAAAUAGACAUGCACAAUAUCCUCGAUUUGUCUUGAAUGUGAUUGCAUAUUAACCUCACCACUGCUGUACUUGGCAGAAGAUUGCAACUUUCUUAAAAACAUUAUUUCGUGCAUCAAAUAUAUCAUCUUUUUUUUCUUUUCGAUACAUAAGGACUUAGGUAAAACUAGCCAACAACUGAACGCGAGUACGCAGUCCCGGAGACAUCAGGUAAUAGCCACCCUUUAGUUCUAGUUAGAGGAAUUGGAAAAAAAAAUGGAUCCCAAGAGGCAAAAAGAGAGUUUAGCUGGUGAGGUAAUCAGCUACAAAAUUGAUUUCAUGAUAGCUAGCAACAGAGAUACCUACUAAUCCCUGUUGAGGAGUCCGUUAAGUCCCUCAUUGGGAUGACUUUUCUUCGUGGCCAAGAUCUCAGUGAUGGACUGAAUAUUAACUUCAACUUAUAGUUGUCAAAUCCCAAUAUUCCAAGCAAGUUGCAAACCUUGAAAUAAACCCCAAGGCUCUGCUCCAGUAAUAGUGCAAUGGCCAAUAUUCAUACCAAAACCAUGAACCCAUUCCCCACAGUAAUAUCUAGUGAGGCCACCUGCACUUGCAUGGCCUGAAACCUUUCCACCACCAUAUGUAUUUAAUUUAUUGAAAGGCCAAGGUUGGGGCAUCCAUUUGAACCAUUUGCUGAUCCUUUUGUGGCCUGGUCUAACGAGAUUCUCCAUGGAAGAUUUAAUUUUAGCCUCACAAUGCGUGAUGUCAAGCAUAAUAUUUGCAACACUAAUGUUAGCAGAAUUGUGAAGGACUUGUUUCUCCAAUACCAAAUCUUCCACAGAGCAACACCCAAAAUACAGGGUCAUUUUUCAUCUCUCUCAAUCAUCCCCAUGUUCUUAAGAUCGUAUUAGAUCAAAUUCUUUAACUCAAAUUCAAAAAAAUGAUUCCAUAAAUUGUUAGGGACCAAUUUAAGCGACACCUAUCAAACGAUAUCACAAUCCAUGAACACAUGAAUGUGGUAUGUUCAAGGUGGUGGCCACGUUGGUAGAAAAUAGCAUUUGAGGUAAUGUAUCUUCAAGAGAGCUCAGACUUAGUUUUUAGCCUAUUACUUAUAGCGAGCCACAUCAAGGUUCUGAUACUUUGAGGUCCAUUGCAUUUCUAACCACAUUCUAUAAAGAGUUUUUGGCCAUAAUACUCGUGAAUUGCUCUGUAUUGGAGUAAGCCUAGUCACAUUGAUCUUCACCACUAUUAGUACAAAGAGCUUUAGCAAAGUUUAGUUCAUGAUUUGCAAUAAAACAGUAACAAAAAUCAUUAUAAUUAUCAAAUACAUUCCCAUAAAUAAAUAAAAACAAGAAAAUAAGAUGAGAAAUUGAGUUACAGCUACUUCAAAUUUAUUAAUUAGUUAACUUACUCAGGAAGGUAAAUUUUGGCGGUUUCUUUUAAGAUAAAUAAAAAAGCUUAAAAUUGACAAGCAUGUUCCCUCUAUAAACUGUAAGUAAUAACGCUAGGAUUACGAAGUUAGGAUUAGGAAAAAAAUUUUGUACUCAAAAUGAAGUGUCACCAUUUAACGACCGUCAUGUGCUAGUUAAAAAUAAUAAUUUUUGGAUUAUCAUUAAUAAAAAUAAUUUCAUAACACUAAUUAAUGUAUGACACAUCAAUUAGGAUGUAAAUUUUGUAUCUCAACUUUAUAAAUCUAAUAUAAUUUUGUUCAAAUAUAGUACUCACUCCACCAUCUAACCUCAAUCGGACUAAAUUUAUUUAAAUUCUUUAUAUUGACUUUUUUUUUUUAAUUUAUUUUGGUCUGGGUGUGGUUCGGAUGGAUGUUAGUGGUUAGAUAAGUAACAUUACAAUUUUUUCUUUCUUUUUUUAUGAACUCAAUCUACUCUGAUUUUCUUGCACUUUCUUACUGAUUACCAAUUAGGUUCGAUAAAAAUGUUGUGAACUUUUAUAUAGGUAUAAUAUAAAUAAUAACAACUCAAUUCUCAAUUCGUACAUGUGAACGAAGUUCGCAACUAGUAAAUCUUACAUCCCCUCUAGAGAUUUUGCUAAUAGAACUACCCGCUAAUAAUAUAGUUGCUCACUCAUCAAUACCACAAUAGUUUGUAUAAGAAUGCGAGUUGAUAUAUUACUCAGGUUUCGCAAAAGCAUUCAAAGUAAAUGCUACCAUUUUUUAUGACAUGCAACUGGAAAAUUAAGAAAUAUUUCAAACCUAAUAGCAAAACAUAUGUAAAAUGUAAUGUGCCUCUGGAAUAACUCAAUUUGCAAAAUAACUUCAACAGACUUCACAUAAAACGUAUAACACCUAUAAGAAUCCACCAAUAUCUUGAUAACAUUAAACUGUUCUGUUUUUAAUAAAAUUAUCAAUUAACUACUUCCUCUUAUUUUGUACACUAUUGCACAAUAAUAAAGAGGUGUUAGCAAGUUCAGAAUUCUAUUGUCUGUACAGCUACAUUAUCACCACUACCCAUCCUGUUUUCCAUUUAACCCACUAUUUGUUUCAAUGCAGUAGCAUCGCCAGUUAAAACACUUAGUGCAGCAGCAUUGCCACUUAAAACACUUAGUGCAGCAGCAUUGCCAGUUAAAACAAUUAGUGCAGCAGCAAGGUCUCAAACAUUUUGGAAUGCAGCAGCAGGGUCUCAAACAUUUUGGACAUUUAGGCCACCGGCAACAGUUGACAUAGCUUGGUAUCCAACAUUUUGGCCAUUUAGGUUUCCAGCAACAUUUCGUGCAACUAAGUUUUGGACAUUCUUGGCAUUUGGGUUGGCAGCAUUUAAUUCUACAGCACCUGUUCGCAGACCCUGUGUUGGUGUUGGACCUUAUACUUAGUUUUUGUAAUCUCUCUUCUUUUUUCCUUGCAUCCUCUGUUGCGGCCCUCAAAUCUCUCUUCUUCUCUCUGUUUUCCUUUUUGUUUUUCUCUAUUAUUUUUUUUGAAUGACGGCCACCUCUUUUUUUUUCCCAUUUGUGCUAUUUUUAUAUCUUGAAAUUAGGGCAACCAAAAGCAUGUGGUUGCUUGUCUCCCAUUUUUGGAAACCUUGGAUCGCAAUUUUUCAAUUAACACGCGCAAAAUCUCAUCUACAAUUACUACAGGAUUGCUGUAACAACGGCUACGACAUCUUCUCUAUUCUAGACUUGUCAGCCAAGUUUUUUGCCAUCUUUGCAAGUUUGCUGCAGCAGCAUUCCAUCCAUAAAAAUUUAGCUUUUUUGAUCCCUUGCAAUCAUGCACAUAAUCUGAGCACAAAGUGAUCUAAAACAAAAUUAAAUUUAAAAAAAUGCUCAUGCAAAAUGUAAUAAAAAAUGUAAUAAAAACGCAUCAUUUACUCUCUAAGUAAUAUUAAUUUAAGUCUAAAAAUGCCAUGAUAACUCUCAUUUCACAGAGUUAUCAAUGACCAAGCCUUUUAUGAAGCAAAUCCACAUUGACUAAUGAGAAGACACUGUCAUAGUACUUGAAGUAUAAAACUCAUUUUAUUUAAAGAACUGAAAUGACCAAAAUUAGAACAAGUUGACCCGUAAACCAGACAAAUAAGUAAGAAAAGGCAUUAGUUUAUAAAAAUUUGAGUAAAACAUAAUAGUUGUGGAUGAAUGUUAAGUUGAGACAAAUGUUGUUUAAACUUGAUAUAAGCCUUUCUGAGCAAUCCUCUUAAGCAAGAUAUUCCCUAUUUUCCUGGCCUUAAUGUAACAAAAAUCGGUAACAAAUUCAACAAACACAUUAUUAUCAGUGCGUAACUUGGAAACACUCAAUAGGUUUUUGGCUAUAUGAGGAACAAAAAGAAUAUUUGGCAGCAUAAUCGGAUCAUGAGUAAGUAGUAAGCAUAAUAUAUUUAUUAUAUGAAAUUUGUAAUCCACUAUCAUUAGCAACAAGCAAUUGAUCAGCACCAAUGUAAGGUUAUAAAUGAAGUAACAUACUUGUGUUAUUAGUAACAUGUGUAGAAGCUCCACUGUUAAUAUACUAAGAAAGAUCUUCUAUAGUCUAAGGUGGGGAAAGUGUAAGAGGAGAAGGUGUGACCUGCUUGGCUGCACUAGCAAAUGCACUAUUGUAGUAAUUGAAAGUAGCUAGAUUGAUAGUUAAAGAAGUAGCUCCAAGAUUAUAAAGACAACGAGUUAAGACAUGAUAUGAAUUUGGAUAAAUCGUGUUGCUUUGAUAGCCAUACCUCUGUGAUUAUACUAUUUCACUACAAGAAAACUGUUAAUAGAUGACAGACAACUUAUGAUAAAUUAUGGGUAUAUCAUAAAAUUAUGAUAGACUUGUGACAUAAUUUUCAAUCUAUCAUAAAUUAAUGAUGGCUUUGUGAUACAAUUAUUUUCUAUCACAGAUUAAUGAUGGCUUUGUAAUAGAAUUAUUUUAUAUCACAGAUUAAUGAUGGUUUUAUGAUAAAAUUAUUUUUUUUAUCAUGGAUUAAUGAUGGAUUUGUGAUAGAAUUAUUGUUUAUCAUGAAUUAAUGAUGGUUUUAUGAUAGAGUUAUUUUUAUCACAAAUUAUUAUUUUUUACUUAGCCAUGUGUCGACUUAUAAUUCGUUACUUCAUAUGUGAACAAUUACACUAUAUAAUUUCUAAAGUAUAAAAUGAAAAAGUGAACCCUAAAUCUAACCUAAUUAAACACACGUUAAGUUGUUGCUGCUGCUCCCCUGCUGCUCUUCGAUUUCAUUGCCGCUUCAGGAAGGAACAAGAGGAGUCCCCGUGCGGUUUCAGUGGAGAUGCCGGUGAUGGCGUUGGGGACGAGAGGGAGCUUGUACGAGGUGCUGAGGGUGGAGCCAAAGGCGACGAUUUCAGAGAUUAAGACGGCGAAAGUUUAUCAUCCCGAUUUGUCAGGUAACGGUCGGGAUUUCACCGAGAUCCACAACACUUACGAGACGCUGUUGGAUCCAAAGGCCAAGGCCGUUUAUGACAUGUCUUUGGUGAGUAGGAGGAGGACGAGAACGACAUCGUUUGGGUGUUCAGGUAGGUCUGGGUUUCACCCGACCCGUAGAUGGGAAACUGACCAGUGUUGGUAUGAAUUUUCAAUUUAGGGCCCGACAUUCUUGUUUAGGAUCAAUACCGUUCCUCAAAGGCUUUCCAGAAUUUUCCUCUCACGCUUUCCACGCUCGCUAUUCUCCUUCUUCACUAACAUCACUUGGGUUUUGCAGUUGUGGUGUUCUGUCACAGUCUAGUUCAGAUAUGCUUUUCACUGUGAUGUUGAUACCAAUGUUAUCUGGCUGUUCUAGAGUGAUAAAUGAUAAUCUUGUAUGUUUGUUGUAUUUAACUUUGAGUUAAAAUACAUGUCAAUGCUAUUAUUUUUAUAUAUUCAUGUGCAUUUUCUUUAGGUAGGGACUUUAUUGCUCCUUACAAGUGCAAAGGAACAUCCAAGUAUGUACACCGAGAAUGUUUGGAUAAUUGGCGAGCUGUAAGGGUAUUGAUGCCAUCUCAAUUUUCUGAUUUAGAAAUCUAGAACCUUUUGCAGUAAGCAUAGUUUAUAGUUUCUGUGUGAUCUCAGUGAUCUUUGCAUAGCUAGCACUUGAUUUAUUAUAGUCUGUAACUGGUUUUAUAUAAAAGUAUACCAAAAAAUAACAAUGCUGUAAUUUAUGGACACUCUAAACUUACUUAAUGGGAUAUAGAACAUACUGUACUGUUAUGCAACCUUUUGAAAUGCUAUCUUUUAUGUUUCUUAGUUUGUCCUUGCAAACAAUCUCCAUAUGGUAAUAUCAUUUUCGUCCAUUUAAGAAUUACUGCUUUGGCCCUUUUUGGAUUUUUCCCAGUAAUUUCUUUUCUAGGAAGACUUUUAUGAUCUUAAGCUGCAUUGUGGUUCUUGCUUUUAUCUAGAAUGGUUCUUUUUAUAUGUGUCCUAUUUUUAUUUAAUCAUUUUUUACUUACAGAAAGGGUUUGCAUUUGCUCAUUGCACAACCUGUAAAGCCCCUUACCAUUUGAGAGUUCAUGUUGCUGUUGAUAGGCGAUGAAGAACCUUGAAAUUUUGUUUCUUUGUUAUCUCUUCUCUCUUUUAGCACAGGUAUGAAAAUAUUGGUAUUAUUGGUUAUUGCUUAUAUUCUUCUUUGUUUUUUUAAUUUUUAAUGUUAUCUUUUUUUUUCCUUUUUUUCUCCUGUCUCUGCGAGAUGAAACUAUUGCUAUUACACAUACAAUUGAAGGUACAUUGGCUAGCUUAAAUUAGCCGAAGAAUUCUUUAAAUUCUAGACAUAAAAUAGUAGCUUAAUGUUAUUAUUCUGGUUGGUGUUUGAAUCAAUUUUGUUCACAGGAAGCUUGCAGGUCGCUUUGUAAGUUUCAAUUUCUAUUUAGAGUGCUAUCGGAAGAUGAUAUUGUUGCUGGAAUUUUUGUAGGACGUCUUGCUAGAAAUCUUAUUGUUGGAGUACUUGCAUUAAUUUUUGAAAGUUUUGUUGGGUAACUUGGCUUGGUGGCCAGAAUUCUUAUUGUUUUUCUUAGAGUUUGAUUGGAGUUUGACAGUAAUUUUAUACUUUGGGAGACUUUUUCAAUUUGGGAUGUUUUAUUAUGUAUUAGUGGAGAUCACAUUGGAUAUUAGAUGUAUUUAUUUUGAAAUUAAUUUUUGGAUUGAAUGAAUGUUAAUUGAUAUUAAUUUUUUAUAUUUGUUUUAUUAAUUAAUAAAAUUUGUAAAUAGGAAUUCAUCAAUAAAUUAUAAUUAUAAUAUAAUUUAAAAAAAUCAAAACUUUAUGAUGGAAAAAGCCAUCAUAUAUUCUAUCAUAAAUAGUUUCCCGCCAAAAUUGAAUAAUAAAUUUUCAAAUAAUAAUUGAAUUUCCCACCAAAAAUUUAAAAAAAAAAUCGUACAAAAAUUUAAAUAAAUUCAAAUUUUAAUUUAAUUAUUUUUUUACAUUAAAAUAUUGUGUGACAGAUAUAUGACUAUGAAAUACCAUCAUGAAUUUAUGACGGAAAAUAUUCUGUCAUAAAUUAAUGACAGUGACAUAGAUGAUAGAUGAACUGUCUGUCAUGCACCCCCUUUUAUGAUAGUUAUUCCCGUCAUUUAUUGUUUGUUUUCUUGUAGUGUUUAUUAAAGCCUCCGAUGACAUCAGUGAAAGGACUAGGAACAAAUCCCCUGCCAUGACCAUAAGUAGGCCUAAAACCUCCUCUACCUCCUCUAAUAUAGUGUCUUUGAAGUACAAAUGUAGGAUUAAACCUAUUAUUGGACUUAUUUAUCCCACAUCCAGGGAUAAACCAAACUUGGCCGAUGAUGGAGUCAAAAUUGCUGUCAUUUUUAUUAUUUUGUCCUAGAUUAGACAUGUCUCUAUUAAAUAAAUCUAGGUUUCUAUUAUUUUUCUAAUUUCCAAAACCAAGCUUAGAGAAACCUUAAUCUUUUUGGGCAAAAUUAGUAGCUAAAUUGGGAUAACAUCUGAACCGAGUUUUCCUCUCUUCUGUUCAAACCUCAUUUUAUGACUUAAGAAUAAAGCACACAAGUUAUCCAGAUUCAUACCUUUUUCCUCUAGCCAAUAAAAUUGUAAUAAGUGAUUCAUGCUUUUGAGAUUCUAAUCCAGACAAAAUAUAAGUAAAAAGAUUAGCAUGUUAAACUAGUUUACCAGUAAUAGUAAGUGCAUCUGCCAAUGUCUUCAUCUUAGUAAAAUAGGCACUUAUAGUCAUUGAUCCUUUUUUAGUGGUUCUAAUUGCUUCUAAUAGGCAUUAUAUAAGCUUGAUUUUGAGAAAGAAACAUACAUGUCAAAGAAUUCCACAGCCUUUGUGAUGAAACAAAAUGAAUCCACUACAAGAAAACAGACAAUAGAUGACGGGAAAUAAGAGGGGUUCAUGACAGACAAUUCUUUUGUCAUCUAUGUCACUGUUAUUAAUUCAUGACGGAUAAAUUUAUGAUGGUUUUUUACUGUCAUACAUCUAUCACACAAUAUUUUAAUGUAAAAAAAAAUUAAAAUUAAAAUUAAUUUAAAUUUUGCCAUUUUUAAAAAUUUUGGCGGGAAAUUCGAUUAUCAUUUGUUAAUGUAUUAUUCAAUUUCGCGGGAAAUUAUUUAUGACAGUAUUUGUGACGAAUAUUUUCCAUCAUAAAAUAAUAAAUUUUUUUAUAAUUACAAUUUGUUUAUAAAUUCCUGUUUAUUAAUAAAAUGAAUACCAUUAAAAAAACCUGAAAACAAUUAACACAUUCAUUCAAUCCAAUAAAUUAAUUUAAAAAAAAUACAUAUAUAAAAGGUCCAAUGUGAUACAUAUAAUAGAGCAUCUCAAAAUUUAAAAAACAUCUCAAAGUAUAGAACAACUAUUAAAUUCCAUUGCAUGUACAACAAAAGCAACUAAAAUUCCAACCAUCAAGCCAAGUUUCUCAACAAAACUUGCAAAGAAUAAUGCAAGACUUUCAGGAGUUCUAGCACUCUUAACUCCAGUCACAAAGCCAGGUUUGUCAACAUUCCAAUUCCAGCCACGCUGGCAAUACUCCAACCAUAUCCAGCAACCCACCACCUUCCAACAGCACUUCCAGCCAUAUAUCCAGAAACAAUUCAACCCAAACCCAGCAAACCAUUCUAUGCAAAAUCAAUCAAAAUACCCAAAGUUAUCAAAUGCAUAACAUCUACGGUACAAUCCUUAAUAACAACCAUUAUAAUUUGAUACUACAAAUUCAAUUUCAACAAUUUGUAACAGCUAACCAUUUUGUUACAAAUUUCAUACUCAAUACUAACCAUUUUACUGACGCAAUGAGAUUUCCAUUAAACUGUUAAUCGUAAGAAAUAAUAUUGUCAAACUUUAAAAAUAAUGUCACAUGUAGGAAAUAAAAGAAUGUUGACAUAUCUCAUCAUCAACUUACAUUGUUGGUUAACAAACUAACAUCCACUAUUAUUUCCUUCAUGUACCUUAACACAAAAUAACCACACUCUAAUUUUGCGAUAUUUUGUUUUGGAGCCUGUUCAUGAAAAAAAAAAGAUGAAAAUUUACAAAACCCAUCCAUUUUAGUUAAGGUACAUAAUCAAUAGGCUACAAAAAUACUUUUUUUCUUUUUUUUUACCUUCACAAUUCUCAUCUUGGUAUUAUAAUUCCAUUUUUCCUUACCAUCCUCUAAUGUGAAGAGUGUCAUGGCGCUGGAAACAAAACUAUACUGUUAUCUCUUAAUCAUAUUGAAGAAACUUAAACUAUCAAUUGCAGGAAAUAGACUAGUAUACAUACAUUUUAAGGAGCUGUUCUAAAUCAGUUUCAGGUCUGGAUUGCAUAGGAUCCACAUAAAAUACUUCCUUUUUUACCACAUCAAACACAACUAAUACCCAAUGGUAGCUAUAAAAGCCAAAAGCAUAACCAUUAAUUAAGAAACAGCUGUGAACGUAAUAUGAAUUUAACAGCUGUAAAAGUUUUCAAUAAAAUUUAAACUUACGAAGGAUUGUAUGGCAUGAAAAUGAGUUGUCCUUUUUUGGCCUUUUUCAAGCGGUCGCGAAUAUGCUCAACUCUCUUCGAGCGAAAUUGUACUGCAGCCUUUGGAUUUGUUGGGCAAACCAAACUAGGACACAUGAAUCCAAAUGGUUUUGUUCCUUUUCUGGUUGGUAGAAUGGUAGAAUCCAACAUCCUUGACAGAAAAUCAGUGCAUCAAUAAAAAAGUAUAUCAAAUUGAUAUUAAAUAGUGUAAAGGAAAAUCAUAAAACCACUUACGCCAUAUAUACUUGAAUAGCAUUCACUCAUAGCGCUUGCAUUGACAGCAGAUCGUUGCAAUCUUUCUUCCCAAUAUAAGCACAAGCCUCUGUCUGGAAUACAUUAUCAUCAAUUAGAUAUGUCAGAACACCAUCAUUUUCACUAGGCAGGUAUUUCUCACACAACUUCCCAAAUAAUUACAAUAUCGAAUGACUAUUCUGGUGCUUGAGUAUCACCUUGUGUUCCUCAUAGGCUGCACUACAAUUUUUUUGGCUUUAUCCUUCUUCAAAAGUGCCUUUUUUGUUGGGCUGUUAGGAUGAAUCUCGCAUAUACCAUCAGCAUAGUCAAAGUCCAAUUGCUUUUUAUUGCUUCCAGCUCUUUUCCUCUCAUCAUUUGCACAAUCCUUUGGAAUUAAAGGAUUGAGUCUUGGACUUUUCCUUGAAAUGGCUGUAGUAGCGUUUCUUGGCGAGUUUAAUUAUAUGAAUAUUAAUUAUAUGAACUAAUAAGUUUAUUAAACUAAAUUGAAUAGUAAAUAUACAAGGCAGUAACUAUAUUAAACCAAGAAAAAUACAACUAAUUAUUUAAAUAAUCUAACCUUCUGUGCAUGGAGUUCAUUGUCAUCAUCGUAAUCAUCAUUUCUGGCUGACUUCAUCGGAAUGGCAGAAGACUUCAUCGGAACGGCAGCAGUGGUGUUUUUUGGCAUCUCUUCGUUCUUCUUAGUUUCUUCCUUCUUUCUCAGUGUUGAUAUUCUAGGUUGCUAUUCUUUCUGACUGGACAUCCAUUUCUUCUUCUUCUCAACUGACUUGCCUAAAUUUCCUGGCUCCUGUCAGCAUUAUUGGCAAAAAGUAAAUUAAACUGUAUUGAGUGACAGAUAUACAAAAAAAAAUAAACUAGGAAAAAUUCAGUUAAUUUUAUAAAUGAAGCAACCUGAUGUACAUCUUCCUCACUGUCAUUAUCAAUGCCUUUAUUAUGUGGGAAAUGAACUUCCCACAUCUGAAUGGCGAGGUGUCCUCUUCAAUUCUCUACAAAUUUCUUGCAACUGAGCAUCAACUGAUUUUUUCCAAGCAUCUAUCUCCCUUUCUCUAUCACUUCGGAUGGGUCCACGAAUGGUAUGAAAGUAGUUAGAAGCAGAUAUAAAUUUGCCCAAGCCUUGCAUAUGACCAGUUUGAGGAAGCUUUCUCAAUGCUUGUGCAAGUAAGUGAUUUCUUGCAUCUGAAGUGAAAAAGUCUUUUUGGUCCUUCUUUAGCUUUUUCUAAAACCACAUCAUAAGGAAACUAAUAUUAUUAAAUGAGCAUAGUUCUAAUAUCAUAACCAUUUUUGUUCUGGUUAAACUUGAUUACCAAUUUCUUAAUGACUUGCUCAGUCUCAGGGUUCUAUCCUCCAUUCUUUAGCAUCCGAGCUCUCUUCCAUAGCUCACUCCUAUCAAUUAAGUCUUCAGAAAGACCCGAUUCUGCACACUGUUUCGAUAAAAGAAAUUAGAUUAGUAAACUAUUAGAAAAAUGUAAUAGUUAAAAAUACCAUUUAUACCAAUAUAUACGAACUUACAAUUUCUUUCAUUAAUCCAACAUAUCCUUUUCGACUAAGAUGGUGAUUACACUUGUUCAAAGCUCUCCGAUUCUUAUUAACACGACUGAUUUUCUGCAUAAGAAAAAACAUCCUUUUAACACAAUGUAAAUGUAAAGUAACUAUUAGUAUAUUACUUGUCCUAACUUUAAAAUACUUACUUCAAAUAAUUCGGAUAAACGUUCGUCGACAAACUUUAUCCAAACAUGCCGCUUUAUUUGAGGGUAAUCAAUUGGUGGUGUAUACAUUUUCUUUUUAUCAUUUGGGAACCUCCAGAUAUAGUUUUUCGUCAGCAUAUAUUUGAAGUUUCGAAAUGCUAUUCCGAUUGACUGUAUUACCUGCUUCAUACUUCUAGGAUGAAUAAUGAAAUGACCCUAAAUAUGGAGGAAGAUUUUUAAAAUGUCAUUUAAUAAAAAUCCAAAUCAUAUAACUAAUAAGUGAAAAAUGCAAUAAGUUUUUCAAGAAUUACCAAAACAGAUUUCCACAAACGCUCCUUUGUCUCUGGAGGAACUUUACGUCAAUCGAAAUAAAGAAUAUAAACUGAUGUACGAGCCAAUACACCAAGAAAAGAAGCCAACUCAAUCGCUUCAUCCCCUCCAGGAACACCCAUUUCAUUGUAUUGCACCACAAUCUUUCCAUUUCUUGUUUUAAGUCUUUUAUUUUUCCUAGUACCCAUAUUCAUACCUCUCCUGGAGUUACUACUUUCAGGAACAUCAACAUUAGGAGCAACACAACCAUCUCUCUCAAUACCAACUAAAUCAUCUCUAUCCAAACCAGCACCAUCAAAAUCUCCUCCAUCAAACUCAACUCCAUCUAUCUCAGCAACAUCCAACUCAACAACACCAUCCACACCAGCCUCAUCUUUUUCACCUUCUAAAUCAACGUUAUUGUCAAAUAAGUUGCAGUAAUCAUCUUUUAAAUUACAAUCCUGAUCAGAAGCACCAUCAACCACAAUAUGUUUUCCCUUAGCCAUAUUACUGCCCCUGAAAUAAAUAAAUAAAGAACAUUAGUUCAAUGAUUUAAUCAACCUAUAUAACAAUUAAUCAGCUACACGAACAAAAAGUUAAUCAAUUUAAUAUCAUAUAAAUUCGUAAUUGAAAAAUAACAGAAGGAAAAUAGUUUUAAAAAAAACUUACUAUAAGAAGCUAAUCAAUUUGUAACCCAAAUUCCCUCUUUGUUGUUACGCGCAUAGAUCGCUCGAUCGCUAUUAGUGGAAUAUAACAAAUCAUUAGUUGGUAAUUCUCUAGUGAAUGGAGGAUAUUCUACUACAUUAUUAAAUUCAUCUUCGUUUAUUUGAUUAGAAUUACUUCUAAUAGGCAUAUGACAUACAAUAGACUAUUUUGUUUGAAUUUGAUCAUUUACAUAAAAUACUUGUUUGGCUUGAGAAACUAAUAUAAAUGGAUUAGAUUUAUAUCUUAAUCUGUUUAAGUCUACUAAUAUGAAUCCAAGCUCAUCUUUCUUGACGCAACUAUUUUGAACCCAAUCACACUUCAACACAAGGACUGUUAACAAAUGAUAGUCAAGUACCCAAUUCCCAUCUAUAACUCCAUAAUAUGUCAGGUCACAUAUUUCAUAAUCAACUACACUAACUCCAUUGUUUUGAGUUACACGACUUGAGUCUCGGUCUCGUGUAACAAAAUGGAAACCAUUGAUGUCGUAACCAUUAUGUUUAGUUACAAAAGGAAGAGGCCCUUGUGAUAACCAACGUAAGGUAUCCGAUAUGUGAUCACCUUUUUCAAUUAAGUCAUAUACCUAGCAAGAGAAAAAGGAUAAGCAUAUUUAUAUUGCUAGGUAGGGGGAAAAAAGGGGUCAACAAACUUUGUAAAAAUUAAUGAUAUAUAUAUGCUUCAACCUUAUCAGCUAGCCAAUCGGCAAAUGUACGGUUGUGUUCCUCUUGCAACCAUUUGUCAUUUUGAUGUGGAUAACAUGUUUUAAGCCAAUCCAUGUGGUCACUAAAGAUUCAGAACAUGAAAAAUUAGUUUUUCAUAUUAGAAAAAAAAAACAUCUAGAUUUGAUUCCAACAAAUUAAGCAAAUUACCUAAUGUAUAAUACCACUUCUUGUGUGUUAUGCAAGAUGUACAGGUGUGCUUGAUCUAGCAAAUUUACAGGAAUUUGCACCAUUUUCCCACCACACAGUGACUUAUCUUUUGAUAGCUUUUGCACAUCCCAACUGUACUCAUGUUUAACAUGUAUUCUGCACAAAAUUCUAAUGCUUCUUCCGCAAUAUAACUCUCCGCUAUACAACCCUCAGGACAGUUGCGGUUUCAGACAUAACUUUUAAGAGUUUUCAUGUAUCUCUCGAAGGGAUACAUCCACUGAAGAUAAAUCGGGCCACAUAAUCUAACUUCAUUGACUAAAUGCACAGUCAAGUGCACCAUAAUGUAAAAGAAAGAAGGAGGAAAACAUUUUUCUAACAAGCAUAAAGUCACCAUAUGGUCUACCUGUAAUUUAUCCAAUGUUGUCACAUCAACCACAUUGGAACAUAACGAAUUGAAGAAACAACACAGCCUUAUCAAAGCUCCUUUCACAUGCUUUGGCAAGACACACCUAAUGGAAAUAGGGAGAAGUUGUUGCAUAAGAACAUGGCAGUCAUGUGACUUAAGGCCCUGAAGUUUAAGGUCCUUCAUUGACAUAAGAUUUCUAAUGUUUGAGGACUAUCUAGCAGGAACUUUUAUACUUUUCAAAGCUUUGCAGAACCUUGUCUUUUCAUCUCUCGUUUAUGUGUAACAAGCUGCAGGAAGGAAGGUGCGCUUGUUCUUUUGUAAAGUUGGUGCUAGUUCAUCCAUGAUUUUCAUGUCCACAAGAUCAUUCAUUGACUUAAGACCAUCUUUGGUCUUUCUCGGAAUGUGGAGUAGUGAUCCAUAAAUGCUCUCGCACACAUUCUUUUCAAUGUGCAUAAAAUCUAAUUGAUGACGCACAAGCAAAUGCUUUCAAUACUCUAAAUUAUAGAAUAUAGAUUUUUUUCCACCAUAUGUGGUCAUCAUUUACUGAACUUUUAUGUUUGAAUGACUUGUUUUUCCCCCAUUUAUAAUCAAUAGAAUCAACCAGCCCUAAAAUAACGUCACCAUUCAACGGUUUCAGAGCAAACUCUCUCUCUAUUGUGUUGUCGAAGGCUUUAUAUCGGUCACAUAAUUCGUGAUCAUGAGGAAGCCAACGACGGUGACUGAUAUAUGCAUUUUUUUCAUUGUGUUUAAGUCUACAUUUAGUAGUGUCUACACCACAAUAUGGACAAGCAUUAUGUCCUUUAACAGUGCAACCAGCUAGAUUUCCGUAUGUCGAAAAGUCAUUUAUAGUCCAUAAUAACACAACCAGCAUAUUAAAAAUCUCCUUUCGAUAGGGAUCAUAAGCCUCCACCCUAACUUCCUACAAAGUUUGCAAAUCUUCUAUCAAAGGAGCCAAGUACACAUCAAUGUCAUUGCCCGGUUGUUGAGGACCAGAAAUCAGUAGGGACAACAUCAUGAAUUUCCGUUUCAUAUACAAUCAUGGAGGAAGAUUGUAUGUUACUAGAAUAAUUGGCCAGCAACUAUAUGUACUACUAAGAGAGUUAUGUGGAUUUAUUCCACAGUUGCUAAGGCAAGGCGAAGAUUUCUAAGAUCUAAUGCAAAAGUCGGCCAUUUGUUAUCUACUAAUUUCCAUGAUAGUGAGUCUGCCGGAUGUCAGAGCUUACCAUCAUCGGCUCUCUCAUUUGCAUGCCAAGUCAAGUCUUUGGUAGUUUGUGAGGACUGAAACAUGCGCUUAAAUCUAGGUAUAAUAGGAAAAUACCAUAAAAGCUUCGCAUGAACCCCUUUCUUAUACUGGUCAACACUAUUAUCUUUUUUUUUUCCAUCUAGAUAAACCACAACUAGGACAUUCAAAGAGGCCUUCAUACUCAUUCCUGUAGAGUAUGCAUUCAUUUGGGCAAGCAUGUAUUUUCAUAUAUUCUAAGCCUAAAACGGACAUUGUCUUUUUGACCUCAUACAUAAACACGAGAAUUUCAUUACUUUCAGGCAACAACUUGGCUAGAAGACCUAACAACUCAGUAAAACUUGUGUCAGACCACCCAAAUUUACCUUUUAUAUUGAACAAGCUAACCAAAGUGCCUAACUUAGUGAAAUUUGUGCAUCCCGAGUAUAAAGGCUACUCAGUCUGUUCUAGAAGUUCUUUAAAUGCUUUAGGAUCUGCAGCACAAUCCUUAUAAGCAUCAUUAACCCUAUCUACUGUGUUACCAUUAUCGUAGUCCAUAAACUCAAACGGAACAUCUACUUCUACAUUAGGAAGUGGCGUGUCAUGGACAUCUUUCCCAUGCCAACUCUAGGUUGUGUAAGAAACAUCAAAAUCAUAAAAAUACAGAUGUUCGAGAACAACCGUAUGUGUACGAAAGAAUAGAUUCAUACAUUUAGUACACGGACAUCUAAUGACACUACUACCUUCGGCAUUAGCAAUAGCAAACCUCAUAAAAUUUUCAACCCCAUCUUCAUACUCUUUUGGCAUUUUACUACAAUGAAUCCUACAAUGCAUCCAUGACUUAUCCAUUUUUAGUUUUAAUUAGAUCUGAUCAUGACACAUUAAGGAGGUAGAAUAAAAAAAAAUUAGAAUAUAUUACCACUACAUGUAUGCAAGGUACAAAUUAACAAUGACUUAAAUACCUUUGCUGCAACAUAAACAAAUAAAGAUGAAAAAAAUCCAAAAACAAAUGAAAAACACAUGGAAGAAUACAUAAACUAAAUUUUUCUUGGCACAUGCUUAUCUAUAUUUUGUUCUGAUAUGAAUAAGACUUAAGUCUAAAAAAUAUCAUGAUCACAUGUUUGGUCCAGCAAAGAACACAUAGACUAUUUGAGAUCUAUAACAUUAUAUUAUUAAAAGAAAACAAUUGUUCUACUAAUAUUCUUUGCCAAUGCAAACAUGGUCAAAGUCUUAAGACUGAUCUAAAACUAUAUGAUUUGGUGAUGUUUUCUGUUUCAAAACUCAAAAGCAAGGUUGUUGUUUGUUUUACAUGUCUAAUAUUGCUUUAAACAUGUGGUUUGGUGAUGUUUAAGUUACUAGAAAAUUGAUUAUAGAAGUGAAAGGAUGAUAAUUAUGGAUUCUCCAAAAAAUUUGAGAAUUGUUGGACUAUUAUGGUAAGUUUUAUUGUUUCAAAAUGUGACUAAACUAUUCUUGAUUGACUUGAAAUUUUGAGCAAUUAAAUCUGAAUAUGUAUGUUUCAAGUUUGCAGAUUUUGGAACUAAUAGUUGAUUUUUAAUUAAUUCAUUAAAUUGGCCAGCUGCUGUCCAAAGUUAUCAAAAACUCUAUAUAUGCCAUGUUUGAUGUUAUAAACAAAUGGUCUAAUGGUAUCGAAAUGAGCUGCAAUUUUUAUACAUUAAACUUUAAUAUGUCUUUCAAUUAUGGAAAAUUUCAUGGUAAUUGAACUUGUGGUUUAUGCUUUAUGAUUUUUAAAAUUUUGCUGCUUCAAUUGUAAGCCCUUUUGACAGAGGUGUUCUCUUAAUUUUGAUCUUAUGAAACAAUAGCUCAAUAUAUCUAAAAGGUAAUUUUGAUUGGUUUAGUUUAAUCAUGUGAGACCCUGUUGUACAGUUGCCUAAAUGGCUUCAAAUUUUGAUAUGGAAAUAUAUUAUACACUAAGGCUGAGUUAGAUAAAGCCCAUUUUGAGUGACCGUACCAUGUUUCUGGAAUAAUUGUUGUUGUGUUAGUUAAGCCUUAGCUGGUGUUAUGUAUGGGUGCCUUAUGCCAAACGGAUGACUAGGUUAUGCUAGGGAAACACUUGUACGUGGCUUGUUACACCAGCAGUGUAAACUGAUAUAGUCCCCAUUUAGGUUGACCAUCAGAAUGUAUGUCACUGGUUUCCCGCCUAUAUAUAGUGAAUCCCUAAAAAUCUAUUUAUGUUUCAGGCAAGUCACAUUCAGUGCACAAACAUUUACCUAAGUUUGAUCCGGAAUUGUACCCACACUAUUAACACAAUUUCCAAAAACAAACAAAAUGACAUCAAAAUAGAUACAAACUAUUAUUAAACAAAUAUAAAUGAAACAGUUAAUAAUUUAAACCCAACAACAAAGCAUUUGGUAUAAAAUACUGAAGAAACAAACAAACCUAUUACAAAGAGCAAUCACAUAAGCAUAUGGGGUAUAUAUAGUAACAGGAAAAAUGUUACCUGCCUCGUAAAGUGUGAUAAAACUAGGUCGAUGAACAGAGAAUUAAGUGAAGAAACCAAAGUGCAUUUGAUAGAAACAUAUAAAACAUAGUCAAGUCUUUACAUAUAAGGCAAAGAGAAUCAAAACAAUGUGUUUAACCAAAGAUUUACGCUACAAGACAGAUAAUACCGUUAAUAAAAAAUAUUAGAAGAACAUGCAGCUUCAAUUUUACCCACAUGGAUCUAUCUAUCCUCCGAUAUCCACGACAGAUAAUACCAAAGAUUUCCUAAAUGAGAGUUAGGGUUACCUUAAGAACUAACUUAAUUUUGUUUGCUUGGCUGGUGCUCUUUAUGCUGCGAAGGCAAUGACAUACGGUUUCAAAACGAAGAGACAAUGGUUUAAUUAGGAAAAUUUAAAACAAAAUGAAAGAAAUUGACGGUAUUAGGAGACAAAGCGAAACUGAAGAGGUUGAUGGCUUAAAAGGGGGGAGGCUGAAUUUUGUAUGACGGUAAUGACAGUGUGUGAAUGGUAGAAGAGCAGGAAGAAUUAGGGGUUUCAGAAAAGGGUUUGUGAACGGCGACACAAAUGAGCAAAAGAAAGAGCACUUAGGGUUAGGGAUUUGGAUUUCUCAUCAGUAUAACGUGGAUGUUUAACACUUAGUAAAAAAAAAAAAAAAAACUUAAGUACUUCAAACGGUAGCGUUUUGAUGGCUAUUUUUGUUUUAUUUUUAAAACACAUCCUUUGUUUUUAAAUAAAAUAAUACAUCAAAUUUGGGUCAAAUGUAGUCAAACUCAUUUUUCUAUCAUACUUUUUGAUAGAAUAAAUUUAUAUAACAAUUCUAUCAUAAUUUCAUGAUAACAAAUAAUCCUAUCAUAAAACCAUCAUAAUUUAUUGAUGGCAAAUAUUUCUAUCAAAAGCCCAUCAUAAAUCUAUGAUAGAUUCAAAAUUCUAUCAUAAUUCUGUCGUAAUUUUAUGAUAUACCUAUAAUCUAUCAUAAAGUUUUUGUCAUAUAUUGCCUGUUUUCUUGUAGUGAUCAUAAAGGAAAGCAAGUUCUCUUGAAUUGAAGACAUCAUCUAAUUGAAAAGCUGAUCUGUUCUGAUCCAAGCAAAGAAAGUAUGAUUAUUAUCUUGAUCCAGAUCCAUUGUUUAAAGAGCCAAGGUCAUCUAUAUUUUGAAUAAGAUACUAAUACGGACACUUAUUUGCACUAAUAAUGAAUCUUUCCAAGCCAUUACUUUUGAUUGAAGCAGGAACUCGAGUUCUUCAAAUAAUGAAGUUGUUUUGAUUGAGUUUUAUUGGUUUUACAAAGUUAUAAAAGGUGUUAUUUUGAUUAGAAGCAUUAGCUAGCUGUGAUAUCAUGUUUGAAAUAAAGUAAAAUUAUGUUUGGGUACUGAGAGAAUAAGCCAGAAAGUGAAAAAAUAAAUUCAGAGUUUAUUCAUUUACCUGAGCUUACAAAAUAACUCUCACAUAUGGUAUUUAUACACACAAUUACAUAUAUGAAUCAGUUAUUGGAUCCAUCUAAAAAUACUCAUACGAUCAGACCAGCUAGGCACAAUUGAAUCUUAUUGUAACUUACUUGACAUGUCAGCACAACGGAAUUACUAGGCUACUGAUUAAACUACCAAGCUUGUCAUGCUCUGCAUUUAUCAUGCUCUAAAUCAUCAUCACUAUAUAUUCUAACAAUGAGUAGCUAACAAAACCCAUCAAAGUAUUUCACCAAUGUAAAGAACAUGAGAAAUAAACAUUAUAAACCAAAUAAAUAAAUCAAUUAGCAAAUAUAUCCUUUGAUCAAAUCAAAGACGCUGCUUGCUCUGCUUCUCUAGUUUUAAGCUUAGAAUCAAGAAGAGGAGUGAAGAUGAAAUUUUCAAUGGAGUUUGUAGAGAAUGUAAUUCUGAGGUUGAUGGAGGACCCCAAAAAGAGGGACAAAAAGAACGAUUCAGAGUAGAUGCCUGGCAAAAGGGACCCUUACAACGAUAUUCUUUAACACAGCUAUGAUGCCACUUCCAUCUCUAAUUGAAUGCUAGAAAAUCCAAAAGCAACGGAAGAAUGAUUCAAGGUUUGUCAAAAAAGGAUGGUGAAUUAAGCUAUUGUUAUUAGGCCAGUGGCCAGUAGCAUCAUCGUCAACUAACAGAGUAGAUGUUAAAAGAAAAAGAACAAGAAGUAAAAUUAUAGAUGCCAUAAAAGAACACAAUCCUUAGCUAAAAAGUAAGAAUCUAUUUUCUGUAGUUUUAGGACCCUACAAAUGAGACAUAUGCUAGCCCUGACAUUAUACUUCAAAAUUGAAUUUCAUUUGUUUAAAAAUAGAGAAGAUUGGGGGGUGGAAUAGGGAAGGAAGAUGGUUGAUUAUUAAAGAUUCUUUAUGAUGUAAACUAGAAAAUCAAAAAGAUCGCAUAUACCUCAUUAAAGUUAAAAUCUUGACAUAUUAAGUUCCCUCUGUAAAUAUCUGUUUAAGGUACUCAAAAGGAAAAUUUUAAGAUUUUAAAUAGUAAGAAAAUUUAAAUGAGUGCUCAAAGUAAUAAUAUUAUAUAUGUGCAUAAUAAAGUGUCCUUAAAAAUAAUUUAUGUCAGGGAUAUUUUUGUAGUAAAUUUUUUUAUAGAAAUAUAAAUAUUAAGAGUAAUUUUUAGAGUACAUAUAGCCCUGCUAGGGAUGGCAAUGAAGGCAGAUAUGGGUUGGAUUUGCUCUGCUCCAGAUUCAGAUUCAUAAUGAUAAUCAAAAUCCGUAUCUGCUCUAGAUCCGUCAUGAAUCCAUAUUUCUCGCUCCAUAUCCAGAUUAAAAAAAGAAAUAAAUAUCUAUAUCUGCUCUAAAUCCAAAAAAAAAAAUCCAAAUCUACUCUAGAUCCGUCAUGAAUUCUAAAAUUUAGCAAUAAAAAAGUAAUAAUUUUGCCAAGGCGGAUGUACGGUACAGCAGCUAUAAUCUAUCAAAAAAGAAAAAAAAUCAAAUCCCUGUUAAAUUAUACCUAGAAAUUAAUUAGUAUUAUUCUCGUAUAUUUUGAUGUUGACUUCUAAGUCAUUUCAAAUUAAUAAUCUAAAAAAGAGUUCAGCACUUCUUGUUCAUCAUAAUUGCCUACUACAUAUUAGGUACGCGCUCAUUGAACAUUGUAUUGGUUCUCUAAUUUUUUUAGUUGUUUUCAUAAAUAAUAAAUGGUCUAAAAUACACUUAAUUCAUUUAUCUUGAAAAUUUAUAUUACCUCUCGUAACUAUUACCAAUACAAAUAAAGAACUCGCUUUUCAAAGGUAUUAUUAAUUAAAGGGGAAAAAAAUACCGGUCUUCAUAAUUUUGUCUUUCGAGUAGCAAGUUUGACCGACAAACAAGUCGCUAGAAAUUGGGGGUAUAUAUCAAAUCUGCUCCAGAUUCGUGUUAGAUCAGCACAUCGAUAUUUAAAUUCGAUCCAGAUUCAUUUUAAACAAACCCAAAUCCGAUCCGAUUAGAUUUGGAUCACAUGGAUCUUGGGUUAGAUCCAAUCCAUUACCAUCCCUAAACCGUGCCCUUAAAAGAAAUAUAUGGUAAUAUUUGAUUUUAAAAAAUAAAAAAAGAUGUUGGGAAUACAAUACCGUUUUGCAAGGACAUAAAGGGGCACACUAAUUAUUCUCACUCAUACCCCUUGCAACUUCUAUUGGUAGCUCUAGAUGAUCAGAUUUUAAGGGGAAUGUAGAUAUAAUUCGAUUGGUUUUGAGACACAUUAUUGUAUUCAUUUAUUUAUUUUUCCUAUGCUUUGCCUAAUGAGAUUCAAACCUUUCCCACUCACGUGACGGGCUCAAUCAGGAUCUCUUGAGUCUUGAUCUAUCGGCAUCACUACAAGAUUUUACUAUUUUUUUGGAUUAAAAAUUUUUAUUUAGUUGAAGGAAAAAUCCCCUACACCCUCAAAAUUUUGUUAAAUGAUUACAUAGUCCUUUUGAUUUCAAAAUGAUCGUAUAGAUUUUUUUUUCCUGUUAUGUCCUUUAAUAGUAGCCAAAAUUUUGAAAUGAAUACAAUUACAAUACUAAUAUAAAACAAAAAAUAAAAUAGCAAAUAAAUAUAAAUAAUUAAAAAAAUAAACAUAAUAAUGAAAUAACAUAUAUAUUCAUCUAUGAAACAAACGCAAAUACUCAUUAAAAUAAAUGCAUUUAAAAUUGAAAAUAAGUAAUAAAAUUUACUUAUAUUCUUUAUAUAUUUUAUUUAUAAUAUUAAACAAUAGAUUAAUAUUAAAAUUGUUUUUAAUAAUAUGUUUUCUGCUUAUUAUAUUUAUUAUAGAAUUUUAUUUAAAGUCAAAUUUUGGAUUAUCAUAAUUGAAGGAUAUAUUUAUAAAAAAGAGAUUUACAUGAUCAUUUAUGAAACGAAGGGCUAUUUAUUUUUUUGACUUUAUAACUUAAUUGACUUAAUUUCUAUUUAUUAAGUCAUUAAAUCUGUUUAUUUUUUCCUUUUAGUUAAAAUUUUUAGUCGCUAAGUCAUUAUGUUACUAAACCAAUUUUUGUUUUUAGCUUUUUACUUAAUUUAAAAGUCUGAAUGAUAUCAUUAAAAUAUAUUCUCCAAACUAUCUCUAUUUAAUUAAUUAAUUUUUAUUCUAACCUAAAAAAAAUUUGAUAAUUACAUCAUUACCCAUCCCUAUAACUCGUGAAAAUAUAGUGCAUUGAUAGAAUAUUAUUUUUUAUCUUUUUAUUUUAAUCAAAUUAGCAUUAUUUAUCUUGAUUAACGUACACUACUUAGAAUAUUAAAGGAUUGUACUCAAUUGAACAUAAUUUAUGUUAUUAUAAAUAUUAUCUUUUUUAUGUUCUUUGAGAUAUUUAUUAUUUGUUUCACAUUUAUAAUUUGGACGAACGCAAACAUAAAAAUAUUAGUUUUCAGAUUUUUAAGUUAAAAUGUAAAUAACUUAAUAUUUAUUUUUCGCUAUUCGACAAAAGAAUAUUAUUCAAAUUCAGACAUUAAGUUCUAUUUUGAAUUCAGACUAAUUGAGAUAUGUUCAGAUUUUAGACAAGAAAACAAAUUUUAAGAGAAUUUAUGUAACUAUUUAAGAAAACUUUAAUGGUGGGGUGGCUACUUUCAUUAAUUAAAUUGCUAAUAUCUUGCAUUUUUUUGAGUUGAUAAUAAUAGAGGUGGGUACUGUGCCCGAACCAAUUGGCUCUGUUGCGUAUUAUAUAAUUCAACAAUUGGAUUUUGUUGAGAUGAUAACAGCAGCGCGCCGUGGCUUCCAACUAAGAUUGGAAAAGAUAAAUAUCUUGGUUAUCUUUUGUAUAAUCUUCACUAAAUAUUAAAAAAUAUUAAAAUAAACAUAAUAAUGUAAAAAUUCAAAAACAAUUCAAUAUUUAAAAAAUAUUUUAUAUUUUACAAUUUAUUAAAAUAAAUUUGAUUAUAUUUAAAGUAAAAUUUAUAAUAAAUAGAGACAUAUAUUUACUAAUUGUGAAAUUUAUUUAACCCAAAUAUUUACUUAAAAUCUUUAUAUUAGAUACAAAUAUAUUAUUUACUUUUUCUAAAUCAAUAAAUAUAAUAAUUUACUUUUUUAAAACUACUGUAACGUUUAAAAAAUAUUUUAUUGUUAUUAGUCUAAACAAAAUGAAUUAUUUAUAUUAUAUUUGUUGUUGAUGCGAAUUCGGUGUCUGCUCGUUCGCGACAAGAAUCUCUUCUCAACGCUCGAGUUCGCAGUUAACUAGAGAAACUUCACUUUGCAACUUCUAGAUGAACAAAGCUAUGACGCUUGCUACUUUUCUUCGGCAGACUCCUGCGCACACAAAAAAUGGUCAGAAAUCUCCGGCGUAAACCCUCCGACGCUCAAGUCACAAAUCUGGGCUUACAUUUGGAAAAACUCUACCACUAAUUUUGUGGCUCUAGAAUGGUUUCUAAGGUACUGAAAAUCUCUAUGAAUUUUCCUGAGGUUCCAAUUAGAAUGCCCUCUGGAAUUUCUUUUAAUCUAAGUUUUUAGUGUUUUGUCCAACCCCUUUACCUUCUUUGAUUGCCUCUUUUAUAGCCUCCCUGAGAAUUCGGUCCUCCUUGACUCACAUUCGCCACUUCACCAGAACCCUAAAAAAUGGAUGCGUGAAUGUGGUAGUUCACUUUCCGAAUGAACCCCGCUUUCAAGAGCUUCUCCAUCUCACUGUUUAUGGCUUCAUAUCUCUCCUGUUUGAAAUAUCUUGUUUUCUGCCUCACAGGUCGGGCAUCAUUCUUUAUUACCAACCUAUGGCAAGCCACCUCGGGAUCGAUCUCUGGCAUGUCAUCAUGCCUCCAAGCGAAUAUAUCAGCAUGAGCUUGCAAGCAAUGUACCAGCUCCUACUUAAGUUCUUCUUUAAGUUUCGAUCCAAUUCUAACUGUUUUUCCUGAGUCACCUUGUUCCAAGUCGACUAUUUCCAGCCCCUCAAUUGGCUUAUGUCUGCCACUCUUGACUUCUACUCGGGUGUCAAGUGAGUUAAUUUGCAUUGCCUCCUUUGCAGCUGUAGAGUAACAGCUUCAAGUAAUUCUUUGGUCUCCUCAUACCACCCCAAUUACCCCAUUCACCCGGUACUUGAGAGUCAAGUAAUGAUUAGAGAGCAUUGUCUUACUUACUCUCAGAAAGGGACGGCCUAGAAUCAUCUAGUAAGGGCUCUCCUUAUCGACAACAACAACAAAGUCCAGGAUCAUGGUUUUUUCUGAUGGGGCAGAGCCUAUCGUGAUGGGUAGCUCAACCACGCCAAGGGGCUUAGCCUUCCUCCACCGAACCCCUUUAAGGAUGUAUUGGUGUGCUCUAUCCUCAAAUAUGUUAUUCUCAUUUCCUCCAUAGUUGACUUAAAUAGAACAUCGAUCGAACUUCCGGUAUCUACCAGGAUUUGGUCAAACUUCUUGCUAGCGAUAGUGGCUUCAAUGACAAGCAUGAUCUCGUCUAGGAAUAACACUCCUUCUUCAUCUUCAUCCGUCUACAUGAUCGGCACCUGCCUGGUCCUUGCUCGUUUGGCCGCCGAAGUGUUAAAGAAUACUUAUUUUCUAGUCAUGGAAUAUCUAGCAUAGUUCUUUCUAGAUCUAUUAGAAUCCCCAGCCAACGUUGGGCCCCCAGCGAUAACUCUGACAAUGGGCUGCUCGUGGCCCGCAUUUCUUGCACUCUGCUUUGCUCUACAUGAUGAGUCUGCAAUCAGGAUACCUCCAUCUAUGAAUUCAUCCAAGUAAUGAUUCCUCACUAAAUCUUUCACCUGAUUUUUGAGAUCCUUGCAUUGGGUCGUAGUAUGACCAUGGGUGCCAUGGAAUUUGCGAAACCAGUCCCUAUCUCGUCUGCUGGUCAUUUUUGCUAUUGCAGUAGGGGGAUACAUCAAACCACGAUUCUUUAUUUCAUUGUACACCUCGUCCAGAGGCACCUUCAAGAAAGUGUACCACCCAUAACUCUAACUCUGAUCGAUCAUGUGCAUUGCCCUCUCUCUGUGGGAGGUGUUUUGAGCAGAAUGGGGCAUCGGUGCAUUUGGUUUGCUAGCUCUCAUACACUGUGGGUGGUGAGUCAUCGUGGAAUAAUGAUAAGGAUGACUGUACAUCUAGUCAAGCCUUCCCCAGGAAUCUCUAGCUGGUGAACAAGGAGGCUGAAUCCUACUACACUGAUAUUAGGGUGGCCUCUAAUAAGGUUGGUAAGAGGCGACCCAGCCUUCCGCACUGCUAGCCGGGGCAUGGUGGUCCUUCCGCUUAAUUGGCCUACUUCUCGCUGGGACUUUCUUUUCAUUUCUCCUCAACCCCUCCAACUGGUCCAUCUUAAUCCUCGCCGUUUUUUCCUCCUUGAUUUCUAUGUCCCUCUUGGCCUGUUCAUAGGUCGUGGAAUAUGACUGAACUGUUGGAUUCCUUAUAUUGUACCACGGGCGCCUUAUCCUUACUCUUUCAUUUAGCCAUGUCAAGGCUUGAGGAUGGUUGAAGGCUCUAAGAUUGAGGACAUCAUGAUGGUAUCUUUUAAUAAACUCCCAAAGAGUCUUAUUUUCUCCUUGCUUCAUACUCGUCAGCUCCAUCAUAUCAUCUUCUGGUGUCAUUGCCCCCCGAAAUUGCUCUACAAAUUCUUGGCACAUUUACUCCAAUGUCCUGAUGUUCCCCCGAGAAAGCCGUCAGUACCACUCACGUGCUUAUCCCUCUAAAGUCAGCAGGAACACCCUGCAUCUCUAGGCUUGGGAUACUCCCUGCACUCCUGUUAUGUCAUUGAAACGCUCUAUGCGCACCAAUGGGUAGGUUCGUCCCGCGUAUUUGAGGUCGAGGAAAUGGAAGUCCUUGGGGAUAACAGCACUCAUGAUUUCUGCUGAGAUGGGGGAUUCACUAUCUAGUAUUAUUCUCCAACCGGGUGCUCUAGUACACCUCUACAUGUCGUCUAUGAUUUGUACUAGUCUCCACACUUCUUUCUCUAGCUGCAAUGCUUGACUAGGAUCACGUGCCGCCACCUGGUCUCACUUUUGCUCGAUAUCACGCAGGUGUUGUCAAAGUUCCCUCUCCUCAACGUUCGCAACCCUGUCAUUAUUACUCGUGUUUUACCUACCUGGGGAUUGAUCCCCACAUUUAUGACUUCCUCCCCGUUGAGAUUGGUCAUCGACUCCACCACUAGGCCUCCCGGUGGUUCCUUCACCGUUGUUCCUUUUAUUAACGUGCCCCGGUGUAACUUCACCAUUUCUCAUCCCUUCUUCGUGAAUUCCUCUUUGUUCAUUUGUUAGCUCGUGCAAGAUGGUUUUCAGAGUCUCUAUCUGCUCUUUUAUUCGCUCCAUCCACUCAUGCAUUGCCCUUUCUCGUGCCUCGUUAGCUAUCUCUCUCAAUGUUACAGACUCGUUGAGCCCCAGAUCCUCUCCUUAGGCACUACUCCCACCUACGUCCAUAGUCACCCCUCUCUUCUUCCCUUCCUUCUCUCUAUUAACGGAAGCUUUUUGUUCAGCUCCCCACAGACAGUGGUAAAAUGUUGAUGCGAGAUUCGGUGUCUGCUCGUUCGCGAUGAGAAUCUCUCCUCAACGCUCGAGUUCACAGUUAACUAGAGAAACUUCACUUUGCUCCUUCUAGACGAGCAGAGCUAUGACGCUUGCUACUUUUCUUCGACAGACUCCUACGCACACAAAAACUUUGCCACUAAUUUUGUGGCUCUAUAAUGGUUUCUAAGGCAUUGAAAAUCUCUAUGAAUUUUCCUAAGGUUCCAAUUAGAAUGCCCUCUGGAAUUUCUUUUAGUCUGAUUUUUUUAGUGUUUUUGUCCAACCCCUUUACCUUAUUUGAUUGCCUCUUUUAUAACCUCCCUGAGAAUUCGGCCCUCCUUGACUCACGUUCGCCACUUCGCCAGAACCCUCGGAAAUGGAUGCGUGAAUGUGGUGGUUGCAGUUGAGUGGGUUUCGUGCCUGGAUUCUCGAAUAAUAGUGCAUGUCCUGUUUAACUGUCGUGGACUGGGUCUGCUGAUUUAGCCCCUAGCAGGAAGUGUUCUCGACGCCUAGCAAGGAACCUACUCAUAUUAUGGUCCCAGCAAAGGGUCUCCUCAUAGACGAGGAGAAGACUUCUGCUCUUGGACGUCACAUGGCUCCUCGCUUACGAGAGAGACGACUCCUCGUUUGGGUAUGGCAGGUCACACCAUAAUGUACCCCCAAACAUUUGUAUUUAUUUAAAAUAUUAAAGUUAAUUUCUUUGAGUUACUAUAUUUAAAAGGUUUUUGAUAAAUAAAUAAAAAAGUACUUGGUGUUCCUUUUUAAAAACAUAGAGAUUUACAUGACUAUUUUUUUAAAUUGUAAGAUGUAGGUAAUCUUUUUCAAACAAAAUGUAAUCUUCAUAUACUUAAAAAAAUUACUUAAUAUAUAAGUAAGGCUUGUGAACAUAGAAUUUUUAUCCAAACUAUGAUGAAAACAAAGAAUUAAUAUUUCACAACCUCAAUUAUGUUACUCUCAACUAUUCGGAUAGAUAGUGACAUGUUCACAAUUUUCUUCACUUCAAUCACAAAUGUUUCAAUAAUUAUUCUCUAACAUUUGCCAUGAUGGGUUUCUUGGAUUAACUAGUCAAAAGGCCUAGAUAGAUGGUGUAUGAACUAAUCAACAUAUAUUAUGAUUAGCUACAUUAUUGCUGCCAAUUUUAAGUUGAAAUAUAACAUUUUAGCUGUCAAUUUUGACAAUUUAAUAUGCAAGUUUACAACUCUAUAUUGUCUUUGUACACUUUGUAAUAAUAUCAAUAGAAUUGUAAGUGUAUACAUCAGAGGUAUUAUAUUAGUCAUUCAACAAAUAAAUAAUAUUUAUAACAUAUGUGUAUUUAUUUUGAUUAUUAUUUAUAUUAUUAUUCAACAAAUAAAUAAUAUUUACAACAUUAUUUUUAUUAUUAUUUAUAUUGAUUCAUUUUUUUCUUUGUUCUUACACUAUUAUACACUAUAAUUGCGGUCAAAAUUUUGAAAUGAAUACAGUUACAAUACUAAUAUAAAAAUAAAAAAUAAAAUAGCACAUAAAUAUAAAUAAUUGAAAAAUAAAUGUGAUAAUGAAAUAACAUAUAUAUGUUAUGCAAAUUAUUUUUAAUAUUAAGUUGUUAUUAUCAGUACGACAGAUUUUUUUUAAUACUUAAAUCCAUUAAUCUAAAAAUUAAUUUUAAAAUUUAUGCUAAUAUACACAUAAUAUUAAAAAAAUAAAAUAGGAAAUAUUGUAAACAAAAUACAUAAUAUAAAUAUUGUAAUUUUUUUAAAAUUUGAAUACAUUUAUUUUAAUAAUAUUAAUCUAUGAAACAAAUACAAAUAUUCUUGGAUUAUUAAUAUUAAAAUAAAUGCAUCUAAAAUUGAAAAUAAAUUAUAAAAUUUAUUUAUAAUAUUAAACAAUAUGAUGGAUCAUUAUUAAAAUUAUUUUAAUAAUAUGUUUUAAUAUUAUAUAUAUUCAUUAUAGAGUUUUAUUUAAAGCUAAUUUUUGGGUUAUUGUUAUUAAAGGGUAUAUUUGUAAAAAAUAGAUUUAAGUGAUGGUCUAGAAAACCGAGAGAAUUUAUGUUAUUAUUUACGAAAACCUUAAGGGUGUGAGUGACUUUUUUUCAUUAGUUAAAUAAUUAAUAUCUUGCAUUAUUUUGAGUAGAUAAUAGUAGGGGUGGGUCGCAUGCCCGAGCCAAUUGGCUCCUUGUGUAUUAUAUAAUUCAACAAUUGGUUUUUGUUGAGAUAUUACUAGCAGCGCGUCGCGGCUUCCAACCAAGAUUGGAAAAGAGAUCUUGGUUACCUUCAAGAUGAGAUUAACAAACGAGAGGAAUUAAUAAAUUUGUGAUAUGUGAAUUGAUAAUUUUUAGUUAUUUUAUUUCCACAUCUAAAGGAAAAAAAAAGGUGAAUUAAAUUGUCGAUGAAAUCAUCAUCCAUUCAUUAUGUAUCGCAUUAGUCAAUUUGGACCUACGUUUUUUAAUAAGUCAUUGGUAAUAUAUUGGUAGAUUUGACGGGGUGCAUUGAAUCCAAUUCUACUAGUAAAAUUCAAAAGGUGCUAAAAAAAAGUGUUUAAGUCGAAUUUCAUUAAGUUCCAUUGUGAAUAACUGUAACAUAUGAAAGCAAAACAAACACCUUACACACUAUCAAUUUUGCAGGCUCUUAUCUUGGGAGCAACAGACACCACAACAAUAACACUGACAUGGGUUAUGUCUUUGCUUCUCAAUCAUCGUGAUAUUCUAAACAAGGCUCAAAAUGAACUAGAUAUUUAGGUGGGCAAAAAAAUUAAAUACUAACUAGGCAACUCAAGAGGGGGGUGAAUUGAAAUUUUAAAAUUUAAGUUAAGCAAACCACACAACAAUUUAAUCUAUUGCCUUAAUUAAAUUGAAAACAAUAAAUUCAAUCAUGCCCAAUAUUAAAAGAGUAAGGGAAGAGAAAACAAACACAAAGAUUUUUACGUGGUCCGACAAUCCCCUUCUACGUCCACGCCUCUAAGCUCACCCGCUUGAGGAUUUCACUAUCCAAGCCUCCUAAGGCUUCAAGUUUUUACAAUUGAUUUCCAAGGUGUCAAAGAACCUUUACAAUCAAGAGAUUAUCUCCCCAAUCUCUUCACCCCAAGUGUUUCUCAUACUUGUACACUCACAAUUUGAUGAGAAAUGAAAAUUACAACAAUAAAACUCUCUUUAAGAGUGGAUAUACAAAUGAUAGCUCAAUGAAGAUUUAAUCUAUGAUGAUUUUCGAAUUUGAAGCUCAAUAUAAGUUGUGUGCACUUGUUUAUGCUUGCUUAGGUUACCAAAAAUGAAUUGGAUUUGAGUUUAUAUAGUUUGAGCUCAAAAACUAGCCGUUAUUCACUUUUUAUUCAUAAUCGGCUUACCAUUUAUGGAAUCCGAUUAGCCGCUUGUAUGUUACCGUUACAGCCAAAAUUUGAAUUUCUGAACAUCCGGUAUGCCGCUUAUGAAAUCCGAAUAGCCGUUUAUGCUCCGUUUAUGCUCCAGAAGCUUACUGCCCAACAACCGGAUUACCGUUUGUCAGGAUCCGGUUAGCCGCUUUCAAUUCGGAUAGAUUCUACCCAACAUCCGGCUUACCGGUUUUUCACAUCCGGUUAGCCGCUUACUAUAGUGAACUAUUUUCCAAAAUUACAAUUUAGCCCCAAAACUUUUCAUAACUGUACUAGGGCCCAAAACGUUAUAAAUUUUGUAAAUAGGUCCAAUUUCAGAAUCUCUAAAUAAUACUUGCUAUUCCCAAAACUUUCUAAAAUUAUGAUAUGGCCCAAAAUGAUAUGAAACUUUUCAAAUAAGUCAUUUUCCAAAAUUUCAAGCAAUACUUGUUGAUUUCAAAGUUUUCAAAAUUCUUUCAAUUAAACCAUAAACUUGAAAAGCAACCAAUUUCAUAAAAUCAUUUUUCCAUUAAAUAUGAAACCUUUAUAAUGAGAAAAUAAUGAUUUAUUUAAAAAGUAUAAAAAAUAAUUUGAGCUUAAAAGAUUAAUCAUUCUUAAUUUUGUUUGUUAUCAUCAAAAUCAACAUUAUGGAAACAUAUAUGUUAACAAUCUCCCUAUUUUUUAUGAUGACAAACAUUUCAUGUAUUUAAAGAAUGAUUCCACAAAUUGCUCCCCCUAAAUGUAAUCUUCUCUUACAAUUUGCCAAUUAACUAAAUUAACAAAUUUAAAUACAUGCAUAUUUCUCCCCCUUCAUCAUCAAAAAGAAAACUUAAUUGGCAAAUAAAAAGAGUAGCAAAUUUGUUACCCAUGUUGUCCAAGUAGAAAUUUUGAUAGAAUUUCCCCCUAACAACAAGCAUCACCUCAAAUACAAGUUUAGUAAUAUUACUCCCAAAUUAUUAUAAAUCAUGAUACAAGCCAACUCCAUACACAAAUCAUCACACAAAAAUAUCAUGAACCAUUAUUCCAUCAAUUACCAAGUCAACAACUCAUAACAUAAAUUUAUCAUAUAAAACACCCAUGUAAUCAAAUCAUCAUCAUAUCUCAAAAUCAUCAAGUCCUCACCAUAAUAUUAUCAAAACAAUUAAAAUCAUCAAGUCCUCACCAUAAUCACAUAUCAAUUAUCAAAACAAUUACUCAAAAUGCAUAUUAUUCUCCUCCUUUUGACAACAUCGAAAUGAUAUAUUACUUUGUCUCCCCCUUUGGACAACAAAAAAGUUCAAAAUGCAUAUUAUCCAAAAGCAUAUUAUAUGCUCCCCCUAAAUAUAUGGCCAAUUUAAAAUUUUAACAGAAAUGAUUUUAUCCAAAAACAUAUCAUAUUUAUCUCCCCCUUCAUCGUAAAAAAGAAAAGAUAGAUAGAUGCAAUUGAAACAAGACCAUCAAAAAUAAUUCGAUGAAGAUAUUACCUAUUUUGUGCGAGCAAACAUUUCAGCAAAAUCUCCUAAUGCACAUAUAAUCAUCAAUCAUCAAAAUCAAACAAAUCUAUCAUGAUGAGUUGACAAGCUAUCAUCAUAAAUAUAUAACCAUGCAUCAUGAUAAAGCACUCAAUGUUAAACACAAUGAUAAUUCAAUCAUGUAAACAUACAAGUAUACUUUCACAAAUUCAAGCUAUUAUCCAUUUAUCAUGAUCCACUCAACAUAAUAAAUAGGCAAGAUAAACUUAUCCACUUCAUGUUAAUGCACUUAAUGUUAUGAUACCAAAUGAAAUGUUAAAUAUUUACUAAGAUUAAAAGACCAUCACUUAUAAUCAAUAAAGCAAUAAUAGUUACCAAAACAAUUAAAUCAUCUUGCUUCAUUAUUUUUGCUUAGACCAUGAUCAAGUGAUUAUCCUCAUAAGCUUCAUCAAGGAACUCUCCACCAUUCAUUGUUUGUGGUACCUACAAAACAAAUAUUCAAGUUGUGUGCUUUGGUACCCAAAUACUCUUGGGUCCUUGAACGUUAGAUUUAGUUCCUUUUGGGACCCAAAUACAUUUGACUCCAUAAUAUACAUUUCUCUUAACUGGACAUCUAAAACUCAUAUGACCAUUUCCAUUACAAUAAUGACAAACAAUCUUAUGAUCACUUGUGGAGGUAGCCUUAACAAAAUAAUUCUUAUAAUAUUUUUGUUUCAAGUAAGGCUUAUACCCAAGUCCUCCUUUAUCAAACACACAUUUUUGAGUGCUUAGUAAUUUUUCUAAGUUCUUUUGACCAUUUGUGAAUUUUAACACAAUUUCAUUGAGCUCAUUACUCUUUUUCUUAAGCACAUCAUUUUCUUUCAUCAAUUUAUCAACAUGUGAUUUUUCAUGCUCAUACGAAAUAUUUUGUUUAACUUUAAAUGAUGCAAUUCUAUCAUGCAACAUUUUAUUAUCUAACUCUAGUCCUUUAAUCUUUUCAUUUAAUGAAUCAUUACAUUUUUGUAAAGUAUCCUUUUCAUUUUUCAAGUUAUCUACAUGUGAUUCUAGAUGCUUGUGUGAAGUGCUAAAUUUCUCAUUUGAUAAUGCAACUUCAUCAUGCAAUGUUUUAUUCUCUAAUUCUAAUUCCUUUAUCUUCUCAUUCAAUAAAUCAAUGCAUUUUUGCAUGGUAUCCUUUUCUUCUUAAGGCAUGCAUUCUUUUUACCAAGUUUCAUCCACUCACCAUGCAAUUCUUUAAAAGCGUCAUGUAAUUCAUCAUGAGUAUGAAGAUCAUUUACCUUAUCAAGUUCAUCAUCCGAUUCAUCUCCAAUUGGCAUAAGUGCCAAAUUCGACACUUUAUGAAAUUCCUCGCCGUUUGUAGUCUCCUCAUACACAAUUUCAAGUUUUCUCCAAAUUUCAUAAGCAUUAGAACAAUUUAAAACUCUAUAAAAUUCCUUUUUAUCUAAAGCACAAAAUAAAGCAUUCAUAGCCUUGGAAUUUAAAGACAUGUUUUUCUUAUCCAACUCACUUAACACAUUCUUCCUAGGAAUGAAUGAACCAUCACAAACUAUUUCUCAUAUUUCAUAAUCUAAGGCUUGUAAAAACACUCUCAUCCUAGUUUUCCAAUAAGGAUAGUCAUUACCAUCAAAGAAUGGAGGUCUAAUAGUGGAUUUGCCUUCCAUGAAAGUUGAACUAAUUUGGGUUGCUAUUAAUCUUUAACUCUAGACGGUUAANNNNNNNNNNNNNNNNNNNNNNNNNNNNNNNNNNNNNNNNNNNNNNNNNNNNNNNNNNNNNNNNNNNNNNNNNNNNNNNNNNNNNNNNNNNNNNNNNNNNNNNNNNNNNNNNNNNNNNNNNNNNNNNNNNNNNNNNNNNNNNNNNNNNNNNNNNNNNNNNNNNNNNNNNNNNNNNNNNNNNNNNNNNNNNNNNNNNNNNNNNNNNNNNNNNNNNNNNNNNNNNNNNNNNNNNNNNNNNNNNNNNNNNNNNNNNNNNNNNNNNNNNNNNNNNNNNNNNNNNNNNNNNNNNNNNNNNNNNNNNNNNNNNNNNNNNNNNNNNNNNNNNNNNNNNNNNNNNNNNNNNNNNNNNNNNNNNNNNNNNNNNNNNNNNNNNNNNNNNNNNNNNNNNNNNNNNNNNNNNNNNNNNNNNNNNNNNNNNNNNNNNNNNNNNNNNNNNNNNNNNNNNNNNNNNNNNNNNNNNNNNNNNNNNNNNNNNNNNNNNNNNNNNNNNNNNNNNNNNNNNNNNNNNNNNNNNNNNNNNNNNNNNNNNNNNNNNNNNNNNNNNNNNNNNNNNNNNNNNNNNNNNNNNNNNNNNNNNNNNNNNNNNNNNNNNNNNNNNNNNNNNNNNNNNNNNNNNNNNNNNNNNNNNNNNNNNNNNNNNNNNNNNNNNNNNNNNNNNNNNNNNNNNNNNNNNNNNNNNNNNNNNNNNNNNNNNNNNNNNNNNNNNNNNNNNNNNNNNNNNNNNNNNNNNNNNNNNNNNNNNNNNNNNNNNNNNNNNNNNNNNNNNNNNNNNNNNNNNNNNNNNNNNNNNNNNNNNNNNNNNNNNNNNNNNNNNNNNNNNNNNNNNNNNNNNNNNNNNNNNNNNNNNNNNNNNNNNNNNNNNNNNNNNNNNNNNNNNNNNNNNNNNNNNNNNNNNNNNNNNNNNNNNNNNNNNNNNNNNNNNNNNNNNNNNNNNNNNNNNNNNNNNNNNNNNNNNNNNNNNNNNNNNNNNNNNNNNNNNNNNNNNNNNNNNNNNNNNNNNNNNNNNNNNNNNNNNNNNNNNNNNNNNNNNNNNNNNNNNNNNNNNNNNNNNNNNNNNNNNNNNNNNNNNNNNNNNNNNNNNNNNNNNNNNNNNNNNNNNNNNNNNNNNNNNNNNNNNNNNNNNNNNNNNNNNNNNNNNNNNNNNNNNNNNNNNNNNNNNNNNNNNNNNNNNNNNNNNNNNNNNNNNNNNNNNNNNNNNNNNNNNNNNNNNNNNNNNNNNNNNNNNNNNNNNNNNNNNNNNNNNNNNNNNNNNNNNNNNNNNNNNNNNNNNNNNNNNNNNNNNNNNNNNNNNNNNNNNNNNNNNNNNNNNNNNNNNNNNNNNNNNNNNNNNNNNNNNNNNNNNNNNNNNNNNNNNNNNNNNNNNNNNNNNNNNNNNNNNNNNNNNNNNNNNNNNNNNNNNNNNNNNNNNNNNNNNNNNNNNNNNNNNNNNNNNNNNNNNNNNNNNNNNNNNNNNNNNNNNNNNNNNNNNNNNNNNNNNNNNNNNNNNNNNNNNNNNNNNNNNNNNNNNNNNNNNNNNNNNNNNNNNNNNNNNNNNNNNNNNNNNNNNNNNNNNNNNNNNNNNNNNNNNNNNNNNNNNNNNNNNNNNNNNNNNNNNNNNNNNNNNNNNNNNNNNNNNNNNNNNNNNNNNNNNNNNNNNNNNNNNNNNNNNNNNNNNNNNNNNNNNNNNNNNNNNNNNNNNNNNNNNNNNNNNNNNNNNNNNNNNNNNNNNNNNNNNNNNNNNNNNNNNNNNNNNNNNNNNNNNNNNNNNNNNNNNNNNNNNNNNNNNNNNNNNNNNNNNNNNNNNNNNNNNNNNNNNNNNNNNNNNNNNNNNNNNNNNNNNNNNNNNNNNNNNNNNNNNNNNNNNNNNNNNNNNNNNNNNNNNNNNNNNNNNNNNNNNNNNNNNNNNNNNNNNNNNNNNNNNNNNNNNNNNNNNNNNNNNNNNNNNNNNNNNNNNNNNNNNNNNNNNNNNNNNNNNNNNNNNNNNNNNNNNNNNNNNNNNNNNNNNNNNNNNNNNNNNNNNNNNNNNNNNNNNNNNNNNNNNNNNNNNNNNNNNNNNNNNNNNNNNNNNNNNNNNNNNNNNNNNNNNNNNNNNNNNNNNNNNNNNNNNNNNNNNNNNNNNNNNNNNNNNNNNNNNNNNNNNNNNNNNNNNNNNNNNNNNNNNNNNNNNNNNNNNNNNNNNNNNNNNNNNNNNNNNNNNNNNNNNNNNNNNNNNNNNNNNNNNNNNNNNNNNNNNNNNNNNNNNNNNNNNNNNNNNNNNNNNNNNNNNNNNNNNNNNNNNNNNNNNNNNNNNNNNNNNNNNNNNNNNNNNNNNNNNNNNNNNNNNNNNNNNNNNNNNNNNNNNNNNNNNNNNNNNNNNNNNNNNNNNNNNNNNNNNNNNNNNNNNNNNNNNNNNNNNNNNNNNNNNNNNNNNNNNNNNNNNNNNNNNNNNNNNNNNNNNNNNNNNNNNNNNNNNNNNNNNNNNNNNNNNNNNNNNNNNNNNNNNNNNNNNNNNNNNNNNNNNNNNNNNNNNNNNNNNNNNNNNNNNNNNNNNNNNNNNNNNNNNNNNNNNNNNNNNNNNNNNNAACUCAUAUGACCAUUUUGAUUGCAAUAAUGACAAACAAUUUUAUGAUCACUUGUGGAGGUAGCCUUAACAAAAUAAUUCUUAUAAUAUUUUUGUUUUAAGUAAGGCUUAUACCCAAGUCCUCAUUUAUCAAAUACACAUUUUUGAGUGCUUAGUAAUUUUUCUAAGUUCUUUUGACCAUUUGUGAAUUUUAACACAAUUUCAUUGAGCUCAUUACUCUUUUUCUUAAGCACAUCAUUUUCUUUCAUCAAUUUAUCAACAUGUGAUUUUUCAUGCUCAUACGAAAUAUUUUGUUUAACUUUAAAUGAUGCAAUUCUAUCAUGCAACAUUUUAUUAUCUAACUCUAGUCCUUUAAUCUUUUCAUUUAAUGAAUCAUUACAUUUUUGUAAAGUAUCCUUUUCAUUUUUCAAGUUAUCUACAUGUGAUUCUAGAUGCUUGUGUGAAGUGCUAAAUUUCUCAUUUGAUAAUGCAACUUCAUCAUGCAAUGUUUUAUUCUCUAAUUCUAAUUCCUUUAUCUUCUCAUUCAAUAAAUCAAUGCAUUUUUGCAUGGUAUCCUUUUCUUCUUAAGGCAUGCAUUCUUUUUACCAAGUUUCAUCCACUCACCAUGCAAUUCUUUAAAAGCGUCAUGUAAUUCAUCAUGAGUAUGAAGAUCAUUUACCUUAUCAAGUUCAUCAUCCGAUUCAUCUCCAAUUGGCAUAAGUGCCAAAUUCGACACUUUAUGAAAUUCCUCGCCGUUUGUAGUCUCCUCAUACACAAUUUCAAGUUUUCUCCAAAUUUCAUAAGCAUUAGAACAAUUUAAAACUCUAUAAAAUUCCUUUUUAUCUAAAGCACAAAAUAAAGCAUUCAUAGCCUUGGAAUUUAAAGACAUGUUUUUCUUAUCCAACUCACUUAACACAUUCUUCCUAGGAAUGAAUGAACCAUCACAAACUAUUUCUCAUAUUUCAUAAUCUAAGGCUUGUAAAAACACUCUCAUCCUAGUUUUCCAAUAAGGAUAGUCAUUACCAUCAAAGAAUGGAGGUCUAAUAGUGGAUUUGCCUUCCAUGAAAGUUGAACUAAUUUGGGUUGCUAUUAAUCUUUAACUCUAGACGGUUAAGUCUACACAAGAGCGCAUUGCUCUGAUACCAAAUGAAAUACUAACUAGGCAACUCAAGAGGGGGGGUGAAUUGAGAUUUUAAAAUUUAAGCUAAGCAAACCACACAACAAUUUAAUCUAUUGCCUUAAUCAAAUUGAAAACAAUAAAUUCAAUCAUGCACAAUAUUAAAAGAGUAAGGGAAGGGAAAACAAACACAAGGAUUUUUACGUGGUCCGGCAAUCCCCGCUUACGUCCACGCCUUGAAGCUCACCCGCUUGAGGAUUUCACUAUCCAAGCCUCCUAAGGCUUCAAGUUUUUACAAUUGACUUCCAAGGUGUCAAUGAACCUUUACAAUCAAGAGAUUAUCUCCCCAAUCUCUUCACCCCAAGUGUUUCUCACACUUGUACACUCACAAUUUGAUGAGAAAUGAAAAUUACAACAAUGAAACUCUCUUUAAGAGUGGAUAUACAAAUGAUAGCUCAAUGAAGAUUUAAUCUAUGAUCAUUUUCGAAUUUGAAGCUCAAUAUAAGUUGUGUGCACUUGUUUAUGCUUGCAAAGUUACCAAAAAUGAAUUGGAUUUGAGUUUAUAUAGUUUGAACUCAAAAACUAGUCGUUAUGCACAUUUUGCUCAUAACCGGCUUACCGUUUAUGGACAUCCGUUUAGCCGCUUAUAUGUUACCGUUACAACAAAAAUUUGAAUUUCAGAUUAUCCGGCACGCCGCUUUUCAUAUCCGGUUAGCCGCUUUCAUUCCGGAAGCUUACUGCCCAAAAUUCGGCUAGCCGUUUGUCACAUCCGGUUAGCCGCUUGCUACAGUAACCGGUACAGUGCACUAUUUUUCAAUAUUAUAUUUUGACCCUAAAACUUUAUAAAACUAUAUUAUGGCCCAAAAAGUCAUAAACUUUUGCAAACAGGUCCAUUUUCGGAAUUUCUAAAUAGUGCUUGUCAUUCCUCAACAUUUCUGCAAUUAUGAUAUGGCCCAAAAUGCUAUGAAACAUUUCAAAUAAGUCCUCAAAAUUUCAAGCAAUACUUGUUGAUUUCAAAGUUUCCAAAACUCUUUCAAUAAAACCAUAAACUUGAAAAACAACUAAUUUCAUAAAAUUAUUUUUCCAUUAAAUAUAAAACCUUUAUAAUGUGAAAAUAAUGAUUUAUUUAAAAUAUAUAAAAAAUAAUUUGAGCUUAAAAGAUUAAUCAUUCUUAAUCUUAUUUGUUAUCAUCAAAAUCAACAUUAUGAAAACAUAUAUGUUAACAAUGUCUCGCAAUUUAUGCAACUUCUCAAACAUGUGGAAGCUAUUUCACUUUCCAUUUCUUAAAGAUAAUGUUUUGUUUAUCACUUGCUUUCUGCCUCAAAUUAAUUAUUUGAGACGGUGACCACAUUACCAUUAGUCUAGUAAUUUUGUUUUAAUUUUAUUGUCAAAUCAUUUCCUUUUUACAAUAGAAUUAAUCACAUGUUCAUCACGAACAGGAUUUGACAAACGUUUAGCCAGGAUAUCAAUUUCACCCAAACUAACCAAGAAAAAAAUAACACAUGUCCUGUUUCGCAUGCUCUCCGCUUAUGUUUUUUUAAAUAUUAAGCUUAUACAAAUUUUAUCUACAGUGAUUUGCAAAACUGAACGAACUGUCGAUGUAUCAUGGCAUUCACGUUAUAAGAACUUUAUUAUUCCUAGUUUCGUAAUUUAGAACUUUGUUACACAAGAAUAACUGCAACAAUAAAUCAAAACGUGCAUGCAUAUAAAAGAACUUUUUGUUACCCAAUUCAUCGAUGUACCUGGGUUAGUUAUAACUGUUGGGUUUCUUUUUAUUUUAUAUUUUUAGUAAGUUAGAUCUUUCUUCCAUUUACGACAGCUGACGUUAUCACUUCAGUGGAUUGUUGCAAUUUAAGUUAUUGACACCAGUCUAUCCGCAUAUAUAAACAGGGGCCAAGGCGAGCUUACCAACACAGAAACAUAAAAAACAAUUCAAGAAUGAUUUUAAAAGAAGGAAUGGCCCAAACAAAAGUUCUCACAUGCACAAUUUUGCUCGCCCUUCUGCUAUGCAUGUGUAAGUUUUUAUGUUUAAUCUACUCUUUUGUUCUCCUUUUUUAUAAAGGGUUUUUCUCUACACCCAAGCCAGUUCACGACAGAUUAUGAUAUUAUUUAGUUAGGUUGCCAUUAAAUAUAAGCUUGUCUGCAUUUCUCAUGUAUUUUACAGUUUUGUUGACUCCUAACGAAUAAUUGUGCUUUGAUUCACGCAAAAUUUAUUAAGACUCAACUAAAAUGAAUGUUUAUGCAAAAUAUAACCAAAAUGUAAUAAAAACACCUCAUUUGCUCUAUAAGUGAUCUUGAUUUAAGUCUAUAAUUGAUGUAAUAACUCUCAUUUCAUAUAGUUAUCACACCCCCAAACUUAAACCUUUAAUUGUCCUCAAGUAAUGACAACAUACUAACACUUCAUGCAAACAAUCAUGCAACACAACUUUAGCUAUUUUAUCAAAUUUACAGGGAUUCUUCCACCUUCAUAUCACAAUCCCAAUCAUGCAAAGUGACCAUAGUAAAUCAGUUCUAGACUUAAGCUUCCUUCUGUCCACAGUGUGUGUGUGCUACUUUGAUUGAAUUCCAGAGAUGUUAUAACCUCACUAAGAGAUUGCAUGUAAUUCAGCAGUAACAAAAUUUCAUUCAUAUAUGGGGUAGCAUACAUUUCACAUACUCAAACUGUGCUGAUUUUAAUAUUGAAAACUUGAGAGUAUUCAAUCUCCUCACUGCAACAUUUAUUUUUCAUGUGAAUGUCAAUCAAUUGUAAUGAUGACACCCAAUUACUCAAACCAUGCACAGAUCAGAGUUGCUGCAGCAAUAUCUAUAAUAUAAUCUUACCUAGAGAUAUUUUUUACUCAAGGCUGAACAUGAGGCUCAUGAACAGACCUGGCUACUCAAUGUCCUAGACAGAGGACUUUCUUGUAUUAUUGUCUUUUUUUUUAGAACAUAAAAUGCUACAGCAUUGCUCAUAACUCUUGUUACCUUUGAAUACAACUCUGCAUAUGGGGUACAUACUUAGAUCUGGUUACUCAGCAACUUGAGCCAUUAGAAUAGAGUUUAUUUCAUAGAUAGCACAGUCAAUCAAACUUGUUUUUCCCUCAAACUUAAGAUCUUUUCUAUUCUUUUGGUUCUGCUCUAGCAGUCUCAUACAACUCCACCAAAGUUUAUGUGUAAGGACAAAAUUUCACUCUCCAUCUAUUACUGUCUCUACUCGGCAUUUUUAUGAUCACCCUUUUUAACACUCAAUUUAUCUUCAUUAGGAUUCCAAAUCCAUACACAAAUAUUAAAUAUCAGAGCUUCACAUGACCCAUACAUAAACACAUAUCCGAAAAAUUUUGAUCUUAUCUCAUUGGUUGUAAAAUAAUUGUGUUCACAGAUCAUGCUGCUCUUAAAUAUCUUCUCACAAAGAAAGAUGCAAAAGCUAGACUAAUUCGUUGGGUGUUACUUUUGCAGGAAUUUGACUUGGAAUUCAAAGAUAAAAAAGGGAUAGAAAAUGUUGUGGCGGACCACCUCUCUCGUCUCCAUUUUGACACAAUUAUAGAACAAUUACCAUUAAAUGAGUCAUUUCCAGAUGAACAAUUAAUGAAUGUGGAAGUAUUAUCUUGGUAUGCUGAUAUAGUUAAUUAUCUUGUUACAGGUAAACUUCCAGAGCAUUGGACCAAGCAAGAUAAGGCUAAAUUCUUUGCAAAGAUAAAUAAUUUCUUUUGGGAUGACCCGUAUUUGUUCAAGUAUUGUGCAGACCAAAUUGUUAGACGAUGUGUCCCUGAAAAUGAAAUUCAGAAUAUUCUUUCAUUCUGCCAUGCACAAGCUUGUGGAGGCCACUUCAGUGCUAAGAAAACUGCGACUAAAGUUUUACAAUGUGGUUUUUAUUGGCCAACUAUAUUUCGAGAUGCUUACACUUUCUGUUCUUCAUGUGAUAGGUGUCAACGAAUGGGGAGCAUUACACGAAGGAACAUGAUGCUACUAAAUCCAAUUUUAGUGGUUGAGAUUUUUGACGUAUGGGGUAUCGACUUCAUGGGACCCUUUCCUCCUUCUUUUGGCCAUCAAUACAUAUUGGUUGGUGUUGACUACGUAUCGAAAUGGGUGGAAGCAAUUCCAUGCAGAACCAAUGAUCACAAAGUGGUGAUAGGAUUUUUGAAAAGCAACAUUGUUUCACGCUUUGGAUUCCCUCGAGCGAUAAUCAGUGAUGGUGGUGCCCACUUUGGUAACAAAGCAUUCAAGGCUCUUUUGACAAAGUAUUCAAUCACACACAAAGUGGCGACCCCUUAUCAUCUGCAAACCAGUGGUCAAGUUGAGAUCUCUAAUCGAGAAAUAAAGCACAUAUUAGAAAAAACAAUGAGGCCAGACAGAAAAGAUUGGUCAUUAAGACUUGAUGAUGCAUUAUGGGCAUAUAGAACGGCUUUCAAGACCCCGAUUGAGAUGUCACCCUACAGGCUAGUGUAUGGAAAAGCUUGCCACCUACCUGUGGAACUCGAGCAUAGUGCAUAUUGGGCUAUCAAGAAAUUCAACUUUGACAUGCAGCAAGCCAGCUCAGAAAGAAGAUUACAGCUGGCAGAACUUGAAGAAAUUCGCAAUGAUGCAUACGAAAAUGCCAAAAUUUACAAGCAACGAAUGAAAGUCUUUCAUGACAAGCACAUUAUGAGAAAAUCUUUCACUCCAGGUCAGAAAGUGCUUUUAUUCAAUUCUCGCUUGCACCUAUUCCCAGGUAAGUUACGCUCUCGAUGGUCUGGUCCCUUUAUUGUUCAUACUGUUUUUCCACAUGGGGCAAUUGAAAUUAAGGACCCAAAGAACGGUGUCACGUUUAAAGUUAAUGGUCAAAGAUUAAAGCCAUAUCUAGAGUACCAACCACAUGGAGAAUACACCGAAAUAAAUUUGAGUGACCCACCAGAUUUGAAUUGAUUUUUUUUCUUUUUUUUUGGUGAUUUGAUUUUUUUCCUUUCUUUUUAUUAUUCUUUUACUAAUUGAAAUUAUUUUUGCAUAAGUGUGUUUAUUUUACCAUUAAGUUUUCGCUUAUCAUUUUUAAUCAUGAGUCUCAUACUUAGACCGUUCCUCCUGAACAUUCUUAAACCACUUCAACGUGUCAAAACUCAUCUCAAAAGACAGAUUCAAUUUUGUAAAACACAUCGCAUUUAGGCUCUACAACCACCAGAGUUAGUAGCCUAUGUUGAGGGUUUAGAAAGCCAACUCAGAGACAUUGAGAGAAAUGUUUAUGACAUCCAAUUAGAGCUUGAGGUAAAUUCAAUAAGAGGAUGAUUUUAAUUUUCUUUGUGUGUUUUAAUUUGUUUUUCUAUUUGUGUGCUUUAGUUUGUUACCCCGGUGAAGUGGCGGAUAACGGUACUCCGUGACAAUCAAGUCGGUUAACUUCAGUUUCCCAUAAUAACUGAUAUUCUGAGGCGAAAGUAUGGACAGAAACGAGAUUCUAGUGAAGCUUCACAAGCGAUUCCCUUCACUUCCUCAGAAUGCCCUCCUUACAAUCUAUAAAGCUCGGUCCGAACGCAUGCGAUCACUCAUGAAGAAUAACAUACCUGCAGACAUCCGUUGGUUAAUCGAGGCUAAAGUACGAUCGGCAGGUGAGUUACCUCCAAAAUUUAUUGCAUUCAUGCCUGGUUGUGGUAAAGGAAAUUAUGCAAGAAAACGACGAGCUCGAAGAAUUUCUGUUGCUUGUCAAAAGUGUGCCAGAAUGAGUUGCAAUAAAAACCCAUGUUCUUUAGGAAUGAUGUCUGAUAACAGGGAAGAUAAGAUUCAAUUCAUUAGGGAUGGCUUGAAUAAGGAGUCAUUGGAUGAUAUCAUUUUGUCUCUUGAAACGCAUCCCAGUGGAUAUGUNNNNNNNNNNNNNNNNNNNNNNNNNNNNNNNNNNNNNNNNNNNNNNNNNNNNNNNNNNNNNNNNNNNNNNNNNNNNNNNNNNNNNNNNNNNNNNNNNNNNNNNNNNNNNNNNNNNNNNNNNNNNNNNNNNNNNNNNNNNNNNNNNNNNNNNNNNNNNNNNNNNNNNNNNNNNNNNNNNNNNNNNNNNNNNNNNNNNNNNNNNNNNNNNNNNNNNNNNNNNNNNNNNNNNNNNNNNNNNNNNNNNNNNNNNNNNNNNNNNNNNNNNNNNNNNNNNNNNNNNNNNNNNNNNNNNNNNNNNNNNNNNNNNNNNNNNNNNNNNNNNNNNNNNNNNNNNNNNNNNNNNNNNNNNNNNNNNNNNNNNNNNNNNNNNNNNNNNNNNNNNNNNNNNNNNNNNNNNNNNNNNNNNNNNNNNNNNNNNNNNNNNNNNNNNNNNNNNNNNNNNNNNNNNNNNNNNNNNNNNNNNNNNNNNNNNNNNNNNNNNNNNNNNNNNNNNNNNNNNNNNNNNNNNNNNNNNNNNNNNNNNNNNNNNNNNNNNNNNNNNNNNNNNNNNNNNNNNNNNNNNNNNNNNNNNNNNNNNNNNNNNNNNNNNNNNNNNNNNNNNNNNNNNNNNNNNNNNNNNNNNNNNNNNNNNNNNNNNNNNNNNNNNNNNNNNNNNNNNNNNNNNNNNNNNNNNNNNNNNNNNNNNNNNNNNNNNNNNNNNNNNNNNNNNNNNGAUAUGUUUCUAGAUUUACAUAUGGCAAACAUAAAGAGUUCGUUGAGGCAGCCAUAGAUCUUGGUCGAAGCAUAGCAGUGAGAAAAUUACAUUUGGUGUAUGGAGGAGGUAACCGAGGGUUAUCAAAAAUUGUCUCAGAAGCAGCUUUUAUCAGAGGAAGUCAAGUGUUAGGCAUCAUCCCAAGAGUCCUAAAACCAUUGGGCAGCUCGUCUGACUCAUCAACUGGAGAAGAGUUAGUCGUCUCAGGUAUGCAAGAAAGAAUAACUGAAAUGCUUAAUCAUGCUGAUGCUUUUAUUUUCCUUCCAGGAGAUCUUGCAACACUAGAGGCACUUAUGACACUAGCAUCUUGGGCCCAUCUGCACAUCCACCAGAAACCCAUCGGUUUGUUAAAUGUCAAUAACUUUUAUGAUGGCUUUAUCGCAUUUCUUAACCAUGCAAUAAAAAAACUAUUUCAUUCCCGCUAAUGUGAAAAAACUCUUUAUUUGUGCUCACACUGCUAAUGAGCUACUUGAUAUGUUACAAGCUUAUAAACCGGAGCCAGACCCCUGGACCUUUGUGUUGGCUGCUGUACCGUACAUCCGCCUUGGCCGUACAGCAGAGUGAUUAAUUUCAAAUUUUACUAUUUGUAUUAUCUUUGGUCUUAAGUGAUGUUACGCUAUGUUUGCUACUUUACAUGUUGAUGUCGGAGACAAAUAUGAGUUGCUUGAAGGAAUGAACAUGUCAUAAAUAAGUGCCAAGUGAGUUGUUGAGCCUAUCAUUUUCUUAGAGAGUAACCCUUUAGCCCAUUCUCUAUACAGCUUAGCAGUUUAUUAUUUUAUACACAAUCUCUAGAUUUCUUUUGAGUUAACCCUUUAAAAAAAAUAGUAAAAUUAAAAAAAAGAAAAAAAGAAAAAAAUGUGUGUUGCUACAUUGGGAGGCCCAUCAACUAGUAGAUAUGGAUAAUUAUUUAGAGCCCUAAAAGACGAUGGAAAGGCCAUCUUUGAUCCGUUUGAGCCUUUCUAGCCAUCCCUGUUAUUAAAUAUCCAUAGUUACCCCUUUUGAGCCUUUAAAAAAAAAUAAAAUAAAAUAAAAAAACAUUUUCUUUGUCAACUUAUCAUCUUGACCCACUCUGAUUUGGAGUAUUACCCGAUGUCUUAUAAGUUCCAUCACCAAUUUAUGUUUGAGAAAAUGUAAAUAAUUAUGUUGUUCAGUGAAGUUAUGCCAAAUAAAAGCUAAAAAAAAUAGUGGUGCAUAAAAAAAAUAAUAAAUAAAUAAAAAAAUAAAUUGGGUUGACGUUUUUUUUUAUUUGACUUGAGAUCGUAUUAUUUCUAAGUUGAGGGCAUAUUUAUUUCAUCUUGGUGAGAGCAUGUGAUAUCACUUUUUCAUUAUUUUCUCGAUUGUUGAAAUGGAGUUUAAUAAUAAAAGUUAGAGAAUGGGGUUCACACAAUAAGUUUUACUUAAGGGUAUUUUUGUCAUUAAUGGAGGUGUUAAAAGAAUUUUAUAAUUUUUUAAAAUAUUUUAGUGGGGUUAAUUAAAAAAAGGGGUGUUAAGAGAUCCUUAGAGGGGUGCCAAUAGUCCCAUUCAUCUAUUUAAUCUAUAGAGAGACCGCAAAGUAAUUUGCCAAAAAUGUUUGUAUGUUGUACCAAGGGCAUCAAAGCUUUGUUAGCGAGAUCUUUAAAUAUAUUAGAAGGGUCAAGGAAGCACAAAAGUAUAAAGUUAUUUAGAGCUAACAAGUUUAUAUAAUCACAGUCAAGAUGAAGUAAACGUCGGGCAGUUGACGCCGGCCACUUAAUCGUUUUAGUAGUUUCAUUGCUUAUGACUUCAAAGGAAUCACUUGCAUAAUUCGUUAGGUGGUUUUGGGUGUACUCAGGAACGGCUCGAUCAUAUCUUUAGCCUUAGGCAAAUUGUUUUAAUUAGACCUUCCAAAAAAUUUGAGGUAAAAUACAUGUAUUAAUUUUAUUACAAAUUUAUUUAUUUAAAAUCAAUUUCUCUAUCUCUCUAAGAUGUAAAAUUAUUAAUAAAAAAUUUAUAUUUUAACUUCGCUAAUAUCUUUCCCAAUAGAUAGUAUAGUUAGUCCAUUUAAUCUUUUGUAUAACAUGGCUGGUCUUAAAUAAGAUUUUAUCAAUCACUCCUUUUUUAGAUUGAACUACAUUUUCUAUUCUUAUCCUUUUCUUAAGUUUUUCAUAUCCUUAUGCAUAUUUUCUAGUAGAUAUUUUUUCCAGUGAAACAAGAGUAAACAAACAAACAAUUAUACUAGAUAAUUACAAGAAAACCACCUAUGAAUGCCAUUAUAUUUUUAAAAAGAAAUAAAAACAACUAAUUAAUAAAAGAAUGGAAAGAUAAAACUUAGAUUUUUCAUAAAUUUAAAUUUUAUGGACCGAGACUUUGAACAGUAAUGAUCAAUGGAAAGUAAAAAAAUUGAUUUGCAAUUAAUUUUUUUUUCUUAAGUGGAAAGUAGAGUAGAGAAAGUAGUUUUUUCACCCAGGCAUUUUAGAUAUCGUGUAAUUUUUUUCAUUGGAAAAAGAUAUUAAUGAUAAUAAUUUAAAAAAUAUCUAGCUUUUAUAAAGUUUUAAAUCAAAUAUAUAACAUUAUAAUUACGUUAAAUAGAGAUUUUGUGGGAAACAAAUGGAUUAAAAUUGUUAAUUGUAAUUUUAUAUAGGAACUUCAUAGUUUGUUUGUGGAACAUAAUUGUGAAAUAAUAAUAAAUAUAAAUCAAUAAUUAAUAGCUAUAAUUUAUGAAUAAAAUUAUGGGCCUUCAUUUAUAGUGGGGCCCUAGGCAAUCGCCUAAGCUGCCUAGAAGGAAGAGUCAUUCUUAGGUGUACUACAUUAUAUUGGACCACAUUAGGGAUUACACUAAAUUAUAUUGUAUUAUAUUAUUGUAUUAGAUUGUUAAUCCAAUAUCAUAUUUGGGUGUAGUAUAUGGGUUAGAUUGCGUAUUUUAAAUAAUAUUAAAUUGUUAUUUUCUGGUUUAUUAGUAAAAAUUAAAACAACCACCACUGACCACCACCAAUCAUCAUAAAAAAAAUUUAUAAACGAUGUCCUCUGCUGUACGGCCAAGGCGGAUGUACGGUACAGCAGCAAUUAAAUCAUGAGGGGGGAAUCCACACCUCAUGAAUCACGCUCUAAUCAAUAUGGUGCUAAGGGCUUAUCGUGCCAAAUAAUAAUAACCUUAUACUAGAGAGCCGGUGUAACCAAGGCGGUAUCUAGACAAGAUCAGUAUUAUUUGUCGACGAUAAGUCAAAUCAUCCACAAAAACUAGAGGGGAAAAGAAAAUAAAUUUACCAAAUAAAGCCCAUGAUGCAUGUUGAUACGGAUCCAGAUACCCAAGUACGUCAAUUUAAUCGAUUUUCUCUACAAUUUAUUCUCGCCAUUGCAAUUCCAAUUUUAGCAUAUUUUAAAUCACUUCCACCACAAUUCCAACCACCCAUUUACAAAAUUAAUUCUAUAUAGAAUUAAAAAUCCACCUCCUCGUGGGAUCGACACUCGUCACCAUUAGUCUAUACUACAAUAGAUUCGUGCGCUUGCGAGUACAUUAAAAUUUGCACAACAUGAAACUCUCUUUAAGAGUGGAUAUACAAAUGAUAGCUCAAUGAAGAUUUAAUCUAUGAUGAUUUUUGAAUUUAAAGCUCAAUAUAAGUUGUGUGCACUUGUUUAUGCUUGCUUAGGUUACCAAAAAUGAAUUGGAUUUGAGUUUAUAUAGUUUAAGCUCAAAAACUAGCCGUUAUUCACUUUUUGUUCAUAACCGGCUUACCGUUUAUGGAAUCCGGUUAGCCGCUUGUAUGUUACCGUUACAGCCAAAAUUUAAAUUUCUGAACAUCCGGUAUACCGCUUAUGAAAUCCGGAUAGCCGUUUAUACUCCAGAAGCUUACUGCCCAACAACCGGAUUACCGUUUGUCAGGAUCCGGUUAGCCGCUUUCAAUUCGGAUAGAUUCUGCCCAACAUCCGGCUUACCGAUUUUUCACAUCCGGUUAGCCACUUGCUACAGUGACUGCUACAGUGAACUAUUUUUUAAAAUUACAGUUUAGCCCCAAAACUUUCCAUAACUGUACUAGGCUCAAAACGUUAUAAAUUUUGCAAAUAGGUCCAAUUUCAGAAUCUCUAAAUAAUACUUGCUAGUCCCAAAACUUUUUAAAAUUAUGAUAUGGCCCAAAAUGAUAUGAAAAUUUUUAAAUAAGUCCUUUUCCAAAAUUUCAAGCAAUACUUGUUGAUUUCAAAGUUUUCAAAAUUCUUUCAAUUAAACCAUAAACUUGAAAAGCAACCAAUUUCAUAAAAUCAUUUUUCCAUUAAAUAUGAAACCUUUAUAAUGAGAAAAUAAUGAUUUAUUUAAAAAGUAUAAAAAAUAAUUUGAGCUUAAAAGAUUAAUCAUUCUUAAUUUUAUUUGUUAUCAUCAAAAUCAACAUUAUGGAAACAUAUAUGUUAACAAAAAAGGCAAGUGGAUGAAGAAGAUAUAAAAAAUUUAGUUCACUUGCAAGCCAUUCUCAAAGAAGCAUUCCGUUUGUAUCCUGCUGUGCCAUUCUUAGUUCCUCAUGAGUCUAUGGAAGAGUGCACAAUUAAUGGUUACCAUGUCCCUGCCCGCACACAACUUUUUAUCAAUGCUUGGAAAAUUCAACGUGAUCCAAGUGUUUGGGAAGAGCCAUCUAAGUUUCAACCAGAAAGAUUUUUGACAAGGCACAAGGAUAUUUAUGUUAAGGGACAAAAUUUUGAAUUGUUACCUUUUAGUAGUGGCAGAAGAAUGUGUCCUAGAGUGUCAUUUUCCCUCCAAGUUAUGCAAUUUACACUUGCUUCUCUACUUCAGGGAUUUGAUUUUGCAACCCGAUCUAAUGAACCGGUGGACAUGGGUGAAGGAUUGGGGUUGACCAUGGAGAAAUCUCAAUCAUUUGAAGUACUUGUUACUCCAUGUCUUUCUGCUGCCUUCUACGACUAAAUUGAUUAUAUAUAUAUAGAUUGACCAAUAAAUAAGUGACAAGUGUGUGGUGUCACAUGUAGUGAGUUGUAAAGUCAAUUCCUUAAAGAUAAGGAUGUACUGUGUGAUAUAAUGUAAAUAAGUUAUGAGUCAUAAAGUAGAUUCCCUAGAGAUAAGAUGUAAUGAUGUAAAUAAUAAAAAAAGAUUCCCUUAGUGCCUAUAAAAGGGACUCCCUGGGAGUGUGUUGGAUCAUUGAAAUCUUAUAAUAUAGAGUUAUAGUAAGAAUACUUGGGUGAAACCUUGUAUUCUCUCUUCCAGUAAUAAAACCAUCCUUUGUAUUUUCUGUCUUUAUAACUUGGUAUCAGAGCCAGUACUCCCAAAAGGAGUUUUCUAAGCCCUUCUAUAAUAAAGUAUGCUCUGUGGUCGCCGUUGAAAUGAAUCUUCCACAACAGAAACAUUAUAGAAGACUAGAAAGCAUGUGUUCCCAAAACUAGGUUAUUUGAUCAAGAGCUACAUAGAAAAGAUUUCUUUGAAAAGGCGUGGCACCUUAUUUUUAGUAAGUGACAAGAGUGUUGUGUCACAUGUAGUGAGUUGUAAAGUAGAUUCCUUAGAGAUAAGGAUGUACUAUGUGAUGUAAUGUAAAGAAGUGACAAAAGUAUGGUGUCACAUGUAAUGAGUUGUAAAGUAGAUUCCUUACAGAUAAGGAUGUACUGUAUGAUGUAAUGUAAAGAAAUGAUGAGUCAUAAAGUAGAUUCCCUAUAGAUAAGUUGUAAUUAUGUAAAUAGUAAAAGGAGAUUCUGUCAGUGCCUAUAAAAGGGACUCCCUAGGAGUGUGUUGGAUCAUCGAGUCCUGGAGUCUUGUAAUAUAGAGUUGUAGUAAUAAAACCUUUGAUAAGGCAUGAUCCAUCCUUCUUUAUAUGAAGGCAAGUGGAUGAAGAAGAUAUAAAAAAUUUAGUUCACUUGCAAGCCAUUCUCAAAGAAGCAUUCCGUUUGUAUCCUGCUGUGCCAUUCUUAGUUCCUCAUGAGUCUAUGGAAGAGUGCACAAUUAAUGGUUACCAUGUCCCUGCCCGCACACAACUUUUUAUCAAUGCUUGGAAAAUUCAACGUGAUCCAAGUGUUUGGGAAGAGCCAUCUAAGUUUCAACCAGAAAGAUUUUUGACAAGGCACAAGGAUAUUUAUGUUAAGGGACAAAAUUUUGAAUUGUUACCUUUUAGUAGUGGCAGAAGAAUGUGUCCUAGAGUGUCAUUUUCCCUCCAAGUUAUGCAAUUUACACUUGCUUCUCUACUUCAGGGAUUUGAUUUUGCAACCCGAUCUAAUGAACCGGUGGACAUGGGUGAAGGAUUGGGGUUGACCAUGGAGAAAUCUCAAUCAUUUGAAGUACUUGUUACUCCAUGUCUUUCUGCUGCCUUCUACGACUAAAUUGAUUAUAUAUAUAUAGAUUGACCAAUAAAUAAGUGACAAGUGUGUGGUGUCACAUGUAGUGAGUUGUAAAGUCAAUUCCUUAAAGAUAAGGAUGUACUGUGUGAUAUAAUGUAAAUAAGUUAUGAGUCAUAAAGUAGAUUCCCUAGAGAUAAGAUGUAAUGAUGUAAAUAAUAAAAAAAGAUUCCCUUAGUGCCUAUAAAAGGGACUCCCUGGGAGUGUGUUGGAUCAUUGAAAUCUUAUAAUAUAGAGUUAUAGUAAGAAUACUUGGGUGAAACCUUGUAUUCUCUCUUCCAGUAAUAAAACCAUCCUUUGUAUUUUCUGUCUUUAUAACUUGGUAUCAGAGCCAGUACUCCCAAAAGGAGUUUUCUAAGCCCUUCUAUAAUAAAGUAUGCUCUGUGGUCGCCGUUGAAAUGAAUCUUCCACAACAGAAACAUUAUAGAAGACUAGAAAGCAUGUGUUCCCAAAACUAGGUUAUUUGAUCAAGAGCUACAUAGAAAAGAUUUCUUUGAAAAGGCGUGGCACCUUAUUUUUAGUAAGUGACAAGAGUGUUGUGUCACAUGUAGUGAGUUGUAAAGUAGAUUCCUUAGAGAUAAGGAUGUACUAUGUGAUGUAAUGUAAAGAAGUGACAAAAGUAUGGUGUCACAUGUAAUGAGUUGUAAAGUAGAUUCCUUACAGAUAAGGAUGUACUGUAUGAUGUAAUGUAAAGAAAUGAUGAGUCAUAAAGUAGAUUCCCUAUAGAUAAGUUGUAAUUAUGUAAAUAGUAAAAGGAGAUUCUGUCAGUGCCUAUAAAAGGGACUCCCUAGGAGUGUGUUGGAUCAUCGAGUCCUGGAGUCUUGUAAUAUAGAGUUGUAGUAAUAAAACCUUUGAUAAGGCAUGAUCCAUCCUUCUUUAUAUGGGAGUGAAACAAAAUAAUUUUCUCUAGAUCAGAACUUGUUUGGAAUAUCUGCACAGCACUGUAAAAGUUCUUUGUGCUGGAUUUCAAAUUUCUAGAAUUGAGAUUUUUGGAUUUACCUCUUAUCACCCCUCCAAAAAAUGGACUGUUGCUCAACCCAUGGAAUCAUGAAGAAAUGGACUUUUGAUCAACAGGAUUGGUAAUUGUAUAACCAAAACCUUCUGGAUGGAAAGUGAAUGAGGCAAUAAGACUCAAGAAAUCUGUUCUAAGUAGUAGAUCUUCUCCUGAAGAGUUAUAAGUGAAGAAACUAAUCACCACUUGUUGCUGCAAAGCUAACUUGUAUCAGUACAUGGUACCUUUUGGGUAGAUAAUUUCCACAGAUGAUUGAAGAAACAGCUCCAGUAUCAAUUAAGGUAGUGAAAGCAAUCUGUUUAUUAUCUGAUAACUAGAGGAUGACUUUGACAUAGGGUUUGAAUGCUGAUGUUGACUGCAUUUUUAGAUCAAUAGGCUAUUCUUUAGAAAUAUUUAGAACUUGUUCAUCAUUUGAAGAUUCUUCUGGCUCGUUUGACUCGCUGGAUGUAUCAGACUUUUGAGACUGUGAGUCAAUUGCGAGUAAUGCCUGUUUAGGAUUGUCAGACUAUUCAUAGUACUCAUCAUCAAACUCUGGAUCUUCAAUGAGUUGAAGUAGCUUGGUCAAACUCCUCUUCUUGGGUUUGCAUUAUUUUGCAAUAAUGUCCUUUCUUGCCACAAAUGAAACAUCUGCAUGACCUUUUCUAGAACUUUUUUCUUUUGACAAAGCGGAGCUUCUUGCUUUUGUAUGGUCUCCAGGGUUUUGUUUUCUUGCUGUGAAACUUCUUCGAACAAUAACAUGAGCUGCUUGUUUCAUGGCAACUAAAUUUGUUGCGUUUGUCAUUGCAGUAUUUGGACAAAGAGGAUUUCUUUAUCUGCUUCAUGUACUUCCUUAAUUCUUGAUUCCUGCAAUGAUUCUGGAUCGACAACAUAGUAUUGUCAUUGCAGUAUUUGGACAAAGAGGAUUUCUCUAUCUGCUUCAUGUGCUUUCUUAGUUAUUGAUUUCUCUAUCUGUGGGCUUUUGGAAGAUAUAGUAAAGUCGUUGCUGCUCCAUGUAGUAUUCUUUAAGCUUUUAAACAUCACAGCAAUUGUUCUAGAGGAAUUGUUUUUCUUGGCAACUGUGUUUUUCUUGGUCCGGAUCUAAAGAAAUCUGUUGUAAAAGUUUCUAAAACAACAGCACAAGGGUCUGGUCGGGAUAACAUACAUUCUCGUUGGAUUGGUGUCAAGAUGUUACUCCACUAUAACCUAAGCGAUCCAGUAAAGCCUGCUACUAAUCUAUGCAUAGUUGCUCUUCUGGUUAGCUGUGGUGUCUUUGGCAUUCUCCUUCAUACCAUGCUAUCAUUUGUUCAAUGUAAGGAAUUUUGUCUUGUAGUUUGAUAUUAUAAAUAUUCCAAAUGACUUUUCCUUGAGGAGAAUGUGAAAUCUGGACUCGUGUUUCCUAUUCUUAGCAUUGUUCUUCUUCUUCACCCAUUUGUUCUUGUUGAUGUUCUUACCGAGAUUGUUGUGGCUGUCUUUUUGGAGGAUCUGAAGAUGUUACUCCUGAGUGUUGGCCUGUCUCGAAGGUAAAUGGUACUGUGAACCUUGUCCUUGUGUCAACAUAUCUUGGAUUGGCAGGAUAUUGAGGUCUUCCUUCCAUUAUUAUUGGUCUUCUAAAAGAGCAAAAUGAAUCUACAGUUGGAUUGGAUUCAGAUGAACUUUCUGAAUCUUCCUAACUUGUAACUAUAACCGGCCAUGGUUGUGCUGGUGGCAUCUCAUAGCUUCUUUAGAAUGCUUUGGUGUUGUUGCCAAUGGAGCUUUCUUCCAAUAUAUAAGCUGGUUUGGAAGGCUUGUCAUUUUUCCAGGAAGUUUUCUUUUGUUUUCUUUUAUAGUAGUCCUGGUAGCAUUACACGGCUCUCCUUAUUUCUUCUUCACUAUCGGCUCAUGUCUGAGCAAACAUUGUUAUUCUUCUGGGUUUUUCAUGCCAUUCUGACAGCUGUCUGUUUGUGAAUCUUUGGGCUUUUUCGAGUUUUCUUGAUUUGUUUCUGCAGUUUCUGUAUCCGGUUUCAUGGUUAAUCCAUUUAUCUAGACUAACACUUUUAUGGUUUGAGGAAGGGUUGGCUUGUGUAGGUCAAGGGUAAAAUUUGGUUCCACCUGCUCAACUACAUGUCCUUGGUUGAGUCCCACCUCAACUGCUGAGAUUAAAGCCUUUCCAAAAGUUUGCCAUCUUGGAUCAAGAAUGGCGAGAAAGCAAGUGACAUUUUUGCCUGCAAGAAAUAAAGGCUGGAUUCUAAGUCUGAUUGCACCAAGAUGCAAUCCUCUAUAUCCUUCAAUCAUAUAUUUCUUGACGUCUUGAGGAGAGAGAAUAUAAAGAUAGGUUUCUAUGGAACUAGAGGAGAUAGAUUAUACUGCAACUUCAGAAGACUUAUAUACAGACUUGAGUUUCGGCUGACGAAAAGGAACAACAUAUUUAAACAGGACAUCCAAACACUUCUGGACCUUAAGCUCAUCAGGCCCUCUAAAUCUCAUUAGGCCAGCCCAGAACAAGCAUUCGGAGCAAGUUCGUGGAAAGAAAAGAUUAGUGAUUGACUACAGGAAGCUGAAUGAUUGCCUAGAAUACAUUAGGUAUCCAAUAACUUUGCUUCCACUCAACUAGUGCUGCUUCUCUCUAUAGACGAUGCGAGGUGACACCAAUCGAACGAGAAUAUAUGUUAUCCCGAACAGACCCUUGUGCUGCUGUUUUGGAAACUCUUACAACAGAUUUCUUUGGAUCCGGACCAAGAGAAACACAGUUGGUAGAAAAACAAUUCCUCCAAAACAAAUCUAUGCGUUUGUCUUCCAACCCAAUUUAUUCUUUCAUCAUGUCAUUGAUAAAGACACAAUUUGGGGACAUUAUGUGAUUUGUGAUGCUAUGCCACGAGCAUAUUAUUCUUUCUGGCUACUCCUCAAAAUGUAUUCCAUGGCUAUUCUAGAAGAGAGAAUACAAGGUUUCACCCAAGUAAUCUUACUACAACUGAUAUAAAGACCCUAAUUUCCUCCAUAAAAUCAGUUGUUCCUUUUCGUUAGCCUAAACUCAAGUUUGUAUAUAAGUCUUCUGAAGUUAUUGUACAAUUUAUCUCCUCUAGUUCUAAAGAAACGAUCAACAAGACUGGUAAUUAUAUAACCAAAUCCUUCUAGAUGGAAAGUGAGUAGUGUUAGCCUAAAGGGCAACACAUAAUGUAAUUUUGAUGAUAACAAACAUGUGUCUUGAUUGAUUUAAUAAAUAUUGUAUUUCACAUUUUCACUAGUUUUUGAAGGAUAAUAUUUAUGCAAGUGAAAUUAAGUUGAAGACACUCAACGGAUAACGAUGAAAUCAAGAAUAAAGUUUAGAGCUCAACAAACAAAUUAUUGCAAUAAAUUCUUGUAAAGUUAGUAUGAUUUAAUUGAUGCAUGAUUUAACAUUUGAGAAGCUCAGGAGAUUAAUUUAAAUAAUUACUUUUCAUAAACUAAAAGAUUUUAUUUUUAUAAGAUAGAGUAUUUUGUGGAUUUAAGUAAUUUGGACUUAAAUGAAAAGUUUGGCAAUCUUUGAAUUUAAUAAGUAUUAUUUUGAAUUCCGAAGUUGGACUUUUUUGCAAACAUUUGAAAUAUUUUGGGCCAUAUUAUAAUUUAUAAAAGUUUGAGGACCCGAAUAUAAUUCAAACAUUUGAAAUCCAAAAUUGGACAGAGAGUGAGCAGCUAAUAGCCUGAGGCUAGCGGCUAGCCGUCUGAGGAAAGUCUCAUAUUUUCAAAUUUUGACUAAAGUGAAAGGUUUUGAGAACUUUGAAAGAUAUAGGUAUUAUGUUGAACUUUGAAAAGGACCUCUUUCAAAAGUACUACUAUAUUUGUGGCCAUAUCACAAUUUCAUAAAGGUUUGGUACGACAAGUAUUAUUUAAAAAUUCCAAAUUUGGACUUGUUUGCAAACGUUUAUGAUGAUUUGGGUCAUAGUAUAAUUAUAGAAAGUUUUAGGCCAAAGUGUAUUUUGGUGAACAGUGUUACUGUAGCAAAAUUCAAACAUAACGGUAAUAUCACUGUUACAAGUGGUUAGCCGGAUAAAUCAAACGGCUAACCGCUUGGUUGCAGGAAUUUGCUUAUAACGGCUAGUUUUUGGGUUUUAACUAUAAAAACUCAAUUCCAACUUCAUUUUAAACUCUCUAGCAAGCACAAACAAGUUUGAACAACAUAUUUUGAGCUUUUAAUUCACAAAUCAUCAUAGAUUAAAUCUUUAUUGUGCUAUUAUUUGCGUAUCCACUCUAAAAGAGAGUUCUUUGUUGUAAUCAUUAUUUUCCCAUCAAAUUUGUGAGUGUGUAAGUGUGAGAAACACUUGAGUGAAGAGAUUGGGAGACAAUUUCUUAGUUGUAAAGGUUUAUUGACACCUUGGAAGUCAAUUGUAAAGAACUUGAAGCCUUGGGAGGCUUGGAUAGUGAAAUCCUCGAGCUUGGUUUGCUUGGCGGCGUGGACGUAGGUCGGGAUUGCCGAAUCACGUAAAAAUUAUUAUGUUUGCUCUCUCUUCCCUUACUCUUUUAUUAUUGUGCAUUAUUCAACUUAUUGUUUUUAAUUUGAUUAAGGCAAUAGAUUAAAUUAUUGUGCAAAUUGUUUAACAUAAGUUUUAAAAUCUCAAUUCACCCCCCUCUUGGGUUGCAUAACUUGCAUUUCAAAUAGGGCAAUGAGACUCAAGAAAUAUGUUCCAAGUAGUAGAUCUUCUCCUGAAGAGUCAUAAGCGAAGAAACUAUUUCUUUUAGCAAAUGGUAAAAUUCAAUAGGUUUAGUGUACUUAUGAUUAUAGAAUUGAUCACCACUUGCUGCUGCAAAGCUAACUUGUGUCGGUACAUGGUAUCUUUUGGGUAGACAAUUUCCACGGAUGAUUGAAGAAACAACUCCGACCAAAUGGCAUCACGUUCCAUUCAUAGUGUCCAUAUGGCACUACAAAUGAUGUCUUAUGCCUAUCGUCAUCUUUGAUCCCAAUAUGCCAAAAUCCUAACUUCAAAUCGAACUUUGAAUAAACUUUAGGACCCAAGUAUUCUUACUACAACUAUGGGAUGAUGUGUCCAUCUUUGAUGUGAAGUCCCAAAAAAUCAAUCUUGUCAAGUCCAAUCUUCAUUUUGGAUUCAGAUAACGCCAAGCCAUGUCACCGCGCAUGGUCUACAGAGAGAAGCAUUGGGGACGAGACAAACCACCUCUAGUUCGAGUUUUAUAAAACUUUCAAAAAUCUAAAAAUCUCCAAUCCAGAAAUUUGAAAUCCAGCACAAAGAACUUCUAAUGCCCACCUGUAGUUACCAUAUCUUUGCCAGCACGCAGUUUUUUAUCAAUGCCUGUCAACUUCAACGUGAUCCACGUAUCCGGGAAGAGCAAUGUAAGGUUCAACCAGAAACAUUUUUGACAAGGCACAAGGAUAUUGAUGUUAGGGGACAACAUUUUGAAUUAUUAUCUCGUGGUGGUGGAGGAAUGUGUUCUGGAGUGUCAUUUUGCCCUCCAAGUUAUGCAAUUUACACUUGCUCCUUUACUUGAAGGCUUUGAUUUUGCAACGCCAUCUAAUAAACCGUUGGACAUGGGUGAAGGAUUAGGGUUGACUGUGGAGAAAUUUGCACCACUUGAAGUACUUCAAAAUUGACUACAACACUUCAAAAUUGAAUUUCAUUUGUUUAAAAAUUUUGAAGAUUGGGGGGUGGAAUAGGGAAGGAAGAUGGUUGAUUAUUAAAGAUUCUUUAUGAUGUAAACUAGAAAAUCGAAAGGAUCGCAUGUACCUCAUUAAAGUUAAAAUCUUAACAAGAUUCUUUAUGAUGUAAACUAGAAAAUCUUAUGAUGUAAACUAGAAAAUCGAAAGGAUCGCAUGUACCUCAUUAAAGUUAAAAUCUUAACAUAUUAAGUUCCCUUUGUAAAUAUCUUUUUAAGGUACUCAAAAGGAAAAUUUUAAGAUUUUAAAUGGUAAGAAAAUAAAACAUUGAUUUCAAUGCCCUAAAUGAGUGCUCAGAGUAAUAAUAUUAUAUAUGUGCAUAAUUAAGUGUCCUUAAAAAUAAUUUAUCGCAUGGAUAUUUUUGUAGUAAAUUUUUUUAUAAAAAUAUAAGUAUUAAGAGUAAUUUUUAGAGUACAUAUAGCCCUGCUCUUAACAGAAAUAUAUGGUAAUAUUUUAUUUUAAAAAAUAAAAAAGGAUGCUGGGAAUACAAUACCGUUUUGCAAGGACAUAAAGGGGCACACUAAUUAUUCUCCCUCAUCCCCCUUGCAACUUCUUCUAUUGGUAGUUCUAGAUGAUCAGAUUUUAAGGGGAAUGUAGAUAUAAUUCGAUUGGUUUUGAGACACAUUAUUGUAUUCAUUUAUUUAUUUUUCCUAAGCUUUGCCUAAUGAGAUUCAAACCUUUCCCACUCACGUGACGGGCUCAAUCAGGAUCUCUUGAGUCUUGAUCUAUCAAGUAUCACUAAAAGAUUUUUACUAUUUUUUUGGAUUAAAAAAAUUUAUUUAGUUGAAGGAAAAAUCCCCUACACCCUCAAAAUUUUGUUAAAUGAUUACAUAGUCCUUUUGAUUUCAAAAUGAUCGUAUAGACCUUUUUUUUCCUAUUAUAUCCUUUAAUAGUAGCCAAAAUUUUAAAAUGAAUACAAUUACAAUGCUAAUAUAAAACAAAAAAUAAAAUAGCAAAUAAAUAUAAAUAAUUACAAAAAUAAACAUAAUAAUGAAAUAAAAUAUAUAUUAAUCUAUGAAACAAACGCAAAUACUCAUGAAUUUUAUUAGUAUUAAAAUAAAUGCAUUUAAAAUAGAAAAUAAGUAAUAAAAUUUACUUAUAUAUUUUAUUUAUAAUAUUAAACAAUAGAUUAAUAUUAAAUUUUUUUUUAAUAUUAUGUUUUAAUGUUAUUAUACUGCUGUACCGUACAAUUUUAUUUAAAGUCAAAUUUUGGAUUAUCAUAAUUGAAGGGUAUAUUUAUAAAAAAGAGAUUUACAUGAUCAUUUAUGAAACGAAGGGCUAUUUUUUUUUUUUUUGACUUUAUAACUUAAUUGACUUAAUUUCCAUUUAUUAAGUCAUUAAAUCUGCUUAGUUUUUCCAUUUAGUCAAAAAUUUUAGUCGCUAAGUCAUUAAGUUACUAAACCAAUUUUUGUUUUUAGCUUUUUGCUUAAUUUAAAAGUCUGAAUGAUAUCAUUAAAAUAUAUUCAAAAUAUAAUUUCCAUUUAUUAAGUCAUUAAAUCUAUUUAAUUAAUUAAUUUUCAUUCUUACCUAAAUAAAAUUUAAUAAUUAGAAUCAUUACCCAUCCCUAUAACUCGUGAAAAUAUAGUGCAUUGAUAGAAUAUUAUUUUUUAUCUUUUUAUUUUAAUCAAAUUAGCAUUCUUUAUCUUGAUUAACGUACACUAUUUAGAAUAUUAAAGGAUUGUAUUCAAUUGAACAUAAUUUAUGUUAUUAUAAAUAUUAUCUUAUUUAUGCUCUUUGAGAUAUUUAUUAUUUGUUUCACAUUUAUAAUUUAGACGGACGCAAACACAAAAAUAUUAGUUUUCAGAUUUUUAAGUUAAAAUGUAAAUAACUUAAUAUUUAUUUUUAGUGAUUCGGACAAAAGAAUAUUAUUCAAGUUCAGAAAUUUAGUUCUAUUUUGAAUUCAGACUAAUUGAGAUCUGUUCAGAUUUUAGACAAGAAAACAAAUUUUAAGAGAAUUUAUGUAACUAUUUAAGAAAACUUUGAUGGUGGGGUGGCUACUUUCAUUAAUUAAAUUGCUAAUAUCUUGCAUUUUUUUGAGUUGAUAAUAAUAGAGGUGGGUACUGUGCCCGAACCAAUUGGCUCUGUUGCGUGUUAUAUAAUUCAAUAAUAGCAGCGCGCCGUGGCUUCCAACUAAGAUUAGAAAAGAGAAAUAUCUUGGUUAUCUUUUGUAUAAUCUUUAGUAAAUAUUCAAACUUUACUAAAUAUUAAAAUAAACAUAAUAAUGUAAACUAAUUGUAAAAUUUAUUUAACCCAAAGAUUUAUUUAGAAUCUUUAUAUUAGAUACAAGUAUAUUAUUUACUUUUUCUAAAUCAAUAAAUAUAAUAAUUUACAUUUUUAAAACUACUGUAAUGUUUAAAAAAUAUUUUAUUGUUAUUAGUCCAGAAAAAUUGAAUUAUUUAUAUUGUAUUUGUAUUUAUUAAAAAAUAUUAAAGUCAAUUUCUUUGAGUUACUAUAUUUAAAAUGUUUAUGAUAAAAAAUAAUACUUAGUGUUCCUUUUUAAAAACUUAGAGAUUUACAUGACUAUUUUUUUUAAAUUGUAAGAUGUCGGUGAUCUUUUUCAAAUAAAAUGUAAUCUUCAUAUACCUAAAAAAUUACUUAAUAUAUAAGCAAGGCUUGUGAACAUAGAACUGUUAUCCAAACUAUGAUGAAUACAAAGAAUUAAUAUUUCACAACCUCAAUUAUGUUACUCUUAACUAUUCGGAUAGAUAGUGACAUGUUCAUAAUUUUCUUCACUUCAAUCACAACUGUUUCAAUAAUUAUUCUCUAACAUUUGCCAUGAUGGGUUUCUUGGAUUAACUAGUCAAAAGGCCUAGAUAUUGUCGAUGGCGCAUGAACUAAUCAGUGUAUAUUAUCAUUUGGUACGUCAGUGCUGCCUAUUUUCCAUGUUGAAAUACAAUGUUUUAGCUGUAAAUUUUGAUAAUUUAGUACGCAAGUUUACAAAUCUAUUUUGUCUUUGUGCACUUUUUAAUUGUAAUAAUAUAUACUGAUAUACACACAUAUUGCUGCCACGAUUCGCCAAAGGCAGCUGAUCCGUAGCCGAAAAAUCGAUGUAUCGAACCCCUGACCCUAACUUGAAAUUGCUGUCGUUGCCAACUGAAUCGCUGCUCUCUGUCUUUGCUUACAUCUGGCUUCACGAAUCGCUGCCGCUGCCCGCUGCCAACUGAGUUACGAUCUAGCAGCUAUUGCUGCUCUUCGCAUCUGAAUCAUGAUCUAGCAGCCAUCGCCCAUCGGUGCUCUUCAUAGGUGACUCCCAACCUCCAUACCUACCACUUGCCUCGGGUCUGCGGGGAAAAGCUCUCACACUCGAGAUUCUCUUGCCAUCAAACUCUUCGGAAAGAAAAUCGCCUUCCAUUUGGAUGGAGAGGUUUUUGGUCAUCUUUGACGAUGAAUUGCCGUCUCCGGCGGCCAAGGAAGAAUGUAGCACAGAAGCAUAAGAAGAAAAAACAGAGGAGGUAUAGUUUUUAUACAAUUACACAAACUUUUUACGGAGUGCUUUAUAUUCGAGUCUUAAGGACCACCCAUUUGUUAAAAUGCUAAAAAUAUUACGGGGUCGGUUUUACUUUUUUUUUUUUUUUUCAAUUAGCAUGGCAUGCUAAGCACUGACAGUUUGUUCUUUUAUUUCUGUUUUUUAUUUUUGACUUUCUGUGUUAAAUUGAAUUUCAUUUUUUUGUGGAUUUUUCUUUUUUGAAGUUGGAAAAGAAUGAUGGAUGAAAAGCCUGAGAUGCAACUCCUUACAUACAAGUUGCAAGACAUCCUCCCAUGAUGGGAAAGCAUGGUGUAGCAGCUGAAGGGCUCUGGCGCCUUGACACCUUCAACUGGUGCCCAAGACCUUUAAUUCAGAUCAGCCAGAUGCUAUAGAGAUGAUUUGUUGGAAUCUUGAUUAAGAACCUAGAUGGUGAUGAAUUAAAAGAAACAGAGAACAUAUCAGAAUCGAAACGAAUAAAGAAAAAACUAAGAAUUAAAGAACAGGGGAAUAACAUAUAAAAGAAACAGAGAACAGAUCAGAAUCAAAACGAAUAAAGAAAAAACUAAGAAUCAAAGAACAGGGGAAGAUAAUGUGGUUGAGCUAAUUCUCAUUAGCUUACAUCCACGGAGGAACAAAGUGACAGACCUUUCAUUGAUUGAUCAUCAAAGUAAAGUGAGUUUUCCAGAGUACAUAUAAUUGAAUAUUAACCCUUUAAUCACAGAGUCUUUAUUCCCUUUUGUACUCCUCAGUGUAGCGUCAGUUAUUUGCACCAGAACCAGCUGCAUUCAGCAGCUUGUAACAACGUAGAUGCAAUUUCCAUAAACUCACAUGUGAGGCACGUGUGAUAACGGCUUCUAACGACCUGAAUACAAGCUUCCUUCUCCACGUGCAUCUCAUGUGCUUCAUUAAACCAGAAACGGCAAUGUAUGAAGUCGUUUCAAUGAUUAUUAAAUGUACGCAUCAAAACGCUGCAGCUAUUGUCGUUUUUACUGAAAUAGUAAGAACCCAAAACGCACUAUACACAGGCCAUUUUGAAGCCAUUGAAGUUGUUUCACCAGUUACAAAACACAUGGUUUUUCUGGGGGCUCAUAUGUAAAUCCAGCAUCAAUAGAAUCCCUACUUUACCUGCUUGAGCGGGCGAAAUAAAAUAAGCUAGGAACCGUUGCUGAACAUUUACCUAACCAAAGUCAUCGAUUCCGGUACAUUUUUACUUUGCUUCAAUACUUAUCGGUUCUUUUAUUUUGUCACUCGAACCAAACCGAAAAUUUUAGUUUUCUCCCGACAUCGAACCGACCUGAACCAAUGCCCACCCGUAGUUAUUAUAUCCUUGCCAGCACACAUCUUUUUAUCAAUGCCUGUCAACUUCAACGUGAUCCACGUAUCUGGGAAGAGCAAUGUAAGGUUCAGCCAGAAACAUUUUUGACAAGGCACAAGGAUAUUGAUGUUAGGGGCCAACAUUUUGAAUUAUUAUCUCGUGGUGGUGGAGGAAUGUGUUCUGGAGUGUCAUUUUGCCCUCCAAGUUAUGCAAUUUACACUUGCUCCUUUUCUUGAAGGCUUUGAUUUUGCAACGCCAUCUAAUAAACCGUUGGUCAUGGGCGAAGGAUUACGGUUGACUGUGAAGAAAUCUGCACCACUUGAAGUACUUGUUGCUUUACUUCUUUCUGCUGCUUUUGAUAGCUAAAUGGAUUCACGAUGUAAUCAAUUUAAUAAUUUUUUUAAAAUAAGUAUUGAUGCUCUUUUGCUUGUAUACUCUUGAAUAUUAGGCCUUCUUCUGCUUUGAAUAUAAAUGUCUGAAUUAUCAUUAGACAUAAAUAUCCAUUAUUAAACAUAUUUUUAUACCAUUUUGCAAGGACACAAGGUAACAAGUACCGCCUUCAGCACUACUCAAUGUCAUCACAAGUUCAAGAAAACAAAUGAGAAGAUCAUCCAGUUUUUCUUGUUAACCUAACUGGUUUAUUUUUACAUACAAUGUGAACUAUCUUAUAUUACUUCCUAAUAGUGACUUUGCAAUGGAUGCUACUAUUGAUUUCAACGGGGAGUAAUGGGGUUUGCAGCUAUGAUAACCAAGCCCGAAUGGUUUAGUUAUGGCUGCAGGGUAUCCUAUGGUGUUUAUUCUAAUGAUGUGGGCAUUGCUGAGGCUGAGGCCUAUUAUUUUGGUGUACGGUAUUUGCUGAGGAAGUUAAUUUAUUUCCUUUGAUUUUUGAGUCAGAUUCAUUGCGUGUUGUUCAUUUCAUUAAGAGGUAGCAAAGCACUCAUAUGAAUCAAUUUUAUGGAUUAGGAUCCUCUCCUGAUCUAAUUUUCAUCUGAGCAAAUUAUUUUAAUAUGAUUGGUGGUUUAUAAAUUAAAAGGAAAAAGUAGUUAACUUCUAAUCAUCCACUAACAUUAAAAUACAAGUGGCACAAGAUCUAUAAAAGAUCAGGAGUGCUCAAAUCAGGAGAAGAUCCUGAUCCCAAUUUUAUAUCAUUUCAAAACCUCAACACGUGUUAAUACUAAAGUAAGAUUUCAAGAUUUGUAAUAUUUCAAGGAAUCGUAAUAAAACAGGAGAUGUUUUAGCUCAUUUUCAUUUUGCUGCCUGAACAUUUGGAUUGAAGACUUUCCUAACCAUUUGAAUUGUUAUCUUCGAGAUUAUAUAUAGUUAAUGUUUUCAAGAAAUACAUGAGUUAUAUAUAAUUCAGACAAAAAAAAAAGUAAAAUAAAAAGAAGUUGGGAACACAAAACCAUUUUACAAGAACAUAAAAUGGCACAUUAAUUAUUCUCACUUUUAUUCUCACUUGCAACGUGUGGCAACUCUAGAUGAUCGAUUUUAAGGUCAGGCUAUAUUACAUUGUAUGUAGAGAGAUUGUCAGUUUCUCCCAUACUUAAAUCAAUAUAUAUCACUUAUUUUUUACUAUUUUCAUAAUAAUCAAUAACUCUCCUGUCAAUAUAAUUUUAUAGUAUUACCCUUAUUUUCAUAUGCACAUUUAUUGAUAUUUAUUAUAAAUUAAAUAAAUUAUAUAAAAGAAAAUUAAAAUAAAAAACUUAAGUACUAAAAGCAAAAAAUAUAUGUUUCAAUUUGAAUAAAAAAUAAAUAAUAAGAUAUUUUUUCUUGAACUUAUAUUUUUUAAACAUUUUUCUUGUAAUAAAAUAUAUAUUUUAUAUCUCCAAAAUAAAUUAUUAAGCAGAUGACCCAUCUACCCCUCUUUUCCUUUAAAUGUUUUUAUGUCAGGGGAACUUUUGGAUAUUAUGAAAAUAAUAAGAGUGUAAGCGGUGUAUAUUGAUUUCAAUAAGGAGAAAAUUGAUAAUUUUAUUUAUAUGUAAAAUAAGCAAUUCUUGGGUUGUCUCCCAAAAAAAAAAAAAAAUUCGGCAGGUGAAACAAUCAAAUUGUCACGGGUGACAAUUCAUGGGUUUACUGUAUGUUAUAUUUUUUGAAACAUAAUCCAGCCCCAAAUUUAAUGGUAAUGUAAACACACACACACACAUAUAUAUAUUCUGAGCUUUGCCUAAUGAGAAUCAAAUCUUUCCCGUUCACAUGAGGGGCUUAAUGCAGAUCACUUGAUCUCUAUUGUAUCACUAUAAGAUUGGAUCAAAAGAUUUUAUUAGUUGAAGGAAAUAAUCACCUACACCCUCAAAAUUUGUUUAAAUAGUCACAUAAUUCCUUUGAUUUAAAAAAUAUCAUAUAGACCGUUUUUCUUUUUUGGUUCUUACACUAUUAUACCCUAUAAUUGCGGUCAAAAUUUUGAAAUGAAUACAGUUACAAUAUUAUAUAAAAAUAAAAAAUAAAAAAUAAAAUAGCACAUAAUUAUAAAUAAUUAAAAAAUAAAUGUAAUAAUGAAAUAACACAUAUAUGUUAUGCAAAUUAUUUUUAAUAUUAAGUUGUUAUCAAUAUGACAUUUUUUUAAUACUUAAAUCCAUUAAUCUAAAAAUUAAUUUUAAAAUUUAUGCUCAUAUACACAUAAUAUUAAAAAAAUAAAAUAGGAAAUAUUGUAAACAAAAUAAAUAUUGUAACUUUUGUUAAAAUUUGAAUACAUUUAUUUUAAUAAUAUUAAUCUAUGAAACAAAUGCAAAUAUUCUUGGAUUAUUAAUAUUAAAAUAAAGCAUCUAAAAUUGAAAAUAAAUUAUCAAAAUUUAUUUAUAAAUUUUAUUUAUAAUAUUAAACAAUCUGAUGGGUCAUUAUUAAAAUUAUUUUAAUAAUAUAUUUUUUAAUAUUAUAUAUGUUCAUUAUAGACUUUUAUUUUAAGUUAAUUUUUGGGUUAUUGUUAUUGAAGGGUAUAUUUGUAAAAAAGAGAUUUAAGUAAUGAUCUAGAAAUCCAAGAGAAUUAGAAUUUAUGUUAUUGUUUACGAAAACCUUAAGGGUGUGAGUGACUUUUUUCAUUAGUUAAAUAAUUAAUAUCUUGCAUUAUUUUGAGUGGAUAAUAGUAGAGGUGGGUACCAUGCCCGAGCCAAUUGGCUCCUUGUGUAUUAUAUAAUUCAACAAUUGGUUUUCCUUGAGGGCUAAUGCUACAAUGCCGGGCAUUAAAGCCCCGGCACCAUGCCGGAAUUGGAAAAAAACCGUUGGAUUCAAUUAGAUUGAAUCCAACGGUUGAGAUUAAAUUUAUAGUAAAAAUAAAAAUAAAUGGGUUACCUGGUAAACCGUUCCCUCAAAAGAAAAUCCCACAAUUUUCUCUCACCUCAAUCCGAUUUCUUUGCUCUCUCAAAAAAGAAAUCCAUGAAAUCUCAUCUCUCUUUCAAAUUCAUAGUUUUUCUCAUCCCCAUUUUUUCACUCAUCAUCUAAGAUCAAAUCCACCGUCUCUCUCACACUAAUCAACCAAUCGGAUCCAUCUACCCAGGUAUUUGGUUUGUACAUGAGAGCUAGAGAGAGGCAGAGCCAGUAUCGUGUCCGCUGCUUCUUUUCCAACCGUCCACCGUUACCUUUGUUGCACUAUUGUCUACAACAUUAGUUCUUUAGCCUUUACUGUCGUCGUCCUGGCUUUGGCCGGAAUCAUUGCCCCGUGAGCUGCCCCAAGCUGCCAUAGAAAACCCUCAAAACAAGUUAAUUUUUUUUUGGUUGAUUUUUUUAGGUUUCGUUUUUUUUAAGUGUUAUUUUUCUAUGGGUACCCUGAUUUUUUCUUGUUUGGUUUUAGGUGUUGUUUGCUUGUUUUGAGCUCUACACUCUUUGCUAGGAAUACUAAAGAUGGGCGCUCAAUAAUUUGGUAAGAACUUACCCAUUGUUCUGGGUCCGGGUUUUUUUUUUUUUUUGUGAAUUUUUUUUAAUAUUAUAUAUGUUCAUUAUAGACUUUUAUUUUAAGUUAAUUUUUGGGUUAUUGUUAUUGAAGGGUAUAUUUGUAAAAAAGAGAUUUAAGUAAUGAUCUAGAAAUCCAAGAGAAUUAGAAUUUAUGUUAUUGUUUACGAAAACCUUAAGGGUGUGAGUGACUUUUUUCAUUAGUUAAAUAAUUAAUAUCUUGCAUUAUUUUGAGUGGAUAAUAGUAGAGGUGGGUACCAUGCCCGAGCCAAUUGGCUCCUUGUGUAUUAUAUAAUUCAACAAUUGGUUUUCCUUGAGGGCUAAUGCUACAAUGCCGGGCAUUAAAGCCCCGGCACCAUGCCGGAAUUGGAAAAAAACCGUUGGAUUCAAUUAGAUUGAAUCCAACGGUUGAGAUUAAAUUUAUAGUAAAAAUAAAAAUAAAUGGGUUACCUGGUAAACCGUUCCCUCAAAAGAAAAUCCCACAAUUUUCUCUCACCUCAAUCCGAUUUCUUUGCUCUCUCAAAAAAGAAAUCCAUGAAAUCUCAUCUCUCUUUCAAAUUCAUAGUUUUUCUCAUCCCCAUUUUUUCACUCAUCAUCUAAGAUCAAAUCCACCGUCUCUCUCACACUAAUCAACCAAUCGGAUCCAUCUACCCAGGUAUUUGGUUUGUACAUGAGAGCUAGAGAGAGGCAGAGCCAGUAUCGUGUCCGCUGCUUCUUUUCCAACCGUCCACCGUUACCUUUGUUGCACUAUUGUCUACAACAUUAGUUCUUUAGCCUUUACUGUCGUCGUCCUGGCUUUGGCCGGAAUCAUUGCCCCGUGAGCUGCCCCAAGCUGCCAUAGAAAACCCUCAAAACAAGUUAAUUUUUUUUUGGUUGAUUUUUUUAGGUUUCGUUUUUUUUAAGUGUUAUUUUUCUAUGGGUACCCUGAUUUUUUCUUGUUUGGUUUUAGGUGUUGUUUGCUUGUUUUGAGCUCUACACUCUUUGCUAGGAAUACUAAAGAUGGGCGCUCAAUAAUUUGGUAAGAACUUACCCAUUGUUCUGGGUCCGGGUUUUUUUUUUUUUUUUUUUUUUUUAUUUUGAGUUAAUUAUUUUGGGGUUGCAGAGCAAUCUUUAAAAAUCUAUGCAGUGGCGUAUCCUGGAACGAAACCAAAAAAAGAGUUGAGGUUUAUGUUUGGAGUCAUUCUAGGACAGGAAGAGCAGCGCGGAUGAGUUGCAGGAAGAGCAGUGUGGCUCGAGGUAACUCCUCUGUUCUCGUCAUGUAAAGGACCUAGUGUUUUGAUGCUAACUAGUAAGUCCUCGUUUUUUCUAUUAUUUUUUAUCAUUUUCCAUUUCCUCACUUGCGUUCUCAAGAUUUUUGUUUGUUUCUGAGUGAUUCUUAUUUGAGUCCCAACGACAUCCAUCAGUUUUUAAUAUUUAUCAUCAAGGAGAGGUGAAAUUAUUAUUUAAUGACUGGUAUUUUGUAUAUCACUAGCAUUAUUCUUUAUUUUUUGUGAUUUUGCUUUUUAAUUUGUUUAAUUGGGUGUAGUUAUUAUAUUGUGCCUGAAUUGGGACUGGAUGUGAACUAAUCUUAUGCAUCUUGCAAGGCUAUUCAAGAGUAUAUGGAGGCCAAAUCUCUAAGUUCUUUUCAAAAUAUUGGAUUUACUGAUUCCCUAAUGUUCUUUUUCUUUUUCUUUUAUGCAAUGCAACACUUCACGUGAAAUAUGCAACUUAUCACGUAAAGUUCGCAACUUCUAGUAUCUUGCUAAAAGUUUAAUUUUUUCUUACUGCUCUUCAAUUAGGGUAUGAAAUAUAAACUAGCAGCCAGUGCUAAUAAGGAUAAGGAAGAUUUAGAAGGAAGGACAACGUUGCAUUUUGCUUGCGGAUAUGGUGACGUAAAACAAUAUGAGCGUUACCCAUUCUUACUUAUGUUUUCUUGUUCCUUUUUGCUUGAGUUUUAAAGGUAGGGUGUAUGAUUUGGAUAGAAUUAAAUAUUACUUAACGUUUUGUGUUUUUGGUUACUUAGUUGAGGAAGUGCUAAUAAAGCCAAUGGAAAACUAGUAUUUGUGCUAACUGGGGCUUUCUAACUGGGGCUUUCUAGUGACAGUUUGAGCUAACUUAUAUGGUUUAUGGCAUCAAUUGUUCAUCUCCUAGGGAUACUUAGGACCACUUUCUAGUUAGUUUUUUUUAAUGAAAACUUCCUUGGCAAAUUGGCCAAGUUUAUGACAUGGAGUUAAUCAAAUGCACUUGAAUGCUUUAGGUGGAGUGUGCUCAACUACUACUUGAGGUUGGAGCAAAUGUGGAUGUUGUGGAUAAGAACAAGUACUAUCGUACAUUAUACAGCUAAUUAUGACUAAAAGGAAUGUGUAGCCCCUUUGUUGAAGAACGGUGCUGCUGUGUAAGCCAACACCCAAUACUAUUUUAACUCCCGUCUCUAUUUUAUAAAAUGCUAUAUGAUUAAUUCUUUCUACUAUAUUAUAUUUUGUUACCACAGAACUCUGCAGAACAUGGAUCGCAAGACUCCCAUUGAUGUUGCCAAGCUCAAUAGCCAACAUGACAUGCUAAAGCUUCCUGCAACUCCGCAUGUGAAUGAUGGAUUUCGACAAUUUUAUAGGCAUUUUAGUGUGUUAGAUGAAUCUACUCCAGUUAGGCAUUAGGUUUUUAUCGUAACUUGAUGCUUUUGUCAAUGCUCAUGCUUAUUAAUCUGAUUGCUACCACUAAAAUUUGAUAUCAUAAACAAUCUCUUCCCUAGAUGAGUUAUCUGCGGGGAAUAUUCUUGUUAUGGCUUCUUUAAUUCUAGCUAUGAUAUAUUUUUACGUUUUUACAAUUUAUUGCUUGAUUAUGUCAAAAUAAGCACUUAUUUUAGGGUAUCCAUUUUAUAGUUUGGAAAAAGCUAUUCUUAGCCGAAGAAAAUGUGAUCUUAUUUUGGGUAUUUGCUAUCAAUUUAGAUAUUAAUAAUGCUAAACUAAUGCACAUGCCAUAUAUGUGUUGCUAGUUUUGAUUGCUUCCUUGAUACUAUUAAACUUACUUGUCUUGCCCAAUUUAACUUUUGCAAUUUAGUUAUAUAAUCUAUAGUUUUUAUCAAUACGCAUUCCUUUUAUGAGCUUAAUUCAAUUAUAAGAGACUCUUUCCUUAGAAAAUUGCAACAAUGAAUUUUACCCUUUAUGCAGAAUAAAAAAUUUAAAAAUUACCAAUGGAACUAAACAUUUUUGUUGUUUGGUAAUAUAAAAUUGUCAUCGUAGUUAGUUUUCGCUUGAAAAAUUAAACAAAUUACAAAAUAAAUGGUUCAAAUAAUAGUUAGAUUGAUAAAUUAUUACUGGAGUAUCAAACAAUAAUCACUUGAAUUACCAAAUAAUUUUAACGCUAAGGCAGCAAUUUCAUAUUUGUUUCUUAAUAGAUUGGCUUAAUUAAACUUAGUGUUCAACGUUAUCGUCGAAAAUGAUUCUGGACGUUAACAGUGAGCCUUUAUUUGAUGACAGUUCACCAUUAUCUUCUAGAAAUAAGUGUAACUGCUAAUUUGAUUCUGGAAGAUAACGGUCAACCGUUAUCUGAUAACGGCUAAUUGUUAUUUCCAGAAUUACUCUAAAAAAUAUUCAGAAAUAUUCUUUAUUUUGGCUUUAUUCAGGACAUGCAACAUCUAACGUCAAACAUGCAACCGUGACGUCCGACAUGCAACAACUGACGUUAAACAUGAAACUUGCAACACUUCACGCGAAAUAUGCAACUUAUCACGUAAAGUUCGCAACUUGGACAUUAAACAUGAAACGAACGAGAAUAUUUCACAAUAUUCUUUAUUUUGGCUUUAUUCAACACAUGCAAUAUCUAACGUCAAACAUGCAACCGUUACGUCCGACAUGCAACAACUGACGUUAAACAUGAAACUUGCAACACUUCACGCGAAAUAUGCAACUUAUCACGUAAAGUUCGCAACUUGGACGUUAAACAUGAAACGAACGAGAAUAUUUCACAAUAUUCUUUAUUUUGGCUUUAUUCAACACAUGUAACAUCUUACGUCAAACAUGCAACUGUUACGUCCGACAUGCAACAACUGACGUUAAACAUGAAACUUGCAACACUUCACGCGAAAUAUGCAACUUAUCACGUAAAGUUCGCAACUUGGACGUUAAACAUGAAACGGACGAGAAUAUUUCGGAAUAUUCUUUAUUUUGGCUUUAUUCAACACAUGCAACAUCUAACGUCAAACAUGCAACCGUUACGUCCAACAUGCAACAACUGACGUUAAACAUGAAACUUGCAACAUUUCACGCGAAAUAUGCAACUUAUCACGUAAAGUUCGCAACUUGGACGUUAAACAUGAAACGGACAAGAAUAUUCCAAAAUAUUCUUUAUUUUGGCUUUAUUCAACACAUGCAACAUCUAACGUCAAACAUGCAACCGUUACGUCCAACAUGCAACAACUGACGUUAAACAUGAAACUUGCAACACUUCACGCGAAAUAUGCAACUUAUCACGUAAAGUUCGCAACUUGGACGUUAAACAUGAAACGGACGAGAAUAUUCCGGAAUAUUCUUUAUUUUGGCUUUAUUCAACACAUGCAACAUCUUACGUCAAACAUGCAACCGUGACGUCCGACAUGCAACAACUGACGUUAAACAUGAAACGCAACACUUCACGCGAAAUAUGCAACUUAUCACGUAAUGUUCGCAACUUGGACGUUAAACAUGAAACGGACGAGAAUAUUCCGGAAUAUUCUUUAUUUUGGCUUUAUUCAACACAUGAUAUUUAAUCAAUCUGCACACAUAAUUCUCCUUUUUAGCGACUUUGAAACCACAGGGCUGAAUCAUAUAGAUUUCCUCCUCCAAAUCUCCAUGCAAUAAUGUCGUCUUAACAUCCAAUUGAGCCAACUCUAACUCAUAUUAAGCUACCAAAGCAAGUAGAAUACGAAUGAAAGUAUGCUUUACAACUGAAGAGAAUACUUCAUUAUAGUCAAUACCUUCCUUUCGAGCAAAAUAUUUUGCUACAAGCCUUACCUUGUAUCGAAGAGUUGUUUGAUUUAGAGAUCCUCACUUCUUGAUGCAGACCCAUUUAUUUCCAAUAACCAUUUUUCCCUUAGGUAACUCUAUAAGUUCCUAAGUCUAAUUUUGAUGAAAAGACUUCAUUUCUUCUUCUAUGGCUAACUUUUAUUGACCACUUUCACUACUGUUUAUAACUUCGUUGAAAGUGUUGAGGAUGUCAUCAUUAAUAACUAGAAGUGCAUUGGCUACUGCCAUAUCUUUAGCAAGUCAUCCAGGAUUCUUUAUCACUCCUUUUUGUCUCCUUGUUGCUAUAAUAUCAUUUUCAUGUUCUACAUCUAUAGUUGCUUCUUCCUCUGCUGUACCGUACAUCCGCCUUGGCCGUACAGCAGUAUUCUGGAAUAUUCUUUAUUUUGGCUUUAGUCACCACAUGAAACAUCUUACGUCAAACAUGCAAUCGAGACGUCCGACAUGCAACAACUGACGUUAAUAAUGAAACUUGCAACACUUCACGCGAAAUAUGCAACUUAUCACGUAAAGUUCGCAACUUUGACGUCAAACAUGAAACGGACGAGAAUAUUCUGGAAUAUUCUUUAUUUUGGCUUUACUUGCAACACUUCACGCGAAAUAUGCAAUUUAUCACGUAAAGUUUGCAAUUUCGACGUCAAACAUAAAAUGGACGAGAAUAUUCUGGAAUAUUUUUUUUUUUGGCUUUAUUCAACACAUGCAACAUCUUACGUCAAACAUUCAAUCGAGAUGUCAGACAUGCAACAACUGACGUUAAAUCUGAAAUACUAUUUUUUUCAUUUUCAAUUUCUUUAUUUUUUGCCAUUCUAUUUAAUUAUAUUAUAUUGUAUUAUAGGGUUUCUAUUAUAUUAUUUAAUUUCUUUAUCUUUUGCUGUUAAUUAUAUUAUAAAAAACUAUUUUUGACAUUUUAUUUAAUUUUUUUAUUUUUAUAUUGUAUUUUUAAUAUGUUUUUUUUUUUAAAAAUAUGGUGCAACCAGUUUGUUAACCGGCUGCAGCAAGUCUUUGGUUGCCAAAUGGCAGCCAAAGACAGCCGGGCUCUCUUUUUGAGGGCCCGGCAUGGUGUCGGGUACAAUGCCAACGGCAUUGUAGCCAAACCCUAGUUUACGAGUCAGGUUAUUUUGGCUCAAUUUAUUGCCACAUGUAUGGGUUAAAUCAUGUUGUUGGGAGUAAUUCACUUUUCUAUGCUCAUCAAUUAUUAUUAUUAUUAUUUUAUAAAGUGAGCAACCGAUUACAUAGAAGAUAUUAUAAAAUAUUUUUGUUGUAUUACACUCGUUUAAUAUAUAUAUAACAUAUGUAUAUUUAUUUUAAAAAAUGAUACGUGAUUGGUAGUUAUAUUGACUACAUACACAUAUGCUGCUGUACGGCCAAGGCGGAUUGUACGGUACAGCAGAUUAUAAUACCUAUUAAAAUUAAAGCAGUUUUCUAAAGGACGGAACUACCUUGCCUCCGUUACACCAAACACCUAAUUUUGACAUUUUCUUUAAUAGUCUCCAUUGUUUUUGGUAAAUAAUAAAAACUAUAAAUUUUAAAAAUUUUACAUAAAUAUUAAAGUCCAAUUCUUUUACUUACUAUAUUUAAAAGGUUUUAUGAUUAAAAAAAAAGGUAUUUGGUGUUCUUUUUUAAAAACUUAGAGAUUUAAAUAACUAUUUUCUAAAACUUUUAGGAUGUAACCGAUCUUAUUUAAAUAAAAUCUAAUCUUCAUAUACUUAAAAAAUCUAAUUAACAUAUAUAAGCAAGGCCUGUGAACAUAGAAUUGUUAUCCAAAUUAUGGUGUAUAGAAAGAAUUAAUAUUUCACAAUCUAAAUUACGUUACUCUCAACUGCUCGGAUAGACAGUGACGUGUUCAUAAUUCUCUUCACUUUAAUCACAAAUAUCUCAAUAAUUAUUCUCUAACAUUUGUCAUGAUAGAUUAAUUUCUUGGAUUAACUAGUCAAAAGGCCUGGAUAGAUGGCGUAUGAACUAAUCAACAUAUUUUAUGAUUAGGUACAUUAGUGCUGCCAAUUUUAAGUUGAAAUAUAACAUUUUAGCUGUCAAUUUUGACAAUUUAAUAUGCAAGUUUACACCUCUAUAUUGUCUUUGUAUACUUUGUAAUAAUAUCAAUAGAAUUUUAAGUGUAUACAUUAGAGGUAUUAUAUUAGUCAUUCAACAAGUAAAUAAUAUUUAUAACAAAUGUGUAUUUAUUUUGAGAGAUCACAUAUAAAUGGUGGAUAUAUAAAAUUUAAUUAGACGUAUCAUACAUACAUCAAUUACUUGUAUUACAUUUGACGUAUUCUAUUUGAUGUAUUCUAGAACUUCUCGUAUUUGAAUUUAUCUAUUGUCACUUUUUUCUUCCACGUUAAAACAAUUGAAAGCCUUAAGUCUUCAUAGCACAACAUUAUUUUUAUUAUUAUUUAUAUUGAUUCAAUUCUAAAACUUGAACAGAGACCUUUCUUGGUAUAGUCUAUUUAAAGUUCAGAUCAAAAAUCUGCUCCAAAAAGAUAGAGAGAGUUACUCAGAAAUUUUAUAACUGCUGUAAAAGUUUACAACUACUGCCACUCAAAUUUUAGAGCUAGCGGCCAUGGGCAUUCUUGUUUCAUCUCAAACAAGUGCUGUAGCUGCAAUUUUAAUCACCCUUUUAAUCAUUCUAUACACGUCGUUUCUAGUUUCAAGAAAUUUGCUUAGAAAAUGCAUAGGCAAGAAGAAAAGGGGAGCACCAGAAGCAGGUGGAGCUUGGCCAGUGAUUGGCCAUCUACACCUCUUACGAGGGCCAAAACCUCCUUACAGGGUGUUCGACAAAAUGGCUGACAAGUAUGGACCAAUCUUUAUUAUCAGGAUGGGCAAAAAUCCAGCUUUAAUCGUGAGUAAUUGGGAGAUUGCUAAAGAGUGUCUCACAACACAUGACAAAGUCUUUGCCAACCGUCCUAAAACUCUAGCCAUGGAGAUUUUAGGCUACAAUUUUUCCAUGUUUGGCUUCAGCCCAUAUGGCUCCUACUGGCGCGAGACACGCAAGAUAGCCACACUUGGGCUUCUCUCAAACCAUCGGCUUGAGAAGCUGAAGCACGUACGAGAAUACGAGGUGAAGACAUGUUUGAAGGAGUUAUAUGAGUUAUGGCACAAGAACAAAAGCACUAAUAAGAUAUUGCUAGUAGAGAUGAAGAAAUGGUUUGGGGACACCCUCCGUAAUGUGGUUUUAAGAAUGGUUGUUGGAAAGGGGUGCAAUUCAGUGGAUAGUGAAGAAUGGAAAGAACUACUGACGAGAUUUUUUGAAAUGAGUGGUAAGUUUGUGGUGUCAGAUGCGCUACCGUUUAUGAGAUGGUUGGAUAUAGGGGGUGAUGAGAGGUCAAUGAAGAAGAUUGCCAAAGAAUUAGACGUUGUUGCUCAAGGAUGGUUAGAAGAGCACAAGAGGAAGAGAGACUCUCAGGAGAUUAAAAAAGAAGAAGAUUUUAUGUAUGUCAUGCUUUCAAUCCUAGGUGAUACAGAGCAAUAUUUGGGUCGUGAUGUUGAUACAAUCAAUAAAGCUAUUUGUCUGGUAAGCCUUUCCUAACCGACUUUUUUUUAUUAUUUUAAUUAUAGUCUGAGCUCGACUCAAUCACCUCUACAUUCUCUGCAUCCACAUGAGUGGAGUAUUCGAACUUAGAACUACUUUUUCAUGUUUUAGUAUUUUAUAUUUUUAUUUUUAAUGUAGACACACUAGUAAGGUGAACUAAUCCUAAGCCUUAACAAAGUUAUUUCUUACCAAUGAAACUAGACCUUACCUUAGACCUCUUCUUUUUACUCAAGAAGUUUUACUAAUUUGUACAUAACAUUUAAUAUAAUAUUCUAUCUUUUUCAAAACAGUUUACGCUCAUAGUCAUUAAAACUGUUGUACACAUCUUUCUUCAAGAUAAGAUUAACAAACCAGAGCAACUAAUAAAUUUGUAAUAUGUGAAUUAAUAAUAUUUAGUUAUUCUAUUUCCACAUUGAAAGGAAAAAAAAGUGAAUUAAAUUGUUGAUGAAAUCAUCAUCCAUUCAUUAUGUAUCGCAUUAGUCAAUUUGGACCUACGUUUUUUAACAAGUCAUUGGUAAUGUAUUGGUAGAUUUGACAUGGUGCAUUGAAUCUAAUUCUACUAGUAAAAUUCAAAAGGUGCCAAAAAAAUAAGUGUUGAAGUCGAAUUUCAUUAAGUUCCAUUGUGAAUAACUGUAACAUAUGAAAGCAAAACAACACCUUACACACUAUCAAUUUUGCAGGCUCUUAUCUUGGGAGCAGCAGACACCACAACAGUAACACUGACAUGGGUUAUGUCUUUGCUUCUCAAUCAUCGUGAUAUUCUAAACAAGGCUCAAAAUGAACUAGAUAUUCAGGUGGGCACAAAAAGACAAGUGAAUGAAUCAGAUAUAAAAAAUUUAGUUUACUUGCAAGCCAUUCUCAAAGAAGCAAUGCGUUUGUAUCCGGCUGGGCCACUUUUAGUUCCCCAUGAGUCUAUAGAAGAAUGCACAGUUAAUGGUUACCAUGUCCCUGCCAGCACACAACUUUUUAUCAAUGCUUGGAAAAUUCAACGUGAUCCAAGUGUCUGGGAAGAGCCAUCUAAGUUUCAGCCAGAAAGAUUUUUGACGAGGCAUAAGGAUAUUGAUGUUAAGGGACAAAAUUUUGAAUUGUUACCUUUUAGUAGUGGUAGAAGAAUGUGUCCUGGAGUGUCAUUUGCCCUCCAAGUUAUGCAAUUUACACUUGCUUCUCUACUUCAGGGAUUUAAUUUUGCAACCCCAUCUAAUGAACCAGUGGACAUGGGUGAAGGAUUAGGGUUGACCAUGGAGAAAUCUCAACCAUUUGAAGUACUUGUUACUCCACGUCUUUCUGCUGCCGUCUACAGCUAAAUUAAUUAUUUAUAUAUUGAUUGACUAAUAAAUAAGUGACAAGUGUGUGGUGUCACGUGUAGUGAGUUGUAAAGUAGAUUUCUUAGAAAUAAGGAUGUACUGUGUGAUGUAAUGUAAAGAAGUGAUAAGUCAUAAAGUAGAUUCCCUAGAGAUAAAAUGUAAUGAUGUAAAUAGUAAAAGGAGAUUCCCUUAGUGCCUAUAAAAGGGACUCCCUAGGAGUGUGUUGGAUCAUCAAGUCUUGGAGUCUUGUAAUAUAGAGUUAUAAUAAGAAUACUUGAGUGAAACCUUGUAUUCUCUCUUCCAGUAAUAAAAUCAUCCUUUGUAUUUUUUGUCUUUAUAAUUUGGUAUCAGAGCCAGUACUCCCAAAAGGAGUUUCCUAAGCCUUACUAUAAUAAAGUAUGCUCUGUAGCCGCCAUUGAAACAGAUCUUCCACAAUAGAAAUAUUAUAGAAGACUAGAAAGUCUGUGUUCCCAAAACUAGGUUAUUUGGUCAAGAGAUACAUAGAACAGUUUUCUUUAAAAGGUGUGGCACCUUAUUUUUAGAAAGUGACAAGUGUGUGGUGUCACAUGUAGUGAGUUGUAAAGUAAAUUCCUUAAAGAUAAGGAUGUACUGUGUGAUGUAAUUUAAAAAAGUGACAAGUGUAUGGUGUCACAUGUAGUGAUUUGUAAAAUAGAUUCCUUAGAGAUAAGGAUGUACUGUGUGAUGUAAUGUAAAGAAGUGAUGAGUCAUAAAGUAGAUUCGCUAGAGAUAAGAUGUAAUGAUAUAAAUAGUAAAAGGAGAUUCCCUUAGUGCCUAUAAAAUGGACUCCCUGGGAGUGUGUUGGAUCAUCGAGUCCUAGAGUCUUGUAAUAUAGAGUUAUAGUAAUAAAACCUUUGAUGAGCCAUGGUCCAUCAUUCUUUAUAUGAGAGUGAAACAAAGUAUUUUUCUCUAGAUCAUAACUUGUUUGGAAUAGCUACAUAGUACUGUAGAAGUUCUUUGUACUAGAUUUCAAAUUUCUAAACUAGAUUUUUUUUUUCCUCUUAUUACCCCUCCCAAAAAUGAAUUAUUGCUCAACCCAUAGAAUCAUAAGGAAACGGGACUUUUGAUUAACAAGAUUGGUAAUUGUAUAACCAAAUCCUUCUGAAUAGAAAGUGAAUGGGGCAAUGAGACUCAAGAAAUCUAUUCCAAGUAGUAGAUCUUCUCCUGAAGAGUCAUAAGCGAAGAAACUAUAUCUUUUACCAAAUGGUAAAAUUUCAAUAAGCUUAGUGUACUUAUGACUAUAGAAUUUAUCACCACUUGCUUUGCAAAGCUGACUUGUGUCAGUACAUGGUACCUUUUGGGUAGACAAUUUCCAUGGAUGAUAACAGUAUCAAUUAAGACAGUGAGAGCAAUCUGUUUAUUAUCUAAUAACUAGAGGAUGAUUUCGACAUAGGGUCUGAAUGUUGAUGUUGACUUCAUUGUUACAUCAAUAGGCUGUUCUUAAAAAAUAUUUAUAACUUGUUCAUCAUUUGAAGAUUCUUCUAGCUCGUUUGACUCGCUGGAUGUAUCAGACUUUUGAGAUUGUGAGUCAAUUGCGAGUAAUGCCUGUUUAGGUUUGUCAGACCAUUCAUAGUACUCAUCAUCAAACUCUAGAUCUUUAAUGAGUUGAAGUAGCUUGGCUGGAAUCCUCUUCUUGGAUUUGCAUUGUUUUGCAUAAUGUCCUUUCUUGCCAAAAAUGAAACAUAUGCCUGACCUUUUCUGAACUUUCUUCUUUUGACAAAGUGGUGUUUUUUACUUUUGUAUGGUCUCUAGGGUUUUGUUUUCUUGUUGUGAAACUUCUUUGAAUAAGAACAUGAGUUGCUUGUUUCAUGGCAACCAAAGUUGUUGGGUUUGUCAUUGCAGUAUUUGGACAAAGAGGAUUUCUCUAUCUGCUUAAUGUGCUUCCUUAGUUCUUGAUUCUUGUAAUGAUUCUGGAUCAGCUCUGUAGCUAUCUGAUACAAUUGUGCCAAGCUAUUGUUUGUCAAAUCCAUAACUACAUCAGAUUUGAAUUUAGCUUCCAUCAUCUCUGCUACUGGUCCAGGCAUGUUGAGAACAAACAUCCGGUGAAUUAUAUAUGUGGGCUUUUGGAAGAUAUAGUAAAAUUGUUCCUACUCCAUGUAGUAUUCUUCAAGUUUUCGAACAUCACAACAUUUGUUCUGAAGGAAUUAUUUUUCUGUCAACUAUGUUUCUCUUGGUCCAGAUCCAAAGAAAUCUAUUGUAAGAGUUUCCAAAACAGUAGCACUAGGGUUUGGUCGGGAUAACAUAUAUUCUCGUUGGAUUGGUGUCAAGAUGUUGCUCCACCAUCGCCUAAGCGAUCCAGUAAAGCCUGCUACUAAUCUUUACAUAACUGCUCUUCUGGUUGGCUGUGGUGCUUUUUGGCAUUCUCCUUCAUAAUGUAAGGAAUUCUGUCUUUUAGUUUGAUAUUAUCAAUAUUCCAAAUGACUUUUCCUUGAGGAGAAUGUUAGAUCUGGACUCGUGUUUCCCAUUCUUAACCUUGUUCUUCUUCUUCACCCAUUCGUUCUUGUUGCUUUUCUUACCGAGAUUGUUGUGGUUGUCUUUCUAGAGGAUCUGAAGAUGCUACUCCUGUGUGUUGGCCUGUCUCGAAGGUAGAUGGUACUGUGAACCUUCUCCUUGUAUCGACAUAUAUUGGAUUGGUAGGAUAUUGAGGUAUUUUUUCUAUCAUGAUUGGUCUUCUAGAAGAGCGGAAUGAAUUUGCAAAUUGAUUGGAUCCAUAUGAACUUUCUGCAUCUUCCCAACCUGUAGCUAUAACCGACCAUGGUUGUACUGGUGGCAUCUCAUAACUUCUCCAAAAUGCUUUGUUGUUGUUGCCAGUGGAGCUUUCUUCCCAUACAUGAGCUAGUUUAGAAAGUUUGUCAUUUUUCUAGGAAUUUUUCUUUUGUUUUCUUUUAUAGUAGUCCUAGUAGCAUUGCAGGGUUCUCCUCAUUUAUAAUUUGGUCUCAGAGCCAGUACUCUCAAAAGGAGUUUCCUAAGCCCAUUAAUCUAGACAAAAUAUAAAUAAAAGAUUAGCAUGUUAAACUGGUUUACCAUUAAUAGCAAGUGCAUCUGCCAAUCUCUUCAUCUUAGUAAAAUAGCCACUCAUAGUAAUUCAUCCUUUUUUAGUAGUUCUAAUUGCAUUUAAUACGCUUUAUAUAAGCUUGAAUUUUAGAAACAAACAAAUGUGUCAAAGAAUCCCACAGCUUUUGUGAUAAAACAAAAGUUGGUUUAUUCUUAUCCAAGCAAAGAAAGUAGGAUGAUUAAUUCUUGACCCAUAUCCAUUGUUUAAAGGCUAACAUCAUCUAUAUUUUGAAUAAGAUAUUAGUACAGACACUUAUUUGCACUAAUAAUGAAUCCUUCCAAGCUAUUACUUUUGAUUGAAGUAGGAACUUGAGUUCUUCAAACAAUAAAGCUGUUUUGAUUGAGAUUUAUUGGUUUUACAAAGUUAUAAAAGGUUUUAUUUUGAUUAGAAGCAUCAGCUAGCUCUGAUACCAUGUUUGAAAUAAAGUAAAAUUAUGUUUGGUUACUAAGAGAAUAAGGUAGAAAGUGAAAAAAAUAAAUUCAGAGUUUUAUUCAUUUUCCUAAGCUUACAAAAUAAGUCUCAUUUAUGGGACUUAUACACACAAUUACAUAUAGAAUCAGUUAUUGGAUCCAUUUAAAAACACUCAAAUGCUGCGUUUACUUUUUGGAUUGGAGUGGGAAUUCUGAGGAGUGGGAAUCCUUGGAUUAGGAGUGUGGAGUGGGAGUGGGAGUAGGUUGUUUACUUACACUAGAAUGGAAGCAUGGAAUAGAGAUCAGAAUCCAAUUUAUGUGUUUACUUUGUCUUAGAUUAGGAGUAAAUAGUUUCAAAUUACAAUUUUAUCCUUAUUUAAAGAAUUAUAGUUUUUAAUUACAAAACUAAUAAAAAAUAUAUUAAAUGAAUAAUAUUUAUUUUAUUAUAUUUGUAAAUUUAUUAUAAUUAUUAAUAUUCUUAAUUAUGAACAAUAAAUUAUUAAUUUUAAUAUAAAAUGAAACCUUAUUUUAUUUUAUUUAAUAUAAUUAUAUUAAAUUUAUUAUUAUAUAAAAUAAUAAUAUAAUAUUAUUUAGUACAAAAUUAAUAUUUUCUUAGAAUAAACUAUUUAUUAUUAUUAAUAUUAAAUAAAAAUAUUAUUUAUUUUAUUUUAUUAAUUAUAAAAUAUUAAAUUAAAUUAAAUUAAAUUAAAAAUGAAAGGGUAAAAAGGGGAGAGGUGGGAGUGGAUUCCCACUCCCACCUCCCCCAAUGGGAGUCCCACUCCCACUCCCCACUCCAAAAAUGAGUGGGGCCCACGGAGUGGGAUUCCCAAUCCGUGGCCAUUUUAAUCAAGUAAACGCUGGAGUGGGAGGAAUCCACACUCCUCACUCCCACUCCAGCAAGUAAACACAACCUAAAUCUUAUUAUAACUAACUUGCCAUGUCAGCAUAAUGGAAUUACUAAGCUACUGAUUAAACUUCCAAGCUUGUCAUGCUUUGCAUUCAUCAUGCUCUAAAUCAUCAUCACUAUAUGUUCUAUUAAGGAGUAGCUAACAAAACCCAACAAAAUAUUUCACCAAUGAAAAGAAUGUGAGAAAUAAACAUUAUGAACCAAAUAAAUAAAUCAAUUAGCAAAUAUACCCUUUGAUCAAAUCGAAGACGCUGCUUGCUCUGCUUCUCUAGUUUUAAGCUUAGAAUUAAGAAGAGGAGUGAAGAUGAAAUUUUCAAUAGAGUUUGUAGAGAAUGUGAUUUUGAGGUUGAUGGAGGACCCGAAAAAGAGGGACAGAAAGAAUGAUUCAAAGCAGAUGCCUGGCAGAAGGGACCCUUAUAACAAUAUUCUUUAACACAACUAUAAUGCCACUUCCAUCUCCCAUUGAAUGCUAGAAAAUCCAAAAGCAGUAUAGUUAAAAAAUUACUUAAUAUAUAAGCAAGGCUUGUGAACUUAGAAUUGUUAUCCAAACUAUGAUGAAUACAAAGAAUUAAUAUUUCACAACCUUAAGUAUGUUACUCUCAACUAUUCGGAUAGACAGUGACAUGUUCAUAAUUUCUUCACUUCAAUCACAGAUGUUUCAAUAAUUGUUCUCUAACAUUUGCCAUGAUGGGUUCUUGGAUUAACUAGUCAAAAGGCCUAGAUAUUGUCGAUGGUGUAUCAACUAAUCAAUGUAUAUUAUCAUUUGGUACAUCAGUGCUACCUAUUUUCCAUGUUGAAAUACAGCGUUUUAGCUAUAAAUUUUGAGAAUUUAGUACGCAAGUUCACAACUUUAUUUUGCCUUUGUGUACUUUUUAAUAGCAAUACAAUUAUAAGUGUAGUCUACUUAGACAUAAAUUUUAGAAUGAAUCAGAGGUAUUAUAUCAGCCAUACAACAAGUAAAUAUUGUUAUGAUAUGUGUGCAUUUAUUUUAAAAAAUCACAUGCAAGUGAUGAUUAUAUGAUAUUUAAUUAUACAUGUCAUAAAUACAUACAUCAGUUAAUUAUAUUACAUAUGAUUUAUUCUAGAAUUCUUCUUAAAUUUAUGUAUUGUCACUUUUUUCUUCCACCUCAACUGAAAACAUUCAGUCUUGAUAGCAUACCAUCAUUUUUAUUAUUAUUUAUACUAAUUCAAUUUAAAAAGUGAAUAUAGAUAUUUUUUUAUAUAAUCCACUCAAAGUUCAACUUGAAAAUCAGCUUCAAAAAAGAGAAAUAGACUUACUGUGAAAUUUUAUAACUGAUGCACAAUUCGAUUCGGCUUGAUUUUUUUGGUUUCGAUUUGGUAUUUUUUAUUAAAAAAAAAACUGAAUAAUUUUAAUUGGAAACCGAACUGAUUGGUUCGAAUCGGUUUUUGGUUUAAAGUUUCAAAACCGAAACCGAAAUCGAACCGAUAUCCAAUGGCAUUUUCACAUAAUAUAUGUACACACAUAUUGCUGUCACGAUUUGCCGAAGGUAGCUGAUCCAUUGCCCAAAAAUCAAGGUAUCGAACCCCUAACCCUAACUUUAAAUUGCUGCCAUCGCCAAUUGAAUCGCUGCCUCUGUCUUUGCUUACUUCUGGGUUUAAGAACCGCUGCCGCCGGCCGCUGCCAACUGAGUCGCGAUCCAGCACCCAGUGCUGCUCUUUGCCUCUGAAUCAUGAUCUAGCAGCCAUCGCCCAUCUGUGCUCUUCAUAGGCGACUCCCAAACUCCAUACCUGCCACUUGCCUCGGGUCUGUUGGGAAAAAGCUCUCACACUCGAGAUUCCCUUGCCAUCAAACUCUUCGGAAAGAAAAACACCUUGCAUUUGGAUGGAGAGGUUUCGGUCAUCUUCGUCGAUGAAUUGCCGUCUCCGGCAGCCAAGGAAGAUUGUAGCAGAGAAGCAUAAGAAGAAAAAACAGAGAAGGUAUAGCUUUUAUACAAUUACACAAACUUUAUACGGAGUGCUUUAUAUUUGAGUCUAAGGACCACCCAUUUGUUAAAAUGCUAAAAAUAUUACUGGGUCGGUUGCACUUUUCUUUUUUUUGAUUAGCAUGCAUGCUAGGCACUGAAAGUUCGUUCUUUUAUUUCUGUUUUCUAUUUUUGACUUUAUGUGUUAAAUUAAAUUUCCUUUUUUUGUGGAUUCUUUUUUUCGAAGUUGGAAAAAGAAAGCUCUCCCAGUAUGUCAUGCCCUUAUUUAGGAAUGUCUCCCUGCGCUUAAAGCUGAUUUGAAAAAAAUGAUGGAUGAAAAGCCUGAGAUCCAACUCCUUACAAACAAGUUGCAAGACAUCCUCCCAUGAUGGAAAGCAUGGUGUAGCAACUGAAGGGCACUGGGGCCUCGACUCCUUCAACUGCUGCCCAAGACCUUUAAUUCAGAUCAGCCAGAUGCUAUAAAAAUGAUUUGUUGAAAUCUUGAUCAAAAUUGAUUACGAACCAAGAUGGUGAUGAAUUAAAAGACACAGAGAACAUAUCAGAAUCGAAACGAAUAAAGAAAAAACUAAGAAUCAAAGAACAGAGGAAGAUAACGGAGUUCAGUUAAUUCUCAUUAGCUUACAUUCACGGAGGGACAAAGUGACAAGCCUUUCAUUGAUUGAUCAUCAAAAGUACAAAGAGUUUUCCAGCGUACAUAUCAUUGAAUAUUAACCCCUCAAUCACAGAGUCUCUAUUCCCUUUUAUACUCCGCAGUGUAACUUCAGUUAAUUGCACCAGAAUCAGCUGCAUUCAGCAGCGUGUAACAGCCUAGAUGUAAUUUCCAGAAAUUCACGUGUAAGGCACGUGUGAUAACGGCUUCUAACGACCUGAAUUCGAGCUUCCUUCUCCACGUGCAUCUCAUGUGCUUCAUUAAACCAGAAACGACAAUGUAUAAAGUCGUUUCAAUGAGUAUAAAAUGUACACAUCAAAACGCUGCAGCUAUUGUACAUUUUAUUGAAAUAAUAAGAACCCAAAACGCACUAUACACAGGCCGUUUUGAAGCCAUUGAAAUUGUCUUACCAGUUACACACCACAUGUUUUUUUCUGGGGGAUCAUAUGUCGAUUCAGCAUCAAUAGAAUUCCUACUUUUAUCUGCUUGAGCGGGCCAAAUAAAAUAAGCUAGGAACCGUUACCGAACAGUUACCUAACCAAAGCCAUCAGUUUCGGUACAUUUUUACUUCGUUUCAAUGUUUAUCGGUUGUUUUAUUUUCUCACUCGAACUAAACCGAAAAUUUUAGUUUUCUCCCGACAUUGAACCGAGUUGAACCAAUGCCCACCCGUAGUUACCAUAUCCCUGUAAGCACACAACUGUUUAUCAAUGCCUGUAAACUUUGACGUGAUCCACAUAUCUGGGAAGAGCAAUGUAAAGUUCAGCCGUAAACAUUUUUGACAAAGCAUAAGGAUAUUGAUGUUAAGGGACAACAUUUUGAAUUAUUAUCUAGUAGUGGUGGAAGAAUGUGUCCUGGAGUGUCAUUUUGCCCUUCAAGUUAAGCAAUUUACACUUGCUUCUUUACUUCAAGGCUUUGACUUUGCAACCCCAUCUAAUGAAUCGUUGGACAUGGGUGAAGGAUUAGGGUUGACUGCGGAGAAAUAUGCACCACUUGUAGUACUUGUUGCUCUACAUCUUUCUGCUGCUUUUUAUAGCUAAAUUGAUUCACGAUGUAACCAAUCUGAUAAAUAUUUUAAUAAGUGUUGAUGCUUUUUUGCUUGUUUACUCUUGAUAUUAGGCCUUCUUCUGCUUUGAAUAUAAAUUUCUGAAUUAUCAUUUGACAUAAACAUCUAUUAUUAAACGUAUUUUUAUCCUGAAUGAGCUGAAUCCUAUACCAUUUUGCAAGGACACAAGGUAACAAGUGUUGGGGAAAGAUCAGUUUUUUAAAUUUUUUAUAAAACCUUUUUAAGAUCGCUCUCAUAUAAUAUAUAAGAAUUUGUAAUCUAGAAAUCGUACCUUAAAAAUUCGAUUUAGAUUUUUCCGCUGAAGUGAUUUAGGCUCCUAGAUCACGAUCCGUCACCACCACGCCUAUUAGAUUACGAUCCAUCACCACCACGCUUGUUAGAUCACGAACUGUCACCAAUGAUCUUCCAGGUUAUGACUCGGGUUUAAUCUGCACUUGACGUGUGGGCGCCUUUAUCACUACCAAAGCAACUAGCAUGAGAAAAUUUUUCUCUCAACAAUAGAGAGAAAAAUAUUUUUCUCUGAUCUGUAUAAAGUGGUUGCACUUUUUCUUUAGAGAAAAUAAGCCUUUUAUAUCUCCCUUUAGUGAAAACCCUAGACUCCAAAUAAUCAAAAUCAAAACUCACGUUACUUACUUUUCUAUAGGGGACCCACCUUAUAAAAUAACAUAAGGCCCCUUACACACAAACUAAUUAAAUGGAGCCUCCCACUAAAUGAUAUAUUUAGGCUUUUGACCCAAAUAGCUAGUUAUCUUGCUUAUUAAUCCAGUAGUGGUGCAGUCAAUUAAAUGAGCUAACUAGGGGAUCAUUUGGGAACAUACACUAGUGACUACAAUAAUUAGGCCUGUAAUUAAACUAGCCCAAUUAUUUAAUUCCAAAUCUACUCCACUAAAAGAUUGGAACUGACUUCCAUAAUUGUAUGCUCGAAUAAUAAUUCGUCCCAAGCCACAUUGAUUUCUUUACUGCACAAUCCUUUGUACCACAUCGUUAAUUAAAUUGAUAUCUCAACUGUCCAAUCAAUUUAAUAACAUCUUAUUCCUUGAUCCUUACUAGGUUUCUCUAAUGAUCAUUUUUAACAUAUUAAAUAUAUUGACACACUCUGGCCAGAGAAUUCUAUGAUCAAGUACCGAAAACCUAUCAAGAGAUGUGUUGUACAAAUUCUAUAUUGUUAAUCCAUAACUCCAAUACUCAUAAUUGCUCCCACCAAAUACCGGGUAAUCUUGACGACAAGGAUGUGUCGUGCCCAUUGGUAACUCAAAUGAAAUAACAAUCACAAUCAUGAAAUCAUAAUUAACUCAAGAUUAAGAUUACAGUAAAAUCAACGCCUAUGAGUCUUAUUUAAUCAUAAGAUAACUUAUAUUUAUGUCUUCUGUGAAUCCACAUGGUGAUCACAUAAAUACAUAUAAUAUGAUUAAAUAGACUUUAAUACAAAUUUGAAUAAAAUACCUCAUUAAUUUUAUUAAUCAGAAAAAAUGUUUAUUACAAUUAAAUAAACACAUAUGCUUUUAAAGAGCAUAUUUUCCCAACAAGUACCGCACUACUCAAUGUCAUCAGAAGUUCAAGAAAACAAAUGAGGAGAACAACUCCAAAGGAAAGUUGCUUCUUCAUUAUGUAUAUAUACAUACAUACAUAAAUUGCUUCCUGAAUCUGUUGUAACGGGCUUGGUGAAGGACUUUAAUAUGCAUUAAGCAAUAUAUGUAGAGGUGACAUGAAUAAGCUGAAUUCCACAAAAAGUCAAUGUUUUAAGAAUUCACUACAACAAAUUGCUGCAUUACCAACCAAAUUUUUCGGAAGUCGCAAUUUCCUCUCAGUAACAAGGACUGUUUACAAAGGUAUGACAUAGCCGUCGGUUAAACAUGAAAAAUAUGAAAUGUUUUUUUUCAGGACCUUUUGCCGGCGAUGAUAAUGAAUAUAUCGUUGAUAACACUUUAAAGUCAGUUAAAAUUACUUCGAAAUUUGUAAAGGAAGAGUGAUUUAUUUGAAAGAAUAAUACUUAAGUCAUUUUUUUUCUAAUCACAACUCUAUGCUUUUUUUUUUUAAAUUUAGUAACUCUCUAAAUGAAUUCAAAAUAAUCCUAAGUAGAAACUAAGUAACGAACCAACAUGAGUUAAAAUUACUAUAAAAUUAAAUAUCAUUGAUUUUUAAAAAAUAAACCUGGACUAAAAAACAGACGAACAGACACGGAUAAAAGGGAAAAAAAAAUUGCACACUCCUCCUGGACAAGCAUAAGAUCUCGAUCUCGCAACUAUUGGUUUCAUCUCGCUACUCAUUCAGUUAUUGAAUCUCUAUUUGCUACUUGUUUGUUUGUUCUGUAGCAUUUUGAUCUCGUUUUCACAAAGUUUAAUAGGUAAGUUUUUGUUGAUGCAACAAAUUUUUGCUCAAUGUACAGUGAUUGAUUUGCGUUCCGACCUUUCUUCUAAUUCAAGCUUUAUAACAUUUUUUUUUCCUUGAGAUGAGUGUCUCAAAUCAUAUCUCCUUAUGAUUAAUUAUUCUGCAAAAAGUGUUAUGUGCGGAAUGCGGAAUCAAGCACACCAAAUAAUCACAGAAAAAUAAAAGACACAGAAUUUUACAUGGUUCGGCAAUUUACCUACGUCCAUGUGAGUAAGAGAAUAAUUGCAUUACUAACAAUUAUUAGAGUACAAUAUUUGAGUAAAAACAUCGCUUCUCAAAACUCAAAUACACCCAAUACUCCCUCACACAAUUGAAAGGAAAAACUUCUCAAUUGCUCACACUCUCCAAUUGCUCACUCUGAACAAUUCUACAAAUAAAUUUUUAUUCACUCUCAAAUUUUGGGAUGAUGUCGAAUGGCUAGAGUAGCUUUAAUUUAUAAGAGUCUCUCAAGCAAUUUGUCAAUGGUACCUAUCAAUUUGUCAAAUGUGCCCGUAGAUAAAUUGGCCAACAUUUUGCUAAUCUAAUUUUUCAAAAUUGUUAGACGCAUUUUAAAAAAACAAAACAUGCAAAUGGCUCACCUCCAAUUUUUCAACCAUGCAUGUGGCUCAACUUAUGUUUUUUCAACCAAUUCAAAUAAACAAAUCGCCGAAUUUGACUUUUCAACAAUUCUCCCCCUCAGUGAAGAUUUGUUUAAAUCUGAACCGACUACCAAUAAACCAUCAUUCCUAAAGUGGCUGCAUCUCUGUGACCACCUAUGUACCCAUAACCUGGGAUCAAGCUAACCAUAGUUCAAAAAUUUCCCACACUCAACACAUUAGAAGGAUUUGAAUUAGUUGCAAGUAAUGUUGAAACUUUACUCUAGAAAUUAUCUUUGUCAACAUAUCUAACGAAUUAUCUUUAAUAUCAAUCUUUCUCAACAAUACAACACCGCCCUCGAUAACCUCUCUCACAUAAUGAUAUUUCACAUCUAUGUGCUUUGUUCGAGCAUGAUAUUUUUGGUUCUUCACUAGAACUAUCGCACUUUGGCUAUUACAGAAGACCUCAAUGUUCUCCUAGACUACUCUUAAAUCUCCUAACAAGCCUUUCAACUAAAUAGCUUCCUUUACAGUCUCAGUUGCUGCCAUGUACUCUGCUUCCAUAGUGGAAAGAGCAAUUGUCGAUUGUAGAAUCGAUCUCCAACUAAUUGGACCUCCACCUAAUAUGAAUACGUAGCCCGUUGUUGAUUUUCGUUUGUCAAGGUGUCCGGUAAAAUCAAAAUCACAAUACCUAACGCAUCGUUGAUCACAAUCCCUCUUAAACAAUAAUCCAACAUCAAUUGUCCCACACAGAUAUCGGAGAAUCUACUUCACUACAAGCCAAUGAUUUUUACCUAGAUUAUGCAUGUAUCGACUAACCAUACUCACGGCUUGAGAUAUGUCAGGCCUUGUGUACACCAUAGCAUACAUAAAACUACCCACAGCAUUAGCAUAUGGAACACGGGCAAUGUAGUCGCGCUCCUCUUGAGAAGAAGGAAAUGAAGAAGAGCUUCAUUUGAAAUGAGAAGUUAAAGGAGUUGAAACUGGUUUGGUUUUGUCAUCCAUACCAAACAUUUUUAGCACUUUCUUCAAUAAAGACUUUUGAGUUAACCAUACACUCAUAUUCUUUUUAUCUUUAUGAAUCUCCAUCCUAAGUAGUCGAUGUGCUUCACCCAAGUCUUUCAUCUCGAACUCAGAAGUCAGUUACUUUAAUCUUUCAAUCUCACCUCUAUUCUUUGAAGCUAUAAGCAUAUCAUCAACAUAAAGUAAAAGAUAAAUGAAAGCUCCAUAUUGUAGCCUUUUAAAAUAAACACAGUGAUCGUGUUCACUUUUAGUGAAUUUCUAUCCUUGUAUGAAUUGAUCAAAUCUCUUCUACCACUGCCUUAGUGAUUGCUUCAAUCCGUACAAAUAUUUAAUCAAUCUGCACACAUAAUUCUCCUUUUUAGCGACUUUGAAACCACAGGGCUGAAUCAUAUAGAUUUCCUCCUCCAAAUCUCCAUGCAAUAAUGUCGUCUUAACAUCCAAUUGAGCCAACUCUAACUCAUAUUAAGCUACCAAAGCAAGUAGAAUACGAAUGAAAGUAUGCUUUACAACUGAAGAGAAUACUUCAUUAUAGUCAAUACCUUCCUUUCGAGCAAAAUAUUUUGCUACAAGCCUUACCUUGUAUCGAAGAGUUGUUUGAUUUAGAGAUCCUCACUUCUUGAUGCAGACCCAUUUAUUUCCAAUAACCAUUUUUCCCUUAGGUAACUCUAUAAGUUCCUAAGUCUAAUUUUGAUGAAAAGACUUCAUUUCUUCUUCUAUGGCUAACUUUUAUUGACCACUUUCACUACUGUUUAUAACUUCGUUGAAAGUGUUGAGGAUGUCAUCAUUAAUAACUAGAAGUGCAUUGGCUACUGCCAUAUCUUUAGCAAGUCAUCCAGGAUUCUUUAUCACUCCUUUUUGUCUCCUUGUUGCUAUAAUAUCAUUUUCAUGUUCUACAUCUAUAGUUGCUUCUUCCUGUUGUGGAACAUCAUCAAAAACAACUUCUUUGUCAACUUUUAGGGUCUCCUUUAAAGUUGAUUUCUUCUGUGAUGUACAACUAACUGGUACAUAUGGAGUUGCAUCAAACUCUACCCGCUGUAAUAUUUCAUUGAUCUUGUUCUCCACCUGCUGAAAACUUGAAGCCUUCAGCAUAGAAGAUUUAUUAAAAGUGACAUCUCUAUUAUAUACAAACUUUUUAUCUUCGAGAUCCCACAGUUUGAAACCUUUAACUCCACCGUUAAAUUCCACAAAGAUAACUUUUCUUGCACGAGGAGCUUAUCAUUUUUUACAUGAUAAUAAGUUUGACACCCAAAUACACGAAUGGAGUUAUAAUCUUAUGCAUGCUUUCUAGACCAUAUUUCCAUAGGAGUUUUACCUUCAAUUGCGGCAGAAGGCAACCAGUUUAUUAAGUGACUUACGUAGCUCGCAGCUUCAGCCCGAAACUUUUUAUCUAAACCAAUAUUAGAUAAUAUACAUCAUACUUUCUCUAAUAAAGUAUGAUUUAUACGCUCAGCCACACCGUUCUGUUGUGAAGUAUGUCUCAUCAUUAAAUACCUUUUUAUACCCUCACUCUAGCAUACUUGCAAGAAUGGAUCGAAAGUAUAUUCAUCCUCAUUAUUAGAACACAAUGCUUUGAUCUUUCCAUCAAUUUGAGUCUCCACCAGUUUCUUCCAUUUCAAGAAAAUCUCUAGAACCUCAUCCUUUGCUCGCAUGGUGUACACCCAAACACAUUUAGAGAAAUCAUCAACAAAUGACACAAAAUAAUGGCUUCCACCAAUUGAUGCAGUCUUGGUUGGUUCCUAUACAUCGUUAUGAACAUAUUCAAGGAUCUCAAGAGUAUCGUGAUUAGCUGUACCAAACUUGACCCUCGUUUUCUUACUAACCACACAAUGUUUAUAGAAUUUAAGUUUGCAGGUGUUUGUACCUUUUAAAAGUCCAUGCUUCAUCGGAGUUUACAAAGAUUUUUCCCCAGCAUGUCCCAGUCGUACAUGUCAUAGCUUGGUGGUGUCACUGUGUGCCUUAGAAACAUUAGCUUCAUCGGUUAUACCUCUUUUCAAAUAAUGUAAAUUGUGACGUUGAACCCCUUACAGAAUCACAAUAGCCCUAUGUGUGAACUUUAUUGUGCCAUCUUCAAUGGUAACUUUAUAGCCUUUAGCCUUUUAGCCUUUAAAGCACCUAUAGAAAUUACAUUUUUCUUAAGAGUUUAACAUAUCUAACUUCUUUCAGUUCUCUGAUCAUUCCGUUGAACAUUUUGAGCCGAAUUGUUCAUAUCCUCAUUGUGCGACAAGAUUUAUCAUUUCCCAUCAUAACUACACUGGAUCUCAGAUCACGAAAAUAUGUAAUUCAUUUCCUUAUGGGACACAAAUGAUAGAUUGCUCCCGUAUUAAGUAUCCACUCAUUCCAAUUAGCCACGUAUGCUGCAAGCGUAGUACUUAGUGAAUAAUCAGAGUUUUCAUCUUUACAUGUCAUAUUUGCUACUACUGGUUUCUACCUAUCUCUCUUCUAAGUCUUCGGACAAUUUUUCUUCUAAUGGCCUCUCUCAUGACAAAAGGAAUACUCAUCUCAAGCUAUAUUUCUAUUUCUCGAUUUGGACCAAGAAUGCUUUCCACAUCACUUCUUCUUUUUCUCUAUCAUCUUUUCUUUUACUAAUAAAGCUUCAAAUGAUUCUCUUUCGGAAUGUUUAUCAUUAUUCCGAAUCUCUAAAUUGGUCAAUGUUAUGAAGACAUCCUUGAAGAUAAUCACACUUUUCCCAUAUAGUAAAGUAGUCACAAAAUGACUAUAUUCUUUUGGAAGGGAUUGCAGUAGAAUCAUAGCCUUGACUUCAUCCUUAAUAUCUUCAUCAAGAUUCUUCAAAUCUGCAAGUAACUUUUAAUAUCUUGAUACAUGAUCGAGCAUUGACAUUCUAGGCUUCAUUUGGAAGCCAUAUACUUGACUCAUUACAUGAAGGCUAUUUUCAGGACUUUUUAGCAGGUACUUCUCCUCCAAUGUACGUCAUAAAGUCAUCGUUCACUACUUAUCUUUCACCAGAUAUUUCACCUCCUUGGUCAAGCAAGAUCUGAUCUGAUCUGACCACAGGCUUUUUUGUUCAUAUGAUCCCAAGUUUCUUCGUCGUAUAUGUGUCUUUUAUUUUUCAGAACAACAUCGAGAUUGAUUUAAAUAAAAGCAUCCAUAACUUCGCACCUCCACAUGCCGAAAUUGACUUUCCCAUCAAACGUUUCAACAUCGAUCUUCUGGCCUCCUAUUACAAGUGUCGAAAGACGAUGUGACAAAUCUCGUCUCCCAAUGAAGUAUCUCCUGAAAUAUUCUGGGUAGAUCUCUCCCCACUCCUAGAAGUUUAACCUUCUACCAUUUUCUCAAUAAAUUAUUCCCACUUUAGAAAUCAGUACCUAUAGAAAAAUGUACCAAGAAAGUUACUAGGAAAGACUGGAGAUGUCACACCAAUCCCACUUAAGACCCAGUCCCCUUAGGCUCUUAUUGCCUUUGUGACAGAACUUUUCUAGAAAUGCACAAAUCCAUACUACUGCACAAGCUGUUAAUCCUCCCGAGUACGAACUCUUGGCUCCACCGUAUUAAGAAACAGUACCAUACAUGAAUAGUAUCGUACUUGAAUAGUACCAUAUAUAGGAAUAAUACCGUAAGUAUGAACAGUACCGUAUGUAUGAAAAAUGUCAUCUACUCCAAAGAAAGAUGUGGGGAAAAUCGUCAAUCACAAAUCAAAAAAUUGAAAAAACCUUCAAAAGUAAUUUUAAUUAUCUUUUGUCUAUAAUCUCUAAUUUCCCUUGGAAACCUAAAGUCACCGAAAGCUCUCCGUUUUCUUCUCUCCAUUAAGUCCCUUGUCUCCUAGAUUUUGAAACCUAAUAUCCUUAUCUCCUAUAAUUUCUUUAGAAAUCAUUUUAACCAACUAGCCCCUUUAACUUACUGAGCAAUUGUAUCCCCAGAUGGCUCUUGUUUGACAGAAGAAAUUGAUGGGUCUUGAUUUCCUCAAAUAUGGGUUGAAUGCAAUAGAGGUAAUUUAUGGGUUUUGCUUUUGUGUUUGUUAAUUUUUAUUAUCGAGACUCAAGAUGAUGGGGAAGUUGCUUAGAGAAAAUGGUAUAAUUUUGAACAGAUUAAAGAGUGACGAAGAGGCUACAAAUUUUUGCAAUUAGAAUAGUAAGUCCAUUAGAUUGAAAAUAUUUCGUCCCUAGAGAGAGAAAGUGAUUGAAAAUAUUAACAAUUUGUAUGACAGUUGAUGCUAUGUUAAAUUUGGGGAAUUUAUAAAGUAUCAAUUUCAACUAGCUACCGUUUUACUCAAAUAUUGUAUCCUGAUAAUUGUUAGUAAUGCAAUUAUUUUCUCUUAUUCCUGUGGGCGUAGACAAAAUUACCGAAUCACUUAUAAAUAUGCUACUAUAAAAAUAUUAUUAAAUAUAACAUUAAUUUGUAGCAUUUUUAAAGUGCUAUAAUGUUUAAAAUAAAAUGUAGCACUAACAAUAUGCUACAACCUAAAUUUAAAAUAUAAUAAAAAAUAAAGUAGCACUAUUGAAUAGUCAAUUGUGGCUUUUUUUAAUAAAGUGUUAUUGUAGAACAACAUUUGGUAACAUUAAAAGAAAAAAUGGUACCAUGAAAUGCUACUAUAAAUGAUAUUUGUUGUAGUGUUUUUGUUAACUAGAAGAGAGAGAUUGUUAAAAAAAAAAUGGUUAAUGAACAACCUCUAAUGGAGGAAUUUGAGAACUGAAAAAGAAAUGGGCCAAUGGGCUAAAAAGAUAAAGCAAUAGGAUUAAAUCAAAUUUCAACAGUUUUGGGCAAACUUCAGUACUUCACUAACGAUUUCAUUUUGAUGAACAUUAAACUUUGCAAUACAAUUCAAACUACGAUAUUUCAUAAACACGUAACAAGUUUGGAUGAGAUUGAUACUAUGUUGAGAUAAGAAAAAAUAUCAUUUGGAUUAAGGCCCAAGAAGACGCCCACUCUAUGCCCCCGUUUACUUAUGUAUAUCUUUUACUUUCUUGUAUAAAGGUUAUCAGAAGUUAGAGCUCAGUUACUGUCAGCCACAAGAAAAAUGUUAGCAGGUACAGCAGCCAUGUACUUUCUUGUUUCAUCUCAGACAAGUGCUGUAGCUGCAAUUUUAAUCACUCUUUUAAUCAUUCUAUACACGUCUUUGUUAGUUUCAAGAAAUUUACUUCGAAAAUACACAAGCAAGAAGAAGAGGGGAGCACCCGAAGCCGGGGGAGCUUGGCCGGUGAUUGGCCAUCUACACAUCCUAGGAGGGCCAGAACCCCUUCACAGGGUGUUGGGAAGCAUGGCCGACAAGUAUGGUCCAAUCUUCACAAUCAAGAUUGGCAUAAAUCGAGCUUUAGUUGUGAGCAGUUGGGAGAUGGCUAAAGAGUGUCUUACUACAAACGACAAAAUCUUUGCCAGCCGUCCAAAAACUCUAGCCAUGGAGAUUUUAGGCUACAAUUUUUCCAUGUUUGGCUCCAGCCCAUACGGCUCCUACUGGCGCGAGACACGCAAGAUAGCCACACUUGAGCUUCUCUCAAAACAUCGACUUGAGAAGCUCAGGCAUGUACGAGACUACGAGGUGAAGACUUGUUUGAAGGAGUUAUACGAGUUAUGGGACAAGAGUAAAAGCACAAAUAAGAUGUUGGUAGAAAUGAAGAGAUGGUUUGAAGACACCAUCUGUAAUGUGAUUUUAAGAAUGAUUGUAGGAAAGGGAUGCAAUUCAGUGGAUAGUGAAGAAUGGAUGGAACUACUAAUUUGAUUUUUAGAAAUGAGUGGCAAGUUUGUGGUGUCAGAUGCGCUGCCGUUUUUGAGAUGGUUGGAUAUAGGGGGUGACGAGAGGUCAAUGAAGAAGACUGCCAAAGAAUUAGACAUUGUUGUUCAAGGAUGUUUAGAAGAGCACAAGAGGAAGAGAGAUUCUCGGGAGAUGAAAGGAGAAGAACUAGAUUUUAUGAGUGUGAUGCUUUCAAUUCUGGGCGAUACAGAGAAAUAUUCGGGUCGUGAUGUUGAUACAAUAAAUAAAGCUGUCUGCCUGGUGCGCCUUUCUUAACUCGUUUUUUCAUUUUUGCGCCUUUCUUAACCCGUUUUUUCAUUUGUACUCAUACUCUAGAGGACGGCUUAAUCCCUCUCUACCCGGUCCAUCGAUUUGAGCAGAGUUCAAAAAUCUUAUACCUCUAUUUUUGUGUUUUAUUUAUUUAUUUUUUAUUUUUAUUAACUUGCACACAUUAGUGAGGCCUGAAUUUAGAUCGCAGGUCUUAGGAUAUUUACUCCUUACUGGUGGAAAUAGACCUUAUAUCUUUUAACUCAAGAAAUAUUACUUGGCACUUUUCUCUUAACAGAAUAUUAUUCUGUGCUUUUAAAAUAAAUUAAGCUUAUGUAUCAAUAUUCAGGAUGAGAUAACCUAAUGAGAGCAAUUAAAAUUGUAAUUCGUCAAUUGAGAAUAUAUAAUUAUAUUCUGUUUACGUCCAGUUGGUUGAGAGGAUAAUGGUGAAUUAAAAAGUCGAUGAAAUCAUCUUCUAUUCAUUAUUGAUUUAGUCAUUUGGGACUUACAUUUUCAGAUAAGUUUUUGGUAAUAUAUUUGUGGAUUUGGGGAAGUCUUGAGUGCUCCAGGAGCUCUGCUCCUUUUCCAUUCAUUUCUUGUUACGUUCAUACUUCAAACAUUCAUGAUACUAUGCAUAAUCCAUGGUCAAGAAUGAAUGGUUAACGACCAAUAUUUCAAGAACAUCAAAGACCUUCUCGUGGAUUUAACAUGAUCCAUCAGCAAGAGUCAAAAGGUCAAAAAAAUAGUCUUUAAGUUGAAUUCAAUUAAGUUGGAUUGUGAAUGAGUGUAACAUAUGAAAGUAAUAGAACAACGCUUUGAGCACUACAAAUUUUGCAGGGUCUCAUCAUAGCAGGAUUAGACACCACAACAGUAACUUUGACAUGGGUUAUCUCUUUGCUUCUUAACCACCGGGAUAUUUUAGACAAGGUUCAAAAUGAACUAGAUAUCCAAGUUGGCACAAAAAGGCAAGUGAAUGAAUCAGAUCUAAAAAAUUUAGUUUACUUGCAAGCCACUCUCAAAGAAGCUAUGCGUUUGUAUCCUGCUGUGCCACUCUUAAUUCCACAUGAGGCUAUAGAAGAGUGCACAGUCAAUGGUUACCAUGUCCCUGCCGGCACACAACUUUUGAUCAAUGUUUGGAAGCUUCAACGUGAUCCACGUGUUUGGGAAGAGCCGUGUAAGUUUCAACCAGAAAGAUUUUUGACAAAGCACAAGGAUAUUGAUGUUAGGGGACAGCAUUUGGAAUUGUUACCUUUUGGUAGUGGCAGAAGAAUGUGCCCUGGAGUGUCAUUUGCCCUACAAGUUAUGCAAUUUACAAUUGCUUCUCUACUUCAGGGCUUUGAUUUUGCAACCCCGUCAAAUGAACCGCUGGACAUGGGUGAGGGAUUUGGAUUGACCAUGGAGAAAUCUAGACCACUUGAAGUACUUAUCGCUCCACGUCUUUCUGCUUCUUUGUACGGCUAAAUUGGUUAUCGAUGUUAUCAAUCCAAUAAACUUUUAUUACACGUAUUGGUGUAUUUUGUUUGCUUGUAUACUCUUGACUUACUAGGCCUUCUUUGGAAUCAUCAUUAGACAUGAAUACAGCAGUUAAAUGCACUUUUAUCGCCGCUAAAUUUUUACAGCACCAUCAUUAUUCUUAAUAUUAAUAUUAUCAUUUGAGUACAAUUCUAUUGAUAUUAUAAUUACAAUAGUAUCGAGACUUUUAUUUUUUAGAAGCUCUAUUCGGUUCAACUUAUUGAUUAGAGUUUAGAGGAAAACUUAUUCAAAGAGAGCUUUUUAAGCUAUUGGGUUUUUGGUUAUUAAUUAAAAACAAUUCUUUUGAAUUAUUAAACUAUUUAGUUUUACAAUAUUGAAAGUUCUUUUGUCUAUUUAAAUUAUUAAAAAGGAUAUGCAAAAACUUUACUUCAUAAUUAUAUAAAUUUUAACCAAAUGCACCCAAGCUGUCCAUUAAUAUAAGAAAAAAUAAUAAUAAUUCAACCAUUUGGUUGAAUUCUAGCUAAGUAAUAUCAUCCCAGUUCGACUUUAAUUUUCUUUCUUUUUACUUUUUCUUCAACCAUUUGAUUGACUUCCAGCUAAGUAAUAUCAUUCCAGUUCGAGUUUUUUUUUUUUUUUUUACUUUUUCUCUAUAGCAAUUGCUGUUCUAGACAAAGGAUAUCUAAUACUAGUUUAAAAAAAAAACACAAAUAAGACAAGGAUGACAUGAAUUUCAAAUAUAAAUUAAUAAUUGGCACAUAUUAUUGAAUUAAAAAAUAAAGGGGAGAAUAUACAUGUCAUCCUUCAUAAAUGUCAUAUUUACCAUUUACAUUUCUACUAGAUUUUUAGUUACCCAUUUCAUCCCCUCUGUUAAGAGAUAAUAAAAAAAGUUAAUAUUUUUAAUCAUUUACUAUUUGUUAAGUGUUAGAAAGUGUAUAUUUAUAAAGGAGAAAAUCGUCAUUUUAAACUUUAAGUCUCACUAACAUCCAUACUUUUAUAUAUUUAAGUCCCUUGUAAUUUAAUUAUGUGUGUUUUAUUUUAAUUAAGUAUUUUAUGUAUUUUAGGGGCAUCAUGGUCCUUUUACAAUGAACGAAAGAUUAGAGAGCAAAACAGACAGUAAUUUUGGACUCAGGAUAGUCGAAAACCUUAAGAGGAGCAUAAAAGAGUAAACGACAUUGUUCACAUGUACGGUACUGUAUAUGGUACUGUUCACGACAUUAUUCGCAUAUACGAUCCGAUGACGUGGCACCAACCAAUGACGUGGUAACAUUCAAUUGGACGAAUGAUGUGGCAUUGACUGUUUAUGUGGCGUUGACCGAUGAUGUGUCACGAUCCUAUUGGCUAAAAUAUUGAUGUAGUGUUAGCCGGUGACGUAGCAGUAUGUUAGUGGACCAAAAAACGUGCGUACGGUACAUACAUAUACACGAAAUAACAGCCAUGAUGAUGUGUUCUAUCCAAUCAAAACUUGCCACAUGGCGCAAUCCUAAGCGUCCAAAUUGUUUUAAUCCGAUGGUCAUGAUUUACUCAUUGUAUCUAUAAAAAUGGGGCUCUCCCCCCCCUAAUUCGACUGCCCUAAAUUCAUUUUUUAGUUUCAUUUUCUGUAAUUCCUUCUUCAUCUUAUAUUAUCUAAGUAUUUUAAUAAAUUUUCAUUUUACCCCUAAUUCAAUUAUGAGUAGUUAAUUUUCUUUCAAGCUUGGGUUGAAGGUGAAGUCUCAACAUGUUUCACGGGCUUUAUUUGGUAAAUUUACUUUCUCUUGCCCUCUGAUUUUUGUGGAUGUUUUGACUUUUCGUCGACGGAUAGUAAUAAUCUUGUCUAGAUAUCGCACUGGUAUAACUGGCACCUAGUGCAAGAUUAUUACUAUUUGGCACGAUAAACCCUUAGCUCCAUAUUGAUUAGAGUGUGGUUCACGAGGAAUGGAAAUCCCCCUCAUGAUUUAAUUGGCACUAAUAAGGAAUAUUAAGUCCAUGGUGCAUGUUGAUACAGAUCCAGAUACCCAAGCGUUUCUUUUUAAUAGAUUUCACUUCAAUUUAUUCCCGCCAUUUUAAUUUAAAUUUUAGGAUAAUCUAAAUCACUUCUACCACAAAUCCAAUCACCCACUUAGAAAAUUAACUCUACACAUAAUUAAAAUCCACCUCCUCGUGAGAUCGACACUCGUUACCAUUGAUCUAUUCUACAAUAAAUUCGUGCACUUGCGAAUUCAAUAAAAUUUGCACAACACUAUUCACCUCUCCUUAUAGGAUUUUAUGACAUUUCCAAGUAGCUUGUCAUCAAAAUUAAAUUAAAGAUGAAAUGAUUAGUCAUAUAUAAUUACCAAAUUAAAAGCCUUGAGUUUGUUAUUUUUUUAUAAUCCAAACAACAUAUGUUAGAUUUUAGUUUAUAUUUUAAAUUAUCACACUUUGAAUGACUGCUUUGCCCUUAUUUUCGUAAUUAAUUAUAUUAUCUCUUAAUAAUAGGGAUGACAUAAGUAAUUAAAAAUUCAAUAGAGAUGUAACUAAUAAAUAUGAUGUCUAUCAGUAAUUAAACGUACUUUCUCUGAUAUUAAAAACAAAAUGAAAUAGUGGCUAAUACCAAAUAGUGACAUUGUGAAACGUGUUCAUCAUUUUUCUAAUAAAUUAGGUAUAUUUUAAUAAAAGAAAGGAAACAUGCAUACCUACUAUUGUCCUCAACAAAGUGGUGGCAACGAAUUUGUUUCAAAUAUUUUUAAUCUUUUUAUUGUGUUGGGUUUUGAAUAUAAGUAUGGGUAUUGUGUAACUAAUAAUGCAAUGUCUCUAAAGUGUUUUUCGGAAUUGCAUAUAUUACAAAAAAUUCUCUAAGCUCUUCUCUCAAAAAUACAAAAUUUGAGUUUAUGCUUAUAGAGGCAAAAUAACUUCUUUAAUUUUCAAAAACUCCACAAAUAAAAAAAUUGAAAAGAGCUUGUGGAAUUAAAUAAGCACUUAUUGUCAUUAGGUAAGUUAUACUGUUAUUUAUCUAAAAGUGUACACGAAAAAUUAUUCCAAAGAAGGAUUGAGAGGCCUACUCUUGAAUUAGGAGAAAUUCUACACCCACAACCACAUUGGAUACUUUAACCUCUGAUUUCAAGAAAAAGAAAAUGAUCAGUCAAUCAUUGGGAUGGUGAAGUGGUUGACAGAUAAAAAUAUGCUUUGCAGAGUAAAACUCAAGGAGCAGAGGUCAGCAAACGCUUCCUGAAUUAUAGUGAAUAAAACAAACUACAAAGAGAGUUCCCUUGCAACCCCAAAGAUACAAAAAUCUUCUAAAUGACAUUAAUUGGUGGGCGACCAAAAGAAAACUUACCAACAAUAACCAAUUUAAAAAGAUAAACCAUAUAAUGAAUUUCCACAGUAGAGAAAUAGACAUUAGGUUUACCUCUAUGCAACUAAAUGAUAUAUGCCCAAUAUGCAUGAGGAUUACGUGCAUGGUUUGCAAGCAAAUGUGGAAGCCUUGUUUAAGUUAAUUAGAAUUCUAUUAGUUGGGGAUUUUAAUGGGUUCGAUGGAUAAGCUUUCGUUGUUGAUUUUCAGCAGGAGUGUAGUCAUGUUCUAGAUAAUUUUGCUAUUAUUGUUCUAUUUCUUAGCUCAGUAGGUGUAAAGUUUAAAGGCUAUAUGUAACAUGGGACGAAUUGAAGAAGGGAUGGGAAAAAAUAUAUUACUCCAAUAUUUCCUAUCUCUUUACUACUGUUAUAUCGGUUUUAUUUCUUAGUUACAAAUUCAACAUAUCAAUUUGGUGUCAAAGUCAAGUUGCUUGAAACAUGGCUAUCCGAAAUCAAUCAAAUGUUAAGUUUCGUAAUGAGGUUCAAGAAAUCUUAAGCCGUCAAGAGUCUAGCCUAGACCAAGUUCAUGCCACGCUGCAAAACGUGUUAUCAAAACUCCAAUCUUUUCGUGCCUUACAAGCCUUACCCAUAACCGCCUCUGAAAUUAAUCCCUUUGCACCUAUAGCAUCCUUUCACCAAGUUGCAAAACUUGCCUCCUCAAACUUUCCUAACCAUCACCACCAUCUCAAACUAACCUUUCUAUAUUUCAAUGGAGAAGAUCUGACUGGUUGAAUCUAUAAGGCAGAAUGUAGCCUCAUAACAUAAUUUACAAUUAACGUAAUUCCAUUUGGAGGGGAUUGCUCUAUAAUGGCAUAGAUGAUUAAUGAAAUUUCGUGGCCCACUGACUUAGGCAGAAUUUACAAAAGUAGUCCUUUUACGAUUCAGACUAACAGAUUAUAAGGACCCUUUGAAGUUUUAACACAUCUCAAACAAACUUCAACGAUGGCAGCCUAUUAAAAAGAAUUUGAAAAACUCUUUUAUACCAUUGACAAUUGUUGUUGAUUUUACUUUAACUGCUACGGUGUUAAUGUGCAAGUGUACACAACAAGUAAUAAAAUUAUGAGUAUUUAAGAUCGUCUCCACAAGAAUUGAUGUUAUCAGACUUGCUACAACAAUUUCAAUAGUACAAUCUAUGUUCUAAAUUAAAUCAAUGCAACCAACAUAACUAAAUACUUAAGGAAAAUAAAAUCACAAUAAUAAAAAAUGCAAUGAAUAAAAUUUGCACGUUAAACACGUAAAUACAAUUGGAAUGGAGUAGUUGAGUGAUUAAACUCUCUUGAUAGUGUUGACUAUUUUAUUCAUGUUAAGCACAGUUGUUGCAGCAUCUGCUACAGCACUGGGCAGAAACCAUUUUUAUCCUCAGCAGUAGCAUGUUGGAUGUCUUAUAUCUUUAUGCAACCUAAUAGUGAUCAGUUGCUAAGUCAACAUAAUAUAUAACAUUACACAUUUAUGUUCUCUUUACCCUACAAGGUGAAUCUCCAUAUCUAAUUCAUCACUAAUCUUAGAUUAAGCAUGACCCUUUUUGGACUUAAGUUAAACUCAAUCCAGGAAACUCAAUCUAAGACCACGUAUUACUUUAAUAUGUUCCACUAAGAUAGACCAUUUUGCGGCUCUUUCUUAACUUUUAUCAUUAAAUAGGUGGUCAACCAAAAUAAUGAAUGUAAAUAAAUGUUAUUAAAGCAAAAUGGUAUAACAACACAUGCAAUAACACCUAUAUUCAGUCAAUUAACCAUCAAGAUAGUUUAACACUCAACCAUAAAUAAAUUUAGUUCAUAAUUUGUGAAAGGACAUUAAACAAUGAAGUUCUAGCCAUCGAAUAUAUCUUUAUGAUUAAUGAAUAACAAGUAAACAAAAAAGAGAAUUCCAAUUGAUUCUACAAAUUUCUUCUACUGGUGCAGCCUUGAAUUCUACUCGGGAAUUAUGUUUCUUCGUUGUUUCAUUUUUGUUUUGAUCUUGAUUGACGGCCUCCUCUUUCCUUUGCAUGUAUGCCCCUUUUAUAAUUGCAAAUUAGGGUAAUUGGAAACUUAAUGGCACGCAUCUUCCAGAUUAGAAAACUACAUAUCAUAAUAUUCUAAAUAUCUUGCUCGGAUUUUUCUCUGUCAAUACUCGAGAAUUACUACAAUAGUGGCUACAGCAUCUUCAUUAUUCCAGAUUUGCUCUAAUUCUUCUAUAGCCAUGCUCAUUGAUCCUCUUUAUAAGUCCAUUGCAACAUCAUAUUUUCCAUAAAUUUCAAGUUUUCAUUGAUCUACAGUUAAACAUAUGUUUUAGGCAUACAAUUACUCAAAAAUCACAUAAACUUUAUUAAACUUAAACUAAAAUGAAUGUAAUGCAAACUAUCAUUAAAGUGCACUAAAACACAUUAAUUACUCUCUAAGUAGUCUUGAUUUAAGCCUAAAAAUAUCAUGAUAACUCUCAUUUCAUAGAGUUAUCAACAACCUCCCUGAGGAAUUUCUUGUAGGAUGUUUUAUUGCUAGAUUGUGAGACGACAUCCGAUUAGAUGUCAAAGUAAAACAACCAAAAACUCUAUUAGACAUGAUUAGAGUUUCAUGCUUGAUUGAGGAGCAGAGUUCAUUGUUUUAGUGCACCCCCACUCUUCUCUGCCAUCCCCUGUUUCAGUGAUGCAACAGCCAAUCCCAAAUAAUUUCACUGGGGUCUUAGGUCCACUUCUUAAGGUUAACCAAAUAGCUAAUGACAUGGCUCCUCUUCCUAUUAGUGGUUGUCGAAACAAGAAGCAUAGGCUUAUCGUGAAAAAGGGUUUUAUUAUUAAAGUAAUGAGAAAUUUAUUCCUCGCCAUCGUGUCCAAAGCUAUAGCUAUUCAUGAUUGAAGAUUGUGUAUCGUUCACACAACUCGUUACUAGUUAAAAAGAUAAGCUAAGCAGUUGAAGGCACGAAUUAAAACCAUUGGUGAUUCUCAAAGACUCACUCUGACUUUGACCUUGCAGACAAGAUGGUUCUAAAGGGUGGGGAAUGAUAUGUGCUCGAUAUACAUGGAGAUUACGUGCAUAAUUUGCAAGCAAAAAUGGAAGACUUGUUUAAGCUAGUUAGAAUUCUAUUAGCUGGGUAUGGAUAAGCUUUGGUUGCUAAUUUUCAACAACAGUGUAGUCAUGCUCCAGAUAAUUUCACUAUUGUUAUUCUAUUUCUUAGCUUAGUGUAUGUAACGACUGAAAUGAGUGAUGGGGAAAAUCAUAUUACUGCAAUAUUUCCUUUAUAUUUACUACUUCUAUCUCAUUUUCACUUCUUAGUUACAAAUUCAAUAUAUCAAUGAACUAGCUUCACAAGAAUUGAAGAAGCUACAAAAGCAAUCGCAGCAUCAAAAGACCUUUGUGGACACAAUAAGCAUUAGAGUUAAGAAUGGUAGUCAGGCUAAGUGCAGAAGCAUAUGAAAGCUUAAGGGUGAUGUUAGUGCCUUGGUUUGGAAGAGUUGAGUUGGUGUAGCGAUUUUGGACAACUAGACGAGCGAGGUUCGCAUCACCACUCUAUGUGAAGGCUAAAGCAUUUGGCUAUAUAUAUAAAGCUAGAGGAUGUGUAGGAGGUGUUAAGGUCCUAUGGGCUAACUGCAAAUAAUGUGGUUCAAUGUUGACAUGAGAAAGGUGGGCAACGUGCAUGGUGCUAUAUCUUAGACUUGUGGUUGACAUAUACAAAUAAAGCAAAGGCUAAAGAUCAACAGAAGACUAUAUGCAAGUACGAAGGGAAUCAGGUGACCAAGAAACACCAUAAGUAGCAGCGAGAAGAUCUUAGGUCAGAUCAGGAAUCGUUUGUAUAUGGUAGAUAGGGUUUUGUGGCUGUUCCGUUCAAGGUUAUGAGAACGUCAAAAGAGGCUAGGGGAAUGAUCAGCAAUGUUAAGUAGCCAUCACUGACGAGAAAGGAUGCGGCAGCUAGCUGCAUAAGGCUAUUUUUCUCCCAAAUGAUCGAAAGGAUAAAAGGGUAAAUUGAAAAGUCGAUGAAAUCAUCUUUCAUUUUUUAUGGCAUUAGUUAUUUGAGACAUACACUUUCAGAUAAGUUUUUGUUAAUAUAUUUGUGGAUUUUAAAAAAGGUCUUGAUUGUUGCGGGAGUAUUCUUCAUUCCUUUCUAUGUGUAUGCUCCAACUAAUCAUAAUAUAAUAUGCAUACAUACAUUGUAUGCAAUAAAUGGUUUAGAAGCAAUAAUUCAGGAGCACCAAGGACCUUCUUGUGGAUUUAACAUGAUGCAUUGAAUCUAAAUCCAUUGAUAAGAGUCAAAAGGUUAAAAAAAAAAACCUUUAAGUUGAAUUCAAUUAAGUUCCAUUUUAAAUGAGUAUAAUGUAUGAAAGCAAUAAAACAACGCUUUAAGCCCUAGCAAUUUUUAUUGGGUCUCAUCUUAGUUGCCAUAGACACCAUAGGAGUAAUAUUGACAUUAGCUUUCUCUCUGCUUCUCAAUUAUCAUGAUAUUCUAGACAAGGCUCAAAAUGAACUAGAUAUUUAGAUAGGCACAAAAAGGCAAAUAGUUGAGUUUAGGUGUUUAAUAAUCGAAUAAGAGUUUGAGAAUAUUUCUUUUAUGGAUAUAUAGUGCAUUUCAUUUUGGAUUUCGUUUACUUUGAUUUACACAUAUAUACAUGAUUUUCUUGGUCAUUACUAAAUGUCACAUGAGAUGUGCUAUAACUAGUUGUUAAUAAGACAAUCUACAGUUUUCUGAAAUCUCUAUAGGUUUGUUAGGCUUGCUGCUCUCUGCACAUUCCUUGUCUAUGACUUUAUGAGCUGCUGCUUCUUUAUGCUUGUUACUAUGCACAUUUAGUAUUAAACAAACAUAUCCACAUAACUAACUUUAACUACCUUGCAGGUCUUCAUUUUAACUCCCGCUUCAAGCUCAACUAUUCUGACAUUGAGUUUAUUUCUUAAGUAUAGAAAUGUCUGUACAAGCAGUGCCUUGGUCAUUGUAUUUGUUAUCAACUCAUUUGUGCCUAUACGUUUUACUUGCAAUUGCUCAAUGUCAAUUCUUUUCCUCAUAAAGUGCACAUCAAUAUCUACAUGCUUUGAUCCACCAUGGAACACAACAUUUUGAGAUAAAGAUUCUACUACCUUGUCGUCACACCAAAUGGUUGGCACACUUUUUACUUUGAUGUUCAAUUCCUUUAGCAGUGAGCAUAUCUACAUUAUUUCAGCAGCUCCUGUUGAUAGAGCUUUAUAUUCUGACUUAGCAUUGGAUUUUGCAAUAAAGACCUACUUCUUUGAGCUACAGGAGAUGAGAUUAUUUCCUAAGUAGAUGUUGUAGGCACCAUUGAUCUUCUAUCAUUUCCAUGUCCUCCCCAAUCUGCUUCAGUGAAGCCAUUUAUUUCCAAAUCACCAUCCGCAUUGUAUAUCAAUCUAUAGUUGGUUGUUCCCUGUAGGUACCUUAAGAGUCUCUUGCAUGCUAUUCAGUGAGCUUCUUUAGGAUCUUCAACGACUUAACUCGACUUGUUUACAAUAAAUGCAAUGUCUGGUCUUGUCAAAGUGGCAUAUGCCAAAACUCCAAUUGUACUUCUAUAUAGAGUUAAAAGUUUUGUCGCUAAAGACCAACAAAAACAUUAUUCAUAGUUUUAGCAACCAAAAAAAUAAUUUGUCGCUAAAUUCAUAGUAAAAAAAAUAACAUUUAAUUAUCACUUUUAAUGACGAAAGAUAUAUUGCCAAAAAUUAGGUUUGUUGCCAAAAAAUUAGGUUCGUUGCCAAAAAAUUAAGCGACAAAGAAAACAUGUUAGCUCCCAAACCUUUAGCGACCAAAAUUUGAUAUAUUGCGACAAAUAAUUUUUAUCACCAAAAAUAGUUUUAGCAAUGAAUAAAGUUCAUCACUAAAACUCUUUGAUAUGUCAAAAGAGUAUGUUUUGGUCACUAAAACUAUUUUUAUCGAUGAAGUUUGUUUGUCGCCAAAACGCUUGAUAUGCCAAAAGAGCAUUUUUUUGUUUUGGCGACAAAAAUAAAGUUCGGCGUUAGAAAUAGUUUUAGCGACGAAAUUUAUUGAUCGCUAAAAAUCUUUGAUGUGCCAAAAGAGCAUGUUUUAGCAAUGAAAAUAAACUGUCACUGAAAAUAGCUUUAGCGACGUAAUUUAUUUGUCACUAAAAAAUGUGAAAAUUUUAAAAAUCUUUGGCGGAAGGUUUUUCUCCAAUAUUGAAGACCUUAAGCGAUAAAAUUGAAUUUCAUCACGCAUGUGUACUUUUAGCGACGAAAAUUAGAUUUCAUCGUUAGAUUUGCACUAUAUUUUGUCGCUAAAAAAUGUCAAAAUUUAAAAAAUUUUACCAAGUUAUUUUCUGCCAAAAUUAAGUUUUAUCGAUGAAUUUUCAAUUUUGUUGCUAAAAACUCCUGUAGUCUAUUUAUGUAUCAUUUACUUCAUUUCAUUUAUUCUUUUCUUUCGUUCUCUGAUUCUCUCAUUCCCUUAUUUUUAUUCUUUAAUUCCCUCAUCUCUAAAUAUAUAUCAUUUUCUAAUUUAAUCUUUACUUCUUUUCUCUUUUAUUUUUGACAUGGUGUUAUUUUUUUUUACUUAUCUUAUUUAUUUUAACUUAUAUUAUUAUUGUAGUUGUGUUUAUAAGUUAGCUAAUUAUUGUGAGUUUAUUUGUAGGGAAUAUUGAAGAUCAAUUACAUCAAGAUGAAGAAAAUCAAGAAAUGUAUAUUCACUUGUAAGAAUUUUCUUUCAAAAAAUGGAUAUCAAAUUUUGUAAUUAUUUUUGUAUCGUGCAUCAAUAAUAAUAAUCUUUUUAAAUUAAUUAAUUCUAUUUUUAUCAUAAUGGUGUUAACUGUCAUUGUAAUUUAGUAUUAAAAAUGAUAAUAUUUUAACUAUAGCAAUAAUAAUUAAAUGAAAGAAAAAUAAUACCAUUUGGCGACGAGGAUUAUUAUUCGUCCUAGAUUGUACUUUUAGCGACAAUAUAUGAUUUGUUGCUAAAAGAAAUUUUGGUGACGAAGUAGGAUUUGUUGCUAGAAGUUCUUUUGGCAAUGAAACCCAACAUGAUUCAUUGUUGAAAGUAAUUUUGGCGAUGAAACAAGAUUUGUCACUAAAAAAACUUUUAGCGACACAGAAUUUUAGUGUUUUUUAACGACAAAAUUUUAUUAAUUAUUGUUAAUAUUAUUUUUAAUAAUAAUAAUAAUAACAACAACAAUAAUGAUAAUAUUGUUAAUAAUGAUAAAUUAAUUAUUUUUAUUAAUUAUUAAUACUAUGGGUAUUUUGGUAAAUUGAUUCUCAUUCCCAUUCUUUAUUCCCAUUUAUUUUUGCCAAGUAAACAUUGAAAUCUCAUUCCCAUUCCUCAUUCACAUUUUAAUCCAUUCUCAUUCCCAGCUCAUUCUCAUUCCUUAAAGUAAACGCACCAUAAAAGUCUAUUGAGACCAUUCUUAAUAUAAUCUAAAGUUUAACUCGAAAAUUCACUCUAAACAAGGAUGGAAAGGCAUACUCCUAACUUUAUAGGCCUUCGGUUUAUUCACUUGUUUGUUUAUUGAUUUUGUUAUUACAUAUUCCAUUUAUGAUUCCUCCACUCUUUUUUUGGUAACCAAACUGGUGUAUUUUAAAAAACAAUAUGAGCUAUCUUAUAUCACUUGCAAGUAGUAAUUUUUCAAUAGAUCCAACUAUUGAUAGUCAAUGGGGAAUAUUGGGUUUGGAGCUAUGAUACGAAACCAUAUUGUUUUGGUUAUGGCUGCAAAUGUAUCCUAUGGUGUUUAUUUUGGUUAUGUGGACAUUCAUGAGGAUGAAUCCUUUCGAACAAAUUGAUUUAUCUCCUUUGAUUUUAUAAUCAGAUUCAUUACGUGUUGUAAAUUUCAUUAAGGGCCAGCGAAGCUCAUAUGGAGCUAUUUCAUAUCAUUUAGAAGUUCAAUACUUGUUAGUAUUAAAAUAUGUUUUCAAGAUCCGUCAUAUAUCAAGGAACUAAAUAAAACAACAAAUACUUUUAGCUCAUUUUGCAUUUUACUAAUCCGAAUCUUAUGCUUUGAUGGAAUACUUUCCUAAUCAUUUGAAUUGUUAUUUUUGAGAUUGUAUUUCAUUACUGUUUUCAAGAAAUACAUUAGUACUAUUUGAUUAAAAAAAAAAGGAAGUUGGAAAUACAAUACCAUUUCGCAAGGACAUAAAAUGGCACACUAAUUAUUGUCACUCAUCUCUCAUACAAUGUGUUAAUCGGUAGCUCCAGAUGAUCAAUUUUUAAUUGGAAAGUAAAUAUAAUUCAAUUGAUUUGAGGCACGGCACUUUUUUUUAGCAACUAUACCCUUUGGUUGCAGUCAAAACUUUUAAAAUAAAUAUAAAUACGAUACUAAUAUAAAAAUGGAAAAUAAAAUAGCAUAUAAAUAUAAAUAAAAUACAAAAAUAAAUAUAAUUAAUGAAAUAAAACAUAUGUGUCAUGUAAAUUAUUUUUAAUAGUUAUCAGUGAAAGUGAUAGUUUUUAUUAGUACUUAAAUCCAUUAAUCUAAAGAUUAAUUUAAAACUUAUUCUAAUGUAGAAAUAAUAUAAAAAAUACUGCUGUACGGCCAAGGCGGAUGUACGGUACAGCAGUAUUGAAAAUAUUAAGUAAAAAGUAAAAAGUAAAAAGUUGAGAAAAAAAUUAAGAACCGAAAACUCGUAACAGUUGAAAAUACAUAAAUAACCAUACUAAUUUAAAUAUAAUUAAUCUAUGAAACAAAUGCAAAUAUUCUUGGACAUUUAUUAAUAUUAAAAUAAAUAAAUACACUAAAAUUGAUAAUAACUUGCAAAAUUUAUAUUAUAUAUUUCAUUUAUAAUAUUAAACAAUCUGAUAAAUUAAUAUUCAAUAACUUUUUAAUAAUACGUUUAAAUAUUAUAAAGGAAAUAAGUCUCCUACACUACUUAUGGUUUGUGAAAAUUGUCAAGUAGAUCCUUCAAUUUUUAAUAAGGGAUAUCAAAACUUACUUUUGACUAUAAUACCCUUGGGUUCUAUUAACUUAACAAAAUUGACUCAAAUAUUUUCUAAUAAAUAGAAAUGUAAUAUUAAAAUAAAUAUAAAAUAUUUAUUUUUAAAAAUAAUUUCAAUAUUUAAAAAAUUUAAUACCUUACAAUCUUAUAUAUUUCUGCUGUACCGUACAUCGUAGACAAAUUAAACUAUUUAAAUUAUAUUUGUAUUUAUUUAAAAAUUUUAAAGUCAAUUUUUUAUUAUUAUAAUUAAAGUGUAUAUUUACAGGAUUUGCAUGAUCAUACAUACAACUAAAAGAAUUUAUAUGAUUAUUUAAGAAAACUUUCGGGAGUAUAGGUGGCUUUUUCCCUUAGUUGAUUAACUAAUAUCUUACCCUAUUUUGAGUUGAUAAUAAUAGAGUGGGGUACCAUACCAAAAGUAAUAUGCUCUGUUGUGUAUUAUAUAAUUUAACCAUUAGAAUCUCUUGAGAUGAUAAUAGAAGCGUGUCGUGGCUUCCAACCAAGAUUGGAAAGAGAUCAUGUUUAUCUUUUAUAUAAACUUCACUAAUUAGCAAAAGAAAAGAUGGCAAAAAUACAUGAUACUAUUUUAAUUUUAAAAUAAGAAAGAUGCCUUUCGGUGAAACUGCCCAGCCGAAAGCAAUGCCAUGCUCAUUUCGUACAUCUUGAUCCAACGGGUUGCCUAAAAUUAGGACAAGAUCCUUUCCUUAUGUUUUCUUUUUUCCUUUUUUCAUGAUUUAAUUAUAAAUAAAGUGAAAAAACAAAAUUAGUUUGAUUAUCACCAUCAUUAUGAAACUCAAUUUUAAACACUCGUUAAGUAAGAAAAGGCAAGGAGAGCAAAAUAAUAAUAAUAAUAAUAAUAAUAAUAAUAAUAAUAAUAAUAAUAAUAAUAAUAAUAAUAAUAAUAAUAAUAAUAAUAAUAAUAAUAAUAAUAAUAAUAAUAAUAAUAAUAAUAAUAAUAAUAAUAAUAAUAAUAAUAAUAAUAAUAAUAAUAAUAAUAAUAAUAAUAAUAAUAAUAAUAAUAAUAAUAAUAAUAAUAAUAAUAAUAAUAAUAAUAAUAAUAAUAAUAAUAAUAAUAAUAAUAAUAAUAAUAAUAAUAAUAAUAAUAAUAAUAAUAAUAAUAAUAAUAAUAAUAAUAAUAAUAAUAAUAAUAAUAAUAAUAAUAAUAAUAAUAAUAAUAAUAAUAAUAAUAAUAAUAAUAAUAAUAAUAAUAAUAAUAAUAAUAAUAAUAAUAAUAAUAAUAAUAAUAAUAAUAAUAAUAAUAAUAAUAAUAAUAAUAAUAAUAAUAAUAAUAAUAAUAAUAAUAAUAAUAAUAAUAAUAAUAAUAAUAAUAAUAAUAAUAAUAAUAAUAAUAAUAAUAAUAAUAAUAAUAAUAAUAAUAAUAAUAAUAAUAAUAAUAAUAAUAAUAAUAAUAAUAAUAAUAAUAAUAAUAAUAAUAAUAAUAAUAAUAAUAAUAAUAAUAAUAAUAAUAAUAAUAAUAAUAAUAAUAAUAAUAAUAAUAAUAAUAAUAAUAAUAAUAAUAAUAAUAAUAAUAAUAAUAAUAAUAAUAAUAAUAAUAAUAAUAAUAAUAAUAAUAAUAAUAAUAAUAAUAAUAAUAAUAAUAAUAAUAAUAAUAAUAAUAAUAAUAAUAAUAAUAAUAAUAAUAAUAAUAAUAAUAAUAAUAAUAAUAAUAAUAAUAAUAAUAAUAAUAAUAAUAAUAAUAAUAAUAAUAAUAAUAAUAAUAAUAAUAAUAAUAAUAAUAAUAAUAAUAAUAAUAAUAAUAAUAAUAAUAAUAAUAAUAAUAAUAAUAAUAAUAAUAAUAAUAAUAAUAAUAAUAAUAAUAAUAAUAAUAAUAAUAAUAAUAAUAAUAAUAAUAAUAAUAAUAAUAAUAAUAAUAAUAAUAAUAAUAAUAAUAAUAAUAAUAAUAAUAAUAAUAAUAAUAAUAAUAAUAAUAAUAAUAAUAAUAAUAAUAAUAAUAAUAAUAAUAAUAAUAAUAAUAAUAAUAAUAAUAAUAAUAAUAAUAAUAAUAAUAAUAAUAAUAAUAAUAAUAAUAAUAAUAAUAAUAAUAAUAAUAAUAAUAAUAAUAAUAAUAAUAAUAAUAAUAAUAAUAAUAAUAAUAAUAAUAAUAAUAAUAAUAAUAAUAAUAAUAAUAAUAAUAAUAAUAAUAAUAAUAAUAAUAAUAAUAAUAAUAAUAAUAAUAAUAAUAAUAAUAAUAAUAAUAAUAAUAAUAAUAAUAAUAAUAAUAAUAAUAAUAAUAAUAAUAAUAAUAAUAAUAAUAAUAAUAAUAAUAAUAAUAAUAAUAAUAAUAAUAAUAAUAAUAAUAAUAAUAAUAAUAAUAAUAAUAAUAAUAAUAAUAAUAAUAAUAAUAAUAAUAAUAAUAAUAAUAAUAAUAAUAAUAAUAAUAAUAAUAAUAAUAAUAAUAAUAAUAAUAAUAAUAAUAAUAAUAAUAAUAAUAAUAAUAAUAAUAAUAAUAAUAAUAAUAAUAAUAAUAAUAAUAAUAAUAAUAAUAAUAAUAAUAAUAAUAAUAAUAAUAAUAAUAAUAAUAAUAAUAAUAAUAAUAAUAAUAAUAAUAAUAAUAAUAAUAAUAAUAAUAAUAAUAAUAAUAAUAAUAAUAAUAAUAAUAAUAAUAAUAAUAAUAAUAAUAAUAAUAAUAAUAAUAAUAAUAAUAAUAAUAAUAAUAAUAAUAAUAAUAAUAAUAAUAAUAAUAAUAAUAAUAAUAAUAAUAAUAAUAAUAAUAAUAAUAAUAAUAAUAAUAAUAAUAAUAAUAAUAAUAAUAAUAAUAAUAAUAAUAAUAAUAAUAAUAAUAAUAAUAAUAAUAAUAAUAAUAAUAAUAAUAAUAAUAAUAAUAAUAAUAAUAAUAAUAAUAAUAAUAAUAAUAAUAAUAAUAAUAAUAAUAAUAAUAAUAAUAAUAAUAAUAAUAAUAAUAAUAAUAAUAAUAAUAAUAAUAAUAAUAAUAAUAAUAAUAAUAAUAAUAAUAAUAAUAAUAAUAAUAAUAAUAAUAAUAAUAAUAAUAAUAAUAAUAAUAAUAAUAAUAAUAAUAAUAAUAAUAAUAAUAAUAAUAAUAAUAAUAAUAAUAAUAAUAAUAAUAAUAAUAAUAAUAAUAAUAAUAAUAAUAAUAAUAAUAAUAAUAAUAAUAAUAAUAAUAAUAAUAAUAAUAAUAAUAAUAAUAAUAAUAAUAAUAAUAAUAAUAAUAAUAAUAAUAAUAAUAAUAAUAAUAAUAAUAAUAAUAAUAAUAAUAAUAAUAAUAAUAAUAAUAAUAAUAAUAAUAAUAAUAAUAAUAAUAAUAAUAAUAAUAAUAAUAAUAAUAAUAAUAAUAAUAAUAAUAAUAAUAAUAAUAAUAAUAAUAAUAAUAAUAAUAAUAAUAAUAAUAAUAAUAAUAAUAAUAAUAAUAAUAAUAAUAAUAAUAAUAAUAAUAAUAAUAAUAAUAAUAAUAAUAAUAAUAAUAAUAAUAAUAAUAAUAAUAAUAAUAAUAAUAAUAAUAAUAAUAAUAAUAAUAAUAAUAAUAAUAAUAAUAAUAAUAAUAAUAAUAAUAAUAAUAAUAAUAAUAAUAAUAAUAAUAAUAAUAAUAAUAAUAAUAAUAAUAAUAAUAAUAAUAAUAAUAAUAAUAAUAAUAAUAAUAAUAAUAAUAAUAAUAAUAAUAAUAAUAAUAAUAAUAAUAAUAAUAAUAAUAAUAAUAAUAAUAAUAAUAAUAAUAAUAAUAAUAAUAAUAAUAAUAAUAAUAAUAAUAAUAAUAAUAAUAAUAAUAAUAAUAAUAAUAAUAAUAAUAAUAAUAAUAAUAAUAAUAAUAAUAAUAAUAAUAAUAAUAAUAAUAAUAAUAAUAAUAAUAAUAAUAAUAAUAAUAAUAAUAAUAAUAAUAAUAAUAAUAAUAAUAAUAAUAAUAAUAAUAAUAAUAAUAAUAAUAAUAAUAAUAAUAAUAAUAAUAAUAAUAAUAAUAAUAAUAAUAAUAAUAAUAAUAAUAAUAAUAAUAAUAAUAAUAAUAAUAAUAAUAAUAAUAAUAAUAAUAAUAAUAAUAAUAAUAAUAAUAAUAAUAAUAAUAAUAAUAAUAAUAAUAAUAAUAAUAAUAAUAAUAAUAAUAAUAAUAAUAAUAAUAAUAAUAAUAAUAAUAAUAAUAAUAAUAAUAAUAAUAAUAAUAAUAAUAAUAAUAAUAAUAAUAAUAAUAAUAAUAAUAAUAAUAAUAAUAAUAAUAAUAAUAAUAAUAAUAAUAAUAAUAAUAAUAAUAAUAAUAAUAAUAAUAAUAAUAAUAAUAAUAAUAAUAAUAAUAAUAAUAAUAAUAAUAAUAAUAAUAAUAAUAAUAAUAAUAAUAAUAAUAAUAAUAAUAAUAAUAAUAAUAAUAAUAAUAAUAAUAAUAAUAAUAAUAAUAAUAAUAAUAAUAAUAAUAAUAAUAAUAAUAAUAAUAAUAAUAAUAAUAAUAAUAAUAAUAAUAAUAAUAAUAAUAAUAAUAAUAAUAAUAAUAAUAAUAAUAAUAAUAAUAAUAAUAAUAAUAAUAAUAAUAAUAAUAAUAAUAAUAAUAAUAAUAAUAAUAAUAAUAAUAAUAAUAAUAAUAAUAAUAAUAAUAAUAAUAAUAAUAAUAAUAAUAAUAAUAAUAAUAAUAAUAAUAAUAAUAAUAAUAAUAAUAAUAAUAAUAAUAAUAAUAAUAAUAAUAAUAAUAAUAAUAAUAAUAAUAAUAAUAAUAAUAAUAAUAAUAAUAAUAAUAAUAAUAAUAAUAAUAAUAAUAAUAAUAAUAAUAAUAAUAAUAAUAAUAAUAAUAAUAAUAAUAAUAAUAAUAAUAAUAAUAAUAAUAAUAAUAAUAAUAAUAAUAAUAAUAAUAAUAAUAAUAAUAAUAAUAAUAAUAAUCAUAAUAAAAAUAAAAUAAAAAUAAGGAGAGGAUUCUCCUAAAAUUAAUACGUUAAGUAAGCUAGUGCCAAAAACUAGCAAUACUGAAUAAAAAUUCAACCAACCACAAUUUAGAUAAUAGCCUAGUGUUACCCUCCCCAUGAACAAAGAUUGAGGGGUGGGUACCAAGACCCUUAAUCUCUUUCCGUAAUUAGAUAGGAGUAAUUUUCUAUCGGGAUAUUAGUGGAAGUAUAAAUUUGAAUUGUGUUAAGUAUAGAUUUUCUUCCUAACUACUAGUGGAGGUAUAAAUCCAAAUUCUAAUAGAAAAAAAAUAGGUUAUUCCCAACAGAUCAGGAGGAAUUAUAAAUCUGGAUUCUAUUAUAAUAGAAAAAAAAAAAAAGGUUAUUCCCAACUGAUUAGGUAGAAGGAUAUUUCCUCAAAUGCGAAUAAAAAAUUGGAUUGCGCUAUACAAAACUUAGGGAUGGCAAUGGGGCAGAUAUGGGUUGGAUCUACUCUGCUCCAGAUCUAAAUCCAUAAUAAAAAUCAAGAUCCGUAUCUGCUCUAGAUCCGUUAUAAAUCCAUAUUUUUCGCUCCAUAUCCAGAUCCAAAAAAGAAAUAAAUAUCUAUAUCUGCUCCAAAUCUGAAAAAAAAAUUAAAAUCCAAAUCUGCUCUAGAUCCGUCAUGAAUUCUAAAAUUCAGUAAUAAAAAAGUAAUAAUUUUUUAGAUUGAAAAUUGAAGGCUAAAAUGUAUUGAUAACAAAUAAAUUAUAUAAUUUUUCUCAAAAAUAUAAUAAAUAUUGUAACUUAUACUUUUACACCAAAACAACAAAUAAGAAAGAUAAUAAAAUAUCAUUCAAAAGUAAUUGCAGGAGUAAGAUCAAUCUAAUAUUCUAUUGUCUCAUUCAUCAUUAUAAUAUCCAUGAUACACCUACCCUCAAAUUCAUCAUUCUAAUAUCCACGAUACAUCUACCAUCAUUCCUACAACAUUAGAUAAUGACAUAUAAAUUAAAUAUGAUUUAUAUUCAGUCCUUUAUUAUUUUUAUUAUGACCAUAUUUGACUAAAUAUAUGAAUAACUAUAUUCCUUAAAAAUUAUUUGGCCAAUAUGAUAAAAUAAAUUACCAGGUUAUAUUACUUGGAUUGCAAUUUGAAUAUUGCAUGUACAUGCUUUGAGGCUGGCUGACCUUUAAAUUUACAAAACUAACCUUUAAGUUUUAAGAGUUUAAAUACAUGGUAAAUACUACUAAUAUGCUAUGAAUAAAAUUUAUUAUCAUUAUCAUUCCACAAUUAUUAAGAAACUUUUAAAAUAAAAUAAAAUUAAAAGAUGAGUGGAUAUGGAUAUGGAUAUGGAUUUAGAUAUUAAGAUAGAUCCAGAUCUGCUCCAGAUCCGUCUUAGAUCCGCACAUCGAUAUCCAAAUCCGAUCCAAAUCCAUUUUAAAUCGAUCCAAAUCCGAUCCGAUUGGAUUUGGAUCACGUGGAUCUUGGAUCAAAUCCAAUCCAUUGCCAUCCCUGACAAAACUAAAUUGGGCUAGUUCCAAUAAAUUUCAGAUUGUAUAUAUAUCAAUGAACAUUCAAUUGUAAAUAUAUAUGUGUUAAACGAAUAAAAAUAAAACUAAUUGGAUCUAUAUCAUUUUUCACAUUAUUGACCGUACUAAAUAGUGUUUUUCUAGUGAGGAUUCCUACACUUUAUUGGUAAACAGAGCUCUUCUAAUGAAGGUUUUCUACACUUUAUUGAUAAAUAGUGUUUUUCUAACGAGUGUUCCCGCACUUAAUUUAAGUAUGGGAACAUGUUUCCAGAGUUGUAAAACUAAUUUUCAAUAUCGUGAAAAUCAUUCCCACACUUUAAUAAAGUGCAGAAGCCCUUGUUGAAGAUUUUCUAACAGGUAAAAUAUCCUAUGUUAUUAUAAUACAAAACAGACAUUUAUGAUCUCUUGUUGCAUAUUAGAAUCCAAUACAUUCGGGAAAAUGAUAUUUACACUCUUAGGUUUGGGAAAAUGAUUAGCAAGACCCUCAAGUUUUCUAUAAGAGAUAUUAAGACCCCCUUUUGAUAAUAAUAGCUUUUCACUCUAUUAACUAAAAAAAUUGACUCUAAUGCUAUGUUUACUUACUGGAGUGGGAGUGUGGAUUCUUCCCACUCCACUGUUUACUUAUACAUUUUAAGGGAAGAGUGGGAAUCACACUAUGUGGCCUACUCAUUUUUUGAGUAGAGAGUGGGAUUCCCACUCCCAUGGGGGAGGUAGGAGUGGAAAUAAAUCCACUCCCACCUCUUCCUAUUUUACCUUUAUUUUAUUAAAUUUAAUAUAAUUGUAUUUAAUAAAAUAAAAUAAAUAAUAUCAUAUUUAUUUAAAUAAUAUUAUUAUGUUAUUUUAUAAAUUACGUUUAUUAAAAAUAAUAAUAUCAAACUUAUUUAAAUAUAAUAUUAUAUUAUUUAGUUAAAAACAUUAAUUUACAUUGAUUCUACGUUAAAAUUACUUAUGAAUACNNNNNNNNNNNNNNNNNNNNNNNNNNNNNNNNNNNNNNNNNNNNNNNNNNNNNNNNNNNNNNNNNNNNNNNNNNNNNNNNNNNNNNNNNNNNNNNNNNNNNNNNNNNNNNNNNNNNNNNNNNNNNNNNNNNNNNNNNNNNNNNNNNNNNNNNNNNNNNNNNNNNNNNNNNNNNNNNNNNNACAGCAGUAUGAUUUUCAUAAUUAAUAAUAUUAUUAAUUAUUAUUAAUUUACAAAAUAUAAUAAAAUAAAUAUUUUAUUUUCAAGUAUAUUUUUUAUUAAUUUUGUAAUCAUAAGCUAUGAUUCUGUAAAUAAAGGUAAAAUUGUAAUUUAAAAAUAUUUACUCUCAAUCCAAGACAAAGUAAACACAUAAAUUGAAUUAUAAUUAUAAUUCCAUACUCCUAUUCUAGUGUAAAUAAACAACAUACUCUCACUCCCAUUCUACACUCUCAAUAUCAGGACUCUCAUUCCUCAGGAUUCUCACUCCAAUAUAAAAUGUAAACACUACAUAAUAAUUUAUAAUAUAUAGAAAUAAGUAUUAAAACAAAUGUAAUAAUAUAAAUAUUUUAAAAUAAUUUCAAUGUUCAAAAAAUAUUUUUAAUAUUUUCAAAAAAUAUUUUUAAUAUUUUACAAUCUAUGAUACCUAUCUGCUGUACGGCCAAGGCGGAUNNNNNNNNNNNNNNNNNNNNNNNNNNNNNNNNNNNNNNNNNNNNNNNNNNNNNNNNNNNNNNNNNNNNNNNNNNNNNNNNNNNNNNNNNNNNNNNNNNNNNNNNNNNNNNNNNNNNNNNNNNNCAGAUUAUUUACUUUAUCUAAAUAAAUAUAAUAAUUUAAAUUUUCAAAAGAAUUUAAAUUUAAAAAUAUUUUAAUAUUAUUAGUCUAGAGAAAUGAAAUUUUUUAUAUUAUAUUGCAUUUAUUAAAAAUAAACUCAAUUUCUUUUAUUUAUGUAUUUAAAGGUUAUUAUAAUUAAAAAAAAGCAUUUAAUAUUUCUUUUUAAAAACUUAAGAGUUUAAAUGACUAUUUUUGUAAAUUUUCGAAUGUAGUUAAACUUUUUCGAAUAGAAUUAUAAUCAUUAUAAAUUUACUGGAACAGAUGUGAAGAGUGUAGAUUCUUCUCACUCUAAUGUUGACUAAUGUGUUUUAAAGGAGGGAUGAGAAUCUCAUUCCGUGAGGCCCACCUAUUUUUGGAGUAGGGAAUGAGAAUCCACUCUUCUCGUUCCCACCUCUUCUUUUUUUACCCAUAUUUUAUUAAAUUUAAUAAACUAAAAUAAAUAAUAUUAUUGAAAUAACAUUUAUUAAUAAUCAUAAUAUUAAACUUAUUUAAAUAUAAUAUUAUUAUAUUUAGUUAAAAAUAAUAAUAUAAUAAAAAUAAUAAUUGAUUUCGUUGGAAAUCAAUAUUAAUGCUUUGAUUAACAAUUAAUGAUCGAGACGGCUUUAUCCAAAUUUUAGUUGUCAAAUUUUAGAUAUUUGAAGUACGUGGCGUUGUUCCCCAGAUCGAUGCAGAACUUAAUCUGCCUUUGGAUCUAGAUAUGACUUAGGACAGAUCAAUAAUCCGCGCGUUCUGUUUUCCAGCCAAUAUACUCAAAUAGUUUUGCCAGCUUUAAAUAUUAGGUGUUUUAGGCAAGCCUAGCAACAAACAUACAUCUAAAGGCUGGGUGCAUACACAGUACUAGAUCCGGUUCCCGGAAAUAGUGCUCUGAAGGAAUGGAGGGAGAAAAGAAAGCAUACAACUGAGGAUUGAGAUCUGGUCUCGUUGCCUCAGAGGAACGUAACAGUUGUAAGACAGAUCUGAUACAAAUCAGUCUGUAAACAUGCUUUAAAAUUUAAAUUGCUGAAAUUUAAAAUACUGUAAAGUAAAUUGCGGAAAUUAAAUGCUUUAAAGGAAAUUACAGAAAUUGAAACAUACAGAACUUUAAAAUUACAAGCUUUGAAUGAAAAGGAAAGAUUACAAAUCUUACAUGUGCUUUUUCUGAUUACUUGCUUUGAAAAGAAAAGAAAAUGGGGAAAUUAAUCUGAAGACAAGGAACUAUUCUGAAGACAAAAAAAUUUCCUUAAGAGCUUCGGAUUUCAGAUUCCCAGAGAGAGAGAGAGAGAGAGAAUGAAAACUAGAGAGAGAGAGGAGAGAACUAGAAUUGAAAAAUCUCUAAGGAGUCUAAGUCUUCCUCUUGAUUUAUACAAGGUCUUUAAAAAUUUUAAACUGUAGACUGUAGCGGAGCUGUAGCAUACAGUAAUCUUUGGAACUCUUCACUGUAGCAGGAGCUGAGCUUCUUGAAACAGUAUCCUUUGGAACAUACAGUGUUUUUUAAUUUUACAAACUUUAAAUAAAUUCGGGUGAAGAGACAUGUGCGCUCUCACUUGUGUCCAGGGGACCACCCGAGGGUACAAAAGUACGUACAAAAUACAAAAUGGGUUUUUACCCUUUUUUUUUUAAGUAAAUAAACAAUAAUUAUUUACAGUGCUUUAUAGGAGAGAAAAUUCUGAAACAGUCGUCUUCAUUUUCAUCUCCAAAGGAAAUGAAUGGCUCUUGAUCUUCAUCUUCAGAGAAGUCUGCCACUGAUGACUUUGACCGAGAGGUGAGGAGUUGUUCCAUAACUUUGAAAUAUUCUUCUUCAGUUUUGGCGCUUGCCAAAAGAGACUGGGCUUUGGAUUUUUGGGUUAGGAAGGUGUGUUGGGCUUUGGAGCCUGUUAAGGAUGGCUGAAGAAAUCCUUUGGAAGAUAGCCAAUUUCUGAUGAGGGUAUCGGUUAAUUUGGUCUUUUCAUCAAAUUUUGACCACCAUUUUACUUUGAAUGUCCUUUGUAAGAUAAGCUGGGCAUCUUGGGUAUGAAGUCUGAGAUUCCACAUCCAAACCCAUGGUAGGAAGAAAUUUGUACAGAAACAGAGAAAGGGGGGAAACCUUUUCUCGGAUUCAGAAGGGAUGUAGUUGGUAAACGUGUUUGAAAGUUUAGAGGGAAGGUUUUAAAAUUGUGGAAUAGGUCUCCCCACUGGUUUGGGCUCAAGACUUUUAAGAUAGUAGCCGUGGAAUAGGCUGGCUCUGAAUGGGUUUCACUGAGAAAGAAAUGUUUGAAUUUAACUGACUCAGUAACUUCUAAAAUACUUUGAUAAUAAGACUGGGGUUUUGUUAAAUCCCAUGGUUUAAAAAACCAGCCUUUGGGAAAAAACUUUGAAAUUGCUUGAAAAUGAUCAGUAUGGUAAAAUCCAUCUUUCAUAGAUAAAAUGUUUUGAAAAUGGGUUUUAUCAAACCAAUCGGAAGUUUUCUUUGAAGGAGUUGGCUGAGAAAGCACAAUUUGAGAAGAUGAGCUUUCACCAGAGACAACUAAACUUUGAGAAGAGGGCUUUAAAACUUCUUUGGAAAUAGGUUUUUCUUUUUCAAUUUCCUGUUUAGGAGAAGCUUGGCUUUGAGAAAAGCUUUGUAAUGCGAGCAUAAGCUCAGGGGAUUUUGUAAUGGAACUCAUCCAUUGCUUUACUUGGUCAUCAGAGGAGAUGGAUUUAUAUUGGGCUUUAUGUUCUUCAACCAUUUCUAUCCAGGACUUGAUAGGCAUGGCAGAAGAAAGCAAUUUUUCUAUAGAAGGAGUUGGUUGAGGUUCUUUAGAGGUGGCUUGGGACUCAGUGUCCUUAAGAACAGCUUUACCUUUAUCCUUCCUCUUUGGCGGCAUUAUCUGUUUUGAAGAAAUUCUCUGGUUAGAAAAUCAGGAACAAAAUUUUUAUCUCCUUUAAUAAAUUCAAUAUCAAAAUCAAAAACACUUAAAAUGGCUUGCCAUCUUGCAAAAAUUUGUUUUGAAGCAAUAUUUUGAACAUCAUUUUCUAAAACAUGUUUUGCAGCCUUGCAAUCAAUUCUAAGUAAAAAUUUUUGAUUUAAUAAAUCACUUUGGAAUUUAGAUAUGCAUAAAAUAAUAGAAAGAAUUUCUUUUUUGAUAGUAGAAUAAUUUUUCUGGCAAUCAUUCCAAUGUGCAGAAACAUAUUGUACUAUCUGUUCUUUAUCAUUUUCUUUUUGUUUUAAUAUGCCUCCAUAACCUAAAUUAGAUGCAUAUGUUUCAACUAUUUUAAGUAAUGCAGGAUUUGCUAAGAAUAAACAAGGAAUAUUCUUUACAGAAGCUUUUAUCAAUUGAACAGCUUUAGUGUGUUCAUCUGUCCAGGCAAGAGGAUUCUUUUUUAAUCUGUCAUGCAGAGAUUUAGACAUCCGGUUAAUAUUAGGAUAGAAAUCAAGAACAUAAUUUAAACUUCCUAAAAAUCUUUGUAAUUGAGUUUUAUCAAAGAUUUUAUCAGGAAAUUUAUCUGCAAACAAAAGUGAUCGCUCAAUAGGUGUGAUAGUUCCUUUAGUAAUGUAGUGACCAAGGAAUCUGACUUUUGUUUGAAAUAAUGAAAUCUUUGAACUAGAAAGGGCUAGACCAGCCUUUCUGGUGGCAAAAUAAAAGGUCUUUAAAUGUUUGAAAUGUUGAUCAAUAGUUUGAGAAAAGAUCAACACGUCGUCUAUGUAGACAAUGCAAAACUCAAAAUAAGGGUUAUAAAUGUCGUUCAUAAUUCUUUGAAAUUCUGAGGGUGCAUUUUUUAAACCGAUUGGCAUUACAGUCCAUUCAUAUUGUCCAAAAGGAACAGUAAAGCAGUUUUAUAACGGUCAUUUGGGUGGAUUUGGAUUUGCCAAAAACCAGAUUUCAUAUCAAAUUUUGAAAAAAUAUAAGUUGAACACAAUCUUUGAAGUAAAUCUUUUUUAUUAGGUAUAUGAUACCUAAUCCACUUUAAUGCUUUGUUUAAGGGUUUAUAGUUUAUUACAAGUCUUAGUGUUCCUCUUUCAAUUUCAGAGUUUUUAUUGACAUGAAAAGCGGCACAAGACCAUGGGGAUCUGGAUUUUACAAUGAGUCCUUUGGUCUCUAAAUCUUUUAUUUCAAUUUUAUAGUGUUGUUCCAACUCCAUAUUCAUUUGGAUUGGACGGGCUUUAGUUGGUAUUUGUUUUUCAUCAAAAGAAUUGUCAUAGGGCAAAUCUACCAAGUGUUGUUUUCUUUCCCAAAAAGCAGAUGGUAAAUCAGCACAUAUUUCUUUUUCAAUAAGAUUCUUAAAAUCAGAGAUCUUUCUUUGUACAAAACUAUUUUGUAAUUGACUUUCAAUUCUUUGUAGAUUUAAAUUCUUUUUUAAACAAAAUAAGUCAUUUUGUUUAGAUUUAAGGAUGGCGUUGAUUUGGUUCUGGUAUAUAGAACAAGCUUUAACAAUAUUUAGAUUUCUUGUUUUUGGUUUCUCUAUAAAAGGGAAAACAAGUUUUUUGGAUUUUGCUUCAAAAGAUAUACCAUCGUAAUCUACAGUAUAAGGGGUAAUUAAAUUUAUAAAUGGGGUUCCUAAAAUGACAGUAUGAUGUAUGUCAUUUGUAAGAAGAAAUGAAGUUUUAAAUUCAAAAACAUUGUUUUGGAUUGAGGCUUCAACUUUAGAAUUGACUUUAAGUUUUGAAUUGUUGGCGGCAGAAAGCCUUUCUUUUGUCUUUUCAUGAAAUCUUUUGGGGACAAUGUCUUCUCUUAUACAAUUUAAAUCGGCACCAGGGCAAUGGCGUCAAUAGCAAAAUCUUUGGAAAAAAUCAAAGUGAUUUUAAUUAAAUAUUUUCUGGUGGUGAUUUGUUUUAGGACAAACAGAAAAUCAUUGGGUACAGAUUCAAUGUUGUCAAUUUUUUGUUCAUUUUCACUUUCAGAUUCAACUUCCUUUUCUGAGUUUUCUUCUAAUUGCUUUUGUAUGAGAAGUUGAAUAGUUUCAGAAUCUUUCUUUUGUUUUUCUUUUAAUUCUUUAAUUUCAAGUUUGAUAUCUUUGAUUUCUUUCUGAAGGUCUUGGAUAUUAGGAAUUGACUUUUUUUAUUUCUUUUUGUCCAGAAUAUCAGUGAGAUCGUAAGAAUUCUUUUUAACAAUUGGAACUUUAGAAGUUUCUGCUUUGUUAGAAUCUAGAGUCUUUAAAAGUUUAUCAAGAUAUUCUUUUUGAAGAUUUGGAUCAUAAAUAUGUUUAACAAGUUCAAGAAAAAUUUCUUGGUCUUUAGUCAAAAUAUUGAUUUUCUUUAAAUAAGAAUCUGAUUCAGAAUCACUACUGCUAGAUGCAGAGUCAUCUGAGUCAAUUAGCUCAUCAACUUGAAGAGGGUCACUAUCUCCCGACAUGGAAGACUCAGAGUCAGAAGACUCUAUGCGCAGAAAGGUGAUUUUGGAGAGAGUUUCCUCAUCUAGGUCAAGCUCGUGGAGCUUUCUGCUCAUUCUACAAUACUUUGCAGUAUGACCUUUUAUACCACAUUUGUGACAAAUGGCUUCUUUGUAGUUAAAAGGGGUUUUGAAAGGAGUUUUUGGUUUGGCUCUAAACUCUUUCUUUUUAGAGAAACUAGGUUUCUUAUAAGGCCUCGAAGGUUUCUUAUAAGGAAGUUCUCUAAAGUCUUGGAAGGGUUUUCUACGGAAUUUGGAUUUGUAAUGUUUCUUGUAAGGUUUUGUAGAACACUUACCAUUACAAUCUUUAGAGGUAGAAGUCUUAAAGGGGUCAUAAUUGAAUUGUUUACAGAAACUACCUAAUUCUUGCUUAGAUUUCCUAAGCUCCCAUUUAAGUCGUUUCUGUAAUUUCAAAUCUUGACAGAUCUUUAAGCCUUCUUUAUUGACAAAACUGACAAGUUCACCAUAGGUGAGCUCAUCAUAAGGAAUACGGUUAUCAUAAAGGGCUUUGAUGGAAUUCCUAACCUUCUCUCCUAAUAGGGUAGGUAAACCUGCAAGGAAUUUCUCCUUCCAAGUUAUAUGGUUAGCGUCAUCCCUAAGGAAGAGUCUGGUGAAGAAGGUGGUUUUAUAACUUUGGAAUUCACUAAGUUUUCUACACCUCAAGUUGUGUAGUAACUCGGCGUUUUUAUCUCUAAGGUGAGAAGGGUCACCUAUGAAAUGGAGGGAUAUAGUCAAAAUCAGGGUGGCUACUGCAUCCUGAAUUGGAUUAUUGAACUCAUCAAGAAUGGGGGCACCAUUUUCGUCUGUUUGUAUGGAGUUUAGAAUAUCUAAUUGCUGUAAUUUGGUGAGAAGAUGAUCCCACCAUCCUUUUAGUUGACCAGUAAAACCCGCAAUAAGGAUUUCUGCAAUGGCUUUGUCAGAAGUUCCUGAUUGGGUUUUAUAGGCAUUGGCUGCCAUGGUCAUUUGCUGCAAUACACCUAGAAUGUUGUACUCAGACAUUCCAUCUAUAUUCCACUCAUAGACAGAGGAUGCAUUAUAUCUGGACUGAUUUAAUGCACUUGGUCUGUUGUCUAUGGUCAAAUCAGGUGGAGAUUUGGCUAUAGGUAGGGCUAAAUCCCAAUGGAUUUUAUUGGUUUUAGGAACAGGUUCUUCUUUAAAAGCUUCUAGAUCAGAAAAGGUUACAGACGCCUGGUCUUGUUCUAAUACUCCAAUCUUGCUAGAUUGGGGAGUAUCAGGGGCUAUUUGAACUUUGCUAGAUGAGGAAGAAACAGCUUCUAUCCUAUCUAGUUGUUCUCUAAUGGCUUUAGCAAAAUCUGAUUCUGAUAAAAAGCUUAAAAAACUUAUUUUCAAACCUUUUCAGAUUUCGAGAACUAGCCAAAAGCUUGUCCAAAUAGGAUCGAAGGAUGGAAGUGCUUUCGUUGGAAAUCAAUAUUAAUGCUUUGAUUAACAAUUAAUAACCGAGACGGCUUUAUCCAAAUUUUAGUUGUCAAAUUUUAGAUAUUUGAAGUACGUGGCGUUGUUCCCCAAAACGAUGCAGAACUUAAUCUGCCUUUGGAUCCAGAUCUGACUUAGGACAGAUCAAUAAUCCGCGCGUUCUGUUUUCCAGCCAAUAUACUCAAAUAGUUUUGCCAGCUUUAAAUAUUAGGUGUUUUAGGCAAGCCUAGCAACAAACAUACAUCUAAAGGCUGGGUGCAUACACAGUACUAGAUCCGGUUCCCGGAAAUAGUGCUCUGAAGGAAUGGAGGGAGAAAAGAAAGCAUACAACUGAGGAUUGAGAUCUGGUCUCGUUGCCUCAGGGGAACGUAACAUUUGUAAGACAGAUCUGAUACAAAUCAGUCUGUAAACAUGCUUUAAAAUUUAAAUUGCUGAAAUUUAAAAUACUGUAAAGUAAAUUGCGGAAAUUAAAUAUAAUAAUAUAAUAAUAUUAUAAUUAUUUAAUAUUAUAAGAAAAUAUUAAUUUUGUACUAUAUUACUAAUAAUAACGUCUCAUUUGUGUUUCUCUUAUCAAUAAUUUUUAAUUUACAUAAUUAAAAUUAAUAAAAAAAUAUGAAGGAAAUUAACAAUUAUUAUUAAUUUUCAAAUCUAAUAAAAUAAAUAUUUUAUUUUCAAAUGUAUUUUUAUUAAUUUGGUAAAUUAAAACUAUAAUUCUUUAAAUAAGGGUAUAGUUAACCAUUUACUCCUAAUUCAAGAUAAGUAAACACAUAAAUUGUAUUUUGAUUCUGGUUCCACGCUUUCAUUCUAGUGUAAGUAAACAAUUUACUCUCACUCUCACUCCACACUCUCAAUCCUAGAAUUUCACUACUCAGUAUUCUUACUCUAAUUCAAAAUGUAAAUGUUACCUUAAUAAAUUACUUAAUGUCAAGGUCAGUGGCUAUGGAAUUGUUAUCCAAACUAUGAUGAAUAGAAACAACUAAUAUUUCACAAUUUCAAUUAUGUUACUUUGAACUAACUCGGAUAGAUAGUGACAUGUUCAUAAUUUUCUUCAAUUCAAUAAAAAAAAAGUCUCAAUAAUUAUUCUAUAACAUUUGCCAUGAUGGGUUUCUUGGAUUAAUUGGUCAAAAGGCCUAGAUAUGUGUCUAUGAACUCGCCAUAUAUCAUUAUUAGAUACAUUAUUGCCGCCUAUUCCAAGUUGAAAUAUGACGUUUUAGCUGUAAGUUUUGACAAUUGAACUCCACUUGGUCGUUGUACACUUUCUUUCUAUUAAUAUCAAUGGAAUUGUUAGUCUAGUCUAUUUGAAUUUAAAAUGAUGCUGAGAAUAAUAAAGAGAACAAUAUUAUAAUUUGGAUUAAGAUAUUUUCCUAAUUUGAAUGUUCUUAACUUCUAAAGAUCUUGCAUUAUUUAUAUUUAAAUAUUAGUGUAUUAUCAGGAUUUAAUUAUUUUUAUUUUUUAAUUUAUUAAUCAUUGAUCACUUGGGUAGAUUUUACCCAAGAGAAGUUUUUGAAUUUUUAAAGAUUUUGUACUAAAUACUUUAGUAUUAGAUAAUAAUUAAUAUUUAGCCACUUCUAUUUUUUAAUUCAUUAAGCAUUGAUCACUUAAGUAGAUUUUAUUCAACAGAAAUUUAAAUAUAAGAGGUUCCUGAUUUUGCAGGGACAGAAAAUGGCACUCUAAUUAUUCUUACACUCAUCUGACGAGCAACGAGGUUAUUGUUUGCUUUAAAUGACCAAUUUUUAAUGGGAAUGUAACUAGAAUUCAAUUGGUUUGAGGCGUACUAAUUUUAUUUUUUUUAAGCUUUGCCUAAAGAAAAUCAAACCUUUCUCAAUCACGUGAGAAGUUCAAACUAGAUAUCUUGAUCUCUUUUGCAUCACUCGAGAUUUUACUAGUUGAAUGAUUCAUAUAGAGCACUAUUUUGAGUUGAUAAUGGAGGUCAAGGAUACCUUACUCCAACCAAUUAGAUCUGUUGUGUAUUAAUAGAAGUGCGUCGUCACUUUUGACCAAGAUUAGAAAGAGAUCUUGUUUAUCUUUUGCAUAGUAUUUAUUCAUUAGCAAAAGAGAAAGAUAGCAAAUGGCCCUAAGUUCUUGAAUAAUGUCAAAACGUAAUGCUAUUUUAGAAUAGAAAAGAUGCCAUUGGGUCAAACUGGCCGACCGAAAGCAAUGCGGUGCUCAUUAAUACAUUUUGAUCAGAAUUAAGCAAUCUUAUCCGAAUACACUUCAAAUGAAUUAAAAUGCCAAAAACUAAUAAUAUUUAAUAAAACAAGUGACCGGUCCCUCUAUUAACGAAGUGGUUGGGGGAUGGGUUUGAGUCUUUGCAGCAAAGACUUUUAUUUCCCUCCCAUUGGGAUAGAUUUUUUUCUCCCUAAUUAAUGUGGGUGGGUAGUCAGUAGAUAUGUCCCUUCAUAAUUAUGGAUUCCCAAUAAGAAUAUGGGUUUAUAAAUAUGGAUUUCAUGUCAUUGAUCAUGUACGUUACUGAUAUUUAUCUCCUCUAUUUGUCUUGAAUGUGCAUGCAUAUUAUAUUAAGCUCAACCACUCAGGCUUAGAAGGAAGCAGCGGCGAUGGCCUUUUUUGCAUCCCAAACAAGUGCUGUAGCUGCGAUUUUAACCCUUAUAAUCUUUCUAUACACUUUGUUGUUGUUUGUUUCAAGAAAUUACGCAAGCAAUAAGAAGAAGAGAGGACCUCCAGAAGCUGGUGGAGCAUGGCCUGUGAUUGGGCAUCUACACCUCUUGGGAAGGUUCCCCCUUCACAGAGUGUUGGGAGACAUGGCUGACAAGUACGGACCAAUCUUCACAAUCAGGAUGGGCGUACAUCGCGCUUUGGUGGUGAGCAAUUGGGAGAUGGCUAAAGAGUGUCUCACUACACAUGACAGAGUCUUUGCCAGCCGUCCAAAAGCUCUUGUCGCAGAGAUAUUAGGCUUCAACUUUUCCAUGUUUGGUUUCAGCCCAUAUGGUCCCCAUUGGCGCCAGAUACGCAAGAUAGCCACACUUGAGCUUCUCUCAAACCAUCGGCUUGAGAAGCUCAAGCAUGUUCGAGAAGGCGAGGUAAAGACUUGUUUGAAGGAGUUAUAUGAGUUUUGGGAACGUACGAACAAUUACAAAAGUUCGGAUCAUAAUAACAACAAGAAGGUAUUGGUGGAGAUGAACAAAUGGUUUGAGGAUGUAACCCUUAAUACGAUCUUAAGGGUAACGGUUGGACAAAGAUGCAAUUCAUCAUCAUCACAAGAGGAUACCGAUCAUGAAGGAGCAUGGAAAGAGGAAUUGACCAAAUUUUUUGCAUUUAGUGGUAAGUUCGUGGUGUCAGAUUCGCUGCCGUUUUUGAGAUGGUUUGAUAUAGGGGGAGAUGAGAGGGCAAUGAAGAAGAACGCUAGGGAGUUAGAUGUUUUAGCUCAAGGAUGGUUGGAUGAGCACAAGAGGAAAAGAGAAUCUGGCCAGAUGAUAAACAAAGAAGGUCAUGAAGAUUUUAUGGAUGUGAUGCUUUCCAUUUUGCGGGAUGAUGCCCAACAAUUACCAGGUGAUGAUGCUGAUACCAUCAACAAAGCUACGUGCCUGGUAUGACUCUCUUGAUUAAAGCAUUUUCUUAUUUCACGGGUAAUGAUAGAGAGACAAUUCUAAUCCUACCUCAACCCCACACGAAGGCAAAUAAAAACUUGAAAUAUUUUAACAAAAUACUCUUAAAGUUAUAGGCUACAUUCGGUAUUAUUGUGCUAUGGUAUUGUGGAGGAAAUGCAACAAUUGUCGUAAAAUAAAAACUCCAACUGCAAGGUAUGAUUAUUUUGAACUAAAUGAAAAAUUUAACAAAAACAAUAAAAGUACUACAGGGUUUUCAUUAACAAUUGUGUAAUAAAAUCAUCGUAAUUUCUAAAUAAGAUCCUUAAAUCUUUUGUUAAUGUUAGGUCAUGUAGAGUUAUUUGGCCCCAAUAUGUAGGCUUACGCUAUACUAUUUAUUACUGACCACUUUUGCAGGCUCUCAUAUUAGCGGCAUCAGACACCUCGAAAAUAACAUUAACAUGGAUUUUAUCUUUACUUCUCAACCACCGUGAUGUUUUAAAGAAAGCUCAAAAUGAACUAGACGUUCAUAUUGGUAAAAGAAGACAAGUGAAUGAAUUAGACAUAAAAAAUUUGGUUUAUCUCCAAGCAAUUAUCAAGGAGGCAAUGCGUCUUUACCCCGCCGGACCACUUGCAGCCCCGCAUGCGUCUACGGAGGAUUGCACUGUCAAUGACUACUUUGUGCCAGCAGGCACUGUACUAUAUGUUAACGUUUGGAAGAUUCAUCGCGAUCCACGAGUUUGGCCAGAACCUUAUAAGUUUAAACCUGAGAGAUUUCUUACCACCCACAAACAUAUUGAUGUUCGUGGCCAGAAUUUCGAACUGUUACCGUUUAGUAGUGGCAGAAGAAUGUGCCCUGGACCCUCAUUUGCCAUCCCAGUUACGCACCUUACACUUGCUACUUUGUUACAUGGGUUUGAUUUUGAAACCCCGUUGGAUGAACCAGUUGAUAUGAGUGAGGGAAUGAGCUUGACUCUGGUUAAAACCACUCCCGUUAAAGUACUCAUCACUCCACGUCUUUCCGCAUCGCUAUAUGGCUAAAUUGGUUUUUGUUAAGGAAGCACACUAUGCAGAGAAGGAGAAGGAGAAACUUAACCUGAGAAAGGUUAACAAGCCUAUCACAUCAGAUCACAGUAAGCAAAGUGAGAGCUCCGCCGACAACUCAGCAUAAGUUGUUAAAAUCUGUUACUGAAGUUUAGUUUGUAAUAUUAGUAGUUAGUUGUGGGUUAUUACAAUAAUAAUGCUUAAGAAAUGUGUAUAAACUGUAUGUCACUGUAACAUUUGGGUUAAGCAAUAAAAGUACAGAGUUGAAAAAUAUUCUCUGAGAUAUUUUCUCAGCAACGACACAACUCCACUUCCAUUUCAUGUUUAUGGUAUCAGAGCCAAAUAUGGCUAGUUCAAGCAGUACAAACAUCAAAUCCAAAUCCAACACAUACAUAUCAAUCUUCACAGAUUUCAUUUUCAUUUACUACUCCAGUCAAGCUAGAUCGAUUCAAUUUUUAACUCUGGCGAAAACAUGUUCGUACUUCAAUAAGAGAAAAUCGGCUUGAAGAUUUCAUAUCUAAUGCUCAGAUUACACUAGAACAUUACAUUUCUUACAUGCUCUUCUCGGUUGGCUAUUGUCCUCCAUUAGUGAAGGUAUUUUGAGCUCUAUUCUUCACUGUGGUAAUUUGUAUGAUGUAUGGAAGUCUACUGAGAGACAAUUUAGAGCUGAAUCUGAAGCUAAAAUAAUGUAACUUCAAUAUGAGAAAAAUAUGCUUUAAAAGGAAUCCAUGUCUAUUAAGAAUAUUAAUGCAAGUUUUGAAUGGACAUGGACUUAGAUAUUUAUGACACGUUUGCUUUUAAGAAAUGUAAGGAGAAGAGAGGAGAAAAAAGGAGAUGGGAAAGAAAUAAGAGGACAAAAAUAAAUUUUAUAUCCAACUAAGUAAUGAAAAUGAAAUUGACUCUCUUUUCCACUCAUUUUCUGUCCCUCUCUUUCCUUUCAAUUCCUCUUCUCUUCCACCAUUUCUUCCAACCAAACACAAGCUUAGAUCUUCCUUCAGUCAUUACGGAUAAUAAAAUGACAUAUGAUGAUGGAUAUGCUAUGCAUUACUCUUGACACAUGAGGCUCAAUGGGAACAAAACUAGAGUGCUAAAUUUGUGUUUAAUGCAAAUUAUGGAAUAGUGAACUCUAAAAUUAUUUUCAAGUUAGGGGUAAUAGUAGAAAAGAAGUAUAUGGAUAUAGUGGAUAUUAGGGACACUUUAAUGCUAGGAAUAGAAAUCACAAUAUUAAAAGAGGAAUGAAUGCUAUAUCAUACAUAUCUCAGAGGUUUUCCUACUGGUAGUAGAAGACAAUCAAUAUAGUUGCAAUAUUAUUGGACAACAUCACAUAAUAAAUGUCAUGACCCAACCCAGACUUGGCAAGAUAUUGCACUUUGAGGCUUAACAAGGCCCGCAAGAUUUUGUUCCUGGAGCGCCCAUACACCCCAAAAUGCAUUUUGCCAAUUAAGGUGUGGAUCAUCUCUCAUAAACUCAGCAUCUCUCCUGUGCUUUGCCGAUGUGGGAUUCAUCUAGGGUUUUACAUACACCCUCUUAGGAACUCAACGUCUUCGUUGAAGUUUGCCCAACCAUCGCUCAAGAGAACAAGCGGAGCUGCUUUGAUACAAUCUAUCAUGACCCAACCCAAACCUGACAAGAUAUUGUCCGCUUUGGGCCUUAACAAGUCUCGCGCGGUUUUGUUUUCUGGGGCGCUCAUACACCCCAAGACAUGUUUUAGAGUAUACCAAAAUGUCAUCAAUGAAGACAAUGACGAAACGGUCAAGGAAAGGCUGGAAGACCCUAUUUAUCAAGUCCAUAAAAGCUACAGAAGCAUUGGUUAACCCGAAGGGCAUCACAAGGAACUCAUAGUGCCCAUAUCGAGUUUUAAAGGUUGUCUUGGGUACAUCUUCACCUUUGACCUUAAGCUGAUGAUACCUAGACCGUAAAUCAAUCUUCGAGAAUACCAAUGGACCUUGCAACUGAUCAAAAAGAUCAUCUAUACGGGAAAGAGGAUAUCUAUUCUUGAUGGUAAUCGAGUUCAGCUGUCGAUAAUCAAUGUAUAACCUCAUAGAGCCAUUUUUCUUCUUCAUAGACAUCACAAGUGCUCCCCAAGGAGACGCAUUAGGACAGAUAAAGCCCUUAUCAAAAAGUUCUUGCAGUUGAACUUUCAAUUCGUUUAACUUAAUAGACGUCAUGCGAUAAGGUGUUUUUGAGAUAGUUGCAAUGCCCGACAACAAGUCUAUCGAGAAUUCAAUCUCUGAUUAGGAGGCAAACCAGACAAAUCCUCUGGAAACACAUUAGGAAACUCCUUAACAACAUUAUUGUUUCAAAGAGAAACCUCAUCAUUCUCAUUAGCCACUAUACAAGCUAAAAAUGCCUCACACCUUUUUGCCAACAUCUUUCUAGCUUUAAGUGCAAAUAUCAAUCCUCCACAACUACUCUAUCUGCCUUGAAACCAAAAUUCCUUCUCUCCAAGAACUAUAAACACAAUCUCUUUAGAGAUGCGUCUUACAAAUUAAGGUAUGGAUCACCCUUUAUAAACCCAGCAUCUCUCACGUACUUUCCCGAUAUGAGAUUUGCUUAGGGUGUGUUAUACACACCCCUUUUGGGGACUCAGCGUCCUCACUGAGGUUUGCCCUACCAUUGCUCAAGAGGACACGUGGAGCCGCUUUGAUACCAUAUGUCAUAACCCAACCCAGACCUGGCAAGAUAUUGUCUGCUUUAGGCCUUAAAAAAGCCUAUACAAUUUUGUUCCUAGGGCAUCCAUACACCCCAAAAUGCGUCUUGCCAAUUAAAGUGUGGAUCACCGCUUAAAAAUCUAGCAUCUCUCCCAUGUUUUGCCGAUGUGAAAUUCGCCUAGGGUGUUAGAUACACCCCCUUAGGGACUCAUCGUCCUUAUCAAGGUUUUCCCUAUCAUCGCUUAAGAGGACAUGCGGAACCACUUUGAUAUCAUAAUGUCAUGACCUGACCUAAACCUGGCAAGAUAUUGUUUGUUUUCGGCCUUAACAAGGCCCGCACGGUUUUGUUCUUAGGGAGCCUAUACACCCCACAAUGCGUCUUGUAGAUUAAGGUGUGGAUCAUCCGUUAUAAACUCAGCAGCUCUCUCGUAUUUUGCCGAUUUGGGAUUCACCUAGGGUGUUACAAUAAACAUGUUUCCAAUAUGUCUCAUGGUCAAGCCUCAAUACCUAAUGGAGACAGCUCUAAUGACAAUGUCCUUAUAUGCCAUAAAUCUAGUCAUACUUUACAUUGAAAACUAUAUACCUCAAUCAAGGCAUUUUGAGAGGGACAAUAUCAAAAUAUGCUUUUAUGGCUAGUUUUGAGCCAUAUGCUAGAUUUAUACCAUAUUUUGAUGACUCUUAUGCUAUGAGUUGUUCCAACUAUCAAUGCCAUACUCAUUAAUGCGACACUAUACAACUGAAAUUUUCUUUACGCUUGGAAUUGCUUAUAAUACUAACUUUAAACGACCUGCUAAUGAUGGAUAGUUUCUUAACAGUAGAGCAACGCAUCACUUAACCAACAACAUGGCUAAUAUGAAUGUCGGAGAAGAAUUCAAUGGCUCACAUCAACUCAUCAUUAGGAAUGGAUAAUGUUUUGUAACUCAUGUGUAUAAAUUGAUUUUAGACAUGGUUAUUGUGAACUUAAUACUUUCGUUUUUCUAUCAUCACAUGAUUAUUUCACAUUUUAGCAUUGUCACUUGAAUUUCAUUAUUUGCUUCCAAAGCAUGGCUAAUAUGAAUCAAGUUUACCUAUAACUAUUGAAAGGAAAAUAUUUGACAGCUAGCUAACCACUACUUUUCUAUGAUGUUUUAAUAAUAUAGGGAUUAUGAUCCUCUCCUGAUCUUUUACAAAUCUUGUGUUACCUAUAUUUAGUGUUAGUGUAUGAUUGAGAUUUAACUACUUUUAUUUUUUUCAUUUAUUAACUACCAAUUACGUUAAUAAAAUUUAUUCAGAGGACGAUCAUAUCAAGAGAGGAUCUUGAUCCAUAGUACAGUUCUAUUUUAUAUUUAUAAUCAGAAUUCCGAAGAGAUUUGCCUUGAUAUACAUAGUCCAUCUAAAGUUCAACCUAAAAUUUUAAUACAAAAAAGGCGGAGAGGCAUUCACAUAUCGCAUCUUUAGAGGAGCUUAAUUAUGGCAUUAUCGGUGCAUGUUUCGAGAGAUAGAUUAAUGUUAUCCAGAUGCAUAAUACCAAAAUAUUUUACACUAAGCUUAGUCUUAAUUCGUAGCCCAUGACCCACUUCGCUUGGAGAGCUUGGUAAAAACUGCUCUCAAAUGACAUUAUUUAGGCCUUCAACACGUUACGCUCUCGGCAUUCACCAACUGAACUGUCAGGUUUUUCCUGCUUCAUCCGAAUCAUGCUGUAAAUUACAAAAUUAAUUUUACUUUCUAAACAAGAUAAUGCACGAUAACCUCUAUUGCAAUCAACUCAUUAAUCCAAAUAAAGGCAAACUCUAUGAACAUUCGAAGAAACAAUCGACUUACAUUGUUUGCACACUCACCAUAAAAUUUAGAUCUCAUACAUUGACACGGGCUUCAUAAACUGAAUGACAUAAGGGCCACAAUCAUAUCCACUCGGUUGUCUUGGAAGCGUUGUAUGUUGCAUCACACGAAAGAGAGAUUCUAAGGUACCUUUAUUGUGCAACACCCACUUAAUGAAUGUAUAAAAUGUGAACAUUUGUUUUAAAAAAUCAUCAUGUAAUUUGUGGUUAUAUUUAAUCCAAGCACAAAUGCAAUAUAUACAUUUAGUGGAUAUAAUACAACAAAGGUACUUUAGAAUCUCUCCACAAGAAAACUCUUAAAACUGAGACCUCCGAGUACAAGCCUUAGACAAACCUUCAAAACCUCAUCAAGCGCCCUCAAUCGCAACUACACAAUUUUCUUAUGCAACAACUUAAGUUAAGAAGUCUAUACUUUGGUUAAACAAACAGUAAACCGAAGAUCCAUUCUACUCACCAUUUUUUUUUCUUUUGUUGCUUCUCUAACUAAAGCAACUUUUCUCUGUCACUUGGUAGCAGAUACCAUAUCAUAGCACAAUUGCCUAGUAUGUCCACAAUAAUAACAUAACAGUGUGUGCCCCAUGAUUUAUUGGAAUAAAAAUAUGUUCAGAGAGCUAGCAAUUAUAAACAUACCUUCUCACACAAUUGCAAGUUAUAUGCAUAUACAAGUCUAUCAUCUGUGUUCCCAUUUCUAGGCUCUUGAUAUCACAUUUUUCAUGCAAAACUUCUGUUGAGUAGUAUAUGCAUAACUUGGAAUUGUGUGAGAAGAUAGUUUAUAAUUGGAGAAGUUAUAAAGAAACAAAGAAAAAUCAUCAUAGCUUAACAAACCAAAAUAACUCAUCAACAAAAGCCUCCAAAUCAUUCACACUUUUUCAUUUUCCUAACCUUUCGUCAAUAUAUACAGUCAUCAUGUAUCUAAUCAACUUCAUCUCGUCACCAGACACAGGUUACUGCACCACAAAAGGCCCUACCCUAAAACCACCAAAACCACUUAAAUGAGCCAAUGGCCUUUUCUUCUCAAUUGGUGGUCUGUUGGCAGCCCCUUUAGCUUCUUCGCAGCCUUAUUCAAUGGACUCUUGCCGGUCAACGACACGCAGGUUUUCUUGUGCACCCGCAAAUCCUGCAUUGUUCAACAAGACAAUAGAUACAUCCGUCAAUACACUAUCACUACAUGUAUACUCAUUUAAUAAAAUUUAACAACCUUUCAUCACCUUGAUGUGUUCAAGAAUCUUAAUGGAGCUGGGAGUACAGCUUGGCGACAUCUACAUCCCAUGCUCUGCCCUCUUUGCAACUCUGUUUCUCUUUAGCAUUUCUAGUUACAACUUCACUACUUUCUCCACAUUCUCUAUGACCUCGUAUUCUUUUCUAAAGCAACCGCAACCUGCAUUAACCACAUUCUUAAUGAUCAUCACUUUAACAAAGGGAAAAAAAAUUUAUGUACAUUAUGGUGUAAUGCAAUAAGUUGUAAUGUAAUACAAUAUUGGUGUACUGUAUUAUAUAUAAUACUAUUUUGUAUUAAAAGUAAAUUAGUACUAUUUAAAUUUAUUAUAUCUUAGUGUUAUAUAAUUAAUUUUUGAAAUUAAUUAUAAAUUAAUUAUUUUUUACGUAUUAAUUUUUAUAACAUAAGAAUAAUUUAAUUAUAUACUAUUAUCAAAUAAUAUAAUAUUAUAAAUGUCAAUAAAAUAAAAAAUAAAAAUAAAAUAAUACAAUACAAUAUUUUAAAAUUUCAAUUUAAUUAUAAUUAAUUUUUAUUUAUUAAUGUCAAAUAUAAUUAUUUAUUUAUUUUUAAAUUUUGUUAUUUUAUUAAAUAAAAAAUCUGCUGUACNNNNNNNNNNNNNNNNNNNNNNNNNNNNNNNNNNNNNNNNNNNNNNNNNNNNNNNNNNNNNNNNNNNNNNNNNNNNNNNNNNNNNNNNNNNNNNNNNNNNNNNNNNNNNNNNNNNNNNNNNNNNNNNNNNNNNNNNNNNNNNNNNNNNNNNNNNNNNNNNNNNNNNNNNNNNNNNNNNNNNNNNNNNNNGUACGGUACAGCAGUUUAUUUAUUAAUGUCAAAUAUAAUUAUUAAUUUAUUUUUAAAUUUUGUUAUUUUAUUAAAUAAAAAAUGAUUAAAUAAUUAAAAUAAUGUUAAAAGUAAAAUAUUGUAUUAUCAUUUAUAUUUUAUAUUAUUAUUUAAAUUAAAAUUUAUUUAAUAUAAGUAUAAUUGAUAUUAAUAAAUUUAAAUUUAUUAUAAAUUAUUAAUAAUAAAAGUAAAAUAAAUAUUUUUUAAUGCAAUGCAUCAUAAACCCUACUCUCCCAUGGGAUUAUUUUAUGUCUUUUCAUUGUAUCAACAGCCUUUUAAUACAGUGCAAUGCAACUAAAAAUUAUAGUUAAACAUGGGUUUAUAUGAGAAGAAUGUUUUAAUAUAAUACGAUACAAUAUAAUAUGAGCUGCCAAACGCACUCCAAACUCAAUAAAGAAGUACAGCAAAGCAAAACGAAGGUAGAGAAAGAAAUUAUUAAUUUGAAAAAGAAAUAAACUAACAAAUGAGAGAAAUGAGAAAAACUACUUUAAAUGGAAGGAGAUUGUUAGGUUUUCUCUUAUUGUAAUCAAUAUUCAUUACUUAUGCUCCUACUAAAAACAAUAAAUUGUGUCAGUAAGAAUUAAAAAUGAAUAAUAAGAUAUUUUUCUUAAUAGUUUUGUUAUUUUUAAAUAUUUUUCUUAUAAUAAAUAAUUUUAUAUUUUCAAGAUAAAUUAGAUUUUUUUGUACGAAGGGGUUUUUAGAUAUUAUGUAAACAAGUGUAGGAUAAAUGAUAUAUAUUGAUUUCAGUAAGAGGGAAAGCCAAAGUAAGUAUUUUAGAAACUUAAAAGAGCCUUUUAACACAAUCAAAAUGAUAAAUGCGCCACUCCUACAAAGCAAAUUUUUAAUAACCCAUCCAAGUAACUCCCCUUUGUUAAGCCAUCUACAAUCUUCAUAUCUUGUUUGUUCUAAUAUCUCCUUCGCCAACCAUUUCGUAAACUUCUUAUGUUGCAUUUAUUUACCGGAUUAGUAAAUUAGAAUCCGGAAUCGAAAUCAUUGACAUAGUUUACUUUGCAAAAUAGAGUCAAAAAUUGGAAUCAGAAUCAUGGGGCCCCCAAAAAUUUGGGAAUGAGGAAUGGGAGACUCAUCCCCAAGGAGGAGGUUAGGAAUGAGUUUCCUAUUUGCAGGAUUGACCAUUUUGCUCUCCCCCAAAAUUAAAAAUACCCACUUUGUCCUCAUUUAUAAUUAAUUAAUAUAUUAUUAUACUUAAUUAAUUAAUUAAUUAAUAUAUUAUAAUUAAAUAAUAUUUUUAAUAUAUUAUUAACAAUAAUUAUGAAUAAUUAUAGUUUUUGAAUAAAUAAUCACAAUAAUUAAUAUAUUAUAAUUAUAAUUAAUUUAUCUAUUAUUAUUAAUUAAUUAAUUAAUUAAUAUAAUUAUUACUAUUAAUUUAUUUAUUAAUAAUUAUGGUUCUUGAAUAUAAAUUGAAAAAAAUUAAAAAAUUAUUAUUAUUAUGGAAUUCAGUUAUUGUUGUUGUUAAUUAUUUUUAUGUUAAUUAUUAUUUAGGUUAUUAUAAAAUUUAUUCUGCUGUACGGAAUUUAUUUUUUUUUGUUGUUAUUAUUAUUAAUUUUAAUUACUACUAUUAUUUAUUUAUUAUUUUAAUUAUUAGCAUCGUCGUCGUCGUCGUCAUCAUCAUUAUUAUCAUCAUCAUCAUCAUCAUCAUCAAAUGAAAAUAAUUAACAAAGGGCAUUUUAAUAACUUGAAACAAUUCAGUUUAUUCGGAUUCUGAUUCCAAGAUAAAAUAAAUACAUUAAUGGGAUUCCAACUCAUUCACAUUCCGAUUAUUGCAACUUAAGCAAAUAAUUUAUUUUGAUUCUCAUUCUCUAUUCAUAUUCCAACUCAUUCCUAUUUCAGCCAAUUCCAAUUCGAGUCCAUUCUUAUUACUGACAAGUAAAUGCAGCAUUAAUCUUGCUCGCAUUCCAAAGAACAACAUGACACAUCAAUGGGUGUUUUAACAUUUUCCAAUGCAUCACAAAAUUAAUUUGCAUGCGUAUGCAUUGAUCAUUAUAUUACUACGCCGUUACGUAUCAUUGACCCACCAUACAAGCUCUUAAUAAAUAAAUACAUGCAUAAUUGACUACCAUCCACAAAUUUCAACAUACAACAAUAUUAUACGAUAAGUUUUUUCUUAAUAAUCAGGAUAAAGGAUUACAUUAGAGAGACAAGGCUAGCCCAUUCAUUAGACCUCGUACCUGCAAAUGUAGUAAGCAUCCACCUACAUAUGCUAGUUUUUCUUGCUUGUAUCUUGUUAUCCCUUGCAUAAGCCUACUAAAGCAAAAGGUUACCCAAAUAAUUGCACAUGCAUUCCUCUGACUGAAAUUCCCAUCGUAUACCCAAAAUUUUGUGCACUGCUCCAACUCUCUUCUAUGAACAGAUAAAGUAUAACUUGUAGUAUCAACACUAUCUAUCAGCCAAUGACGUAGCCAAACACAAUUCUAUUCAAAAGGCUUACCAAAUUAUAGGAAGUGCACGACUGCUCUUUAUUCUGCCGUUAAGUUGGUUGCCAUUGUUGCAAAUCGCUUUGGCACAUACCUCAACACAAACUUCAGCUUCUUGCCAUUAAGGCAUUGUUUACUAUUGAGGUUGGGCAGAUGUAGCUUAAAAGUUAUAACACUUAAGUGUUCUAUAAGCACUUACUACUGAGGAAGCUAAGUUGAUUGAUCCCACACAUAUAUAAUGAAAAACCUAUAAUAUCUUUACUAUUUUUGUCAAAACUAUUAUCUAAAAAUCAUAUUUAUUGCACACAAUCAAUUUACAUUUCAUAGUUACAGCUUUUUUCUACAGUAGUUUUGAUUUAAAAGUUAAAAUGCCUCAAUACCAAACAAUGCAAGGCGGUGCUCAUUGGCUUUUGUUGAUGUGUUUGCACUCUUCUUUGUUCUUAAACUCGAAUCCAAUUUCCUUUAAAUAAAAAUUUAAAUAAAAGUAUUAAACAUAAGUCUGGACGUGAAUAAAAAAAAUAGUUUCUUAUAGUUUUUAGAAUUUUAAAUAAUUUUUCUUAUAAUAAAAUAUAUUUUAUAUUCUUAAGAUAAAAUAUAUUUUAUAUUCUUAUCAAGAAAAAUGGCCUAUUUUUAUCUCUUUUCCUUUAAAUUUUUUUUGCAGCUUUAGAUAUUAUGAAAAUGGUAGAGUGUAAGUGAUAAGUAUUGAUUUUUAGUAGGGGAAAAACUAGCAAUCUCAUUAUUUCAUAUACAAAAGUUGUAGGAAAAAAUAUUACAAUACUAUUUGAAAUUAACUUUAGUGAUGCUAUUAAUUUAGUAGAUUGUUCCAGGUUAGGACAAUAUUUUAUUAUUUUUAAUAAAUUUAAUAAUUUAUAACAUUGGUCCUCAUAUAUCUAAAAGACGUUUUUGGGUCCUUUUGGGAAAAAAAUUUGUUGGGGACAAAUAGAAAAGUUUCUUCAAGUUGGCAAACAAUAUUGGUUGUAGCUAUCUAAUUAGUUGGAUUGCAAGAAACAAAAUCAAAACCAUACAAUUUUAAUAAUACCAUGUUUAAUAUAUUUGUAAAAGGUCAGCAUAGAUAAUGAGAAGAAAAACAAAUAGAAGAUCUUUAACUCUUUCAAUAAGCUUUAAUUAUGGCAUGUCAGGGCAAGUUUUGAAAGCUAGAUUAAUGUGAUCCAGAUGCAUGCGGAUAACAAAAUUUUGUAAAAUGUGUAUACUUGUAGUGGCAAUGUAUUGAUGGAUGUAUUAUAUUAUUGAACAAUGCAAGAUUCGAAGAUGUAUAAGAAAAUAGGUGUGUCAUCAACAGGCAAGAGUCCAAUGAAGGAGGUUGCGGAGAUGUUGGUGGGGUUGGCCAGUAGUCCACCAAUAAAUGAGACAAGACCAUGUAUUCAUUUUAGCAGUUUUAGGGUUGGGCCAUUUAUGUUGCUGUGCCCUGUGUCUGAUGCCGAGAUGAAGUUUGUUUGGAUACAUGAUGAAUAAAGAUCUACACCAUGGGUAAGUAAAAUGUAAAAAAAAAAAAGUUUGAAUGACUUAGAUGCUUUUGUUGAUAAUUUAAUUUGUUUUGUUAAGCUGUGGUACGCGUGUUUGUAUGUUUAACUUGUUGUUUAUAAUUUGUUAUGUAUAGAGAAAUUAAUGUGAGAAUUGGGUGAGCAAGAGAGAAGUGUUGUCACUCCAUAAAAAAAGAUGGAUACAUGGCACAACGAGUGAGUGCAUCGAGUAUAUUAAUUGUGGUGAGUAGUAUCGAAAGGCUUGUUCGGUAUUAUUUAUAAAUUAGUAGUUUUUUGAAAACAAAAAUGAGAAUGAAAAGGGUGUUUUAAAAAUGUUGUAUUUCAAAUUUAAGUAUGCGUCAGGUAUAUCUUGGAUUUUGAUGUAGAGGAUGUGGUCAUUGAAAAAAAAGGUCAAAUUCCUUCAAUUUCUUUCACAUAAGGUGCACGCACAACUUAUGAAACCAGGGCAAAAUAUAGUGAUUGUGAAACUCCUUAAGCACACCAUUAGUUACAGAGCCCUGUGUAACAGAAUAGAAACCUUGUGGGAAAUGUUACAUGGCUUUAUGGUGAUUGAUCUUGAGAAUGACUUUUACCUAGUUUGUUUCAAAAUGGAAACUGAUGCCCAUCAUGCUCUCACCCUAGGACCUUGGAUGAUAUUAGAACACUAUUUCACUGUUCAACAAUGGCACCCCACUUUGAUAGUUCUUUUUAGACAAUUGACUAAAUUAUUGGUUGGAUUCAUUUGCCUGGGAUGCCCCUACAUUAUUAUUAUAAGCACAUACUAAGGCUGUGGGGACAGAUUAUUGGUAAGGUUUUGCAUAUUGAUUACACUGUAGAAUCUAUUAUGAGGGGAAAGUUUUCCCAUAUUGCAGUAGAGGUUACGCUAAAUAAACCACUUAUUUUGUAAUUCAUUAAUGGAAAAAUUCAGAGGAUUGAAUAUGAAAGUCUCCCUUCAAUACGCUUUAGGUGUGGGAAUUAGCAGAGAAGAAAGAUACUAGAGAGUCGGGGGGAUAUGGUAGCCAAAACGGAUGAUGGUGUAAAGAGCAUAUAUGGAAAAUUCUAUGGAAACCUCCUUAUAUGGUCAUUGGAUGAUUGUAGCUAAAAAGGCAAGCCAAGGAGGCUUAAGGAAACUAAAGUGGAAAAAGAAUUUAAUCGAUUCCAGAAAGGCAAUGCGAGAGAUGGAUCCCCUUUUUUUAAUCCUCGCUACUAAGGAUUCCUUGGAUAUUGGGCGUAAUAAUAGCAAUGAUAUCCCAAGUCAUUAUUUACUAAAAUGCAUGCCAAACUGACCUUUUGCAAAACAGGCCAGAAACACAAAAACCAACCUGAAGCCUAAAUCCUGGCAUGGUAAUAGUAACCAAAAUCCUAGCCCAACUCAUGCUUCAAAACACCAGCCUAAUAUUUUCAAUGCAAAAGCUAUCCCUCAAGCCAAGUCGAUGUAAAAUAACAUGCAAAACACGACACCCCCACGUAAGCAAGGUUGGAGGCCAUACAAGACUAGAGGGUGCAACGGCCCCUGCUGAAUUUUAAAAAAUUUUAGGGUUUUUAAAUAAAAUAUGAAAAUUUAGUGUAAAAUGUCUAUACUAGCCCAUGCACAAUUAAUGUAUAAAGUUUAUAUAUUAGAUAAUACUGUAAUUUUACUAUUAAACCCACUAAUGAUAGCAUCAAAGUAUUAAGAAACAAAUCAGCUAAGCCCAUUAAAGCUCACUAAGUCACUAAUAUAUAAUAACAUAAAAAAUAGAAAUUUAAAUUUGGCCCUUAUAGGAUUUCCCCAUAAGCUCCGCCCUGCACGUAAACACAUGCAACCUCACGAAAUCAACAUCACAACCCAUAAUCUAAAACCUAGUAAACCAACCCUUGACCCUUUUAAAACAUUUAGUGAUUUCCUUUGCCACCCUCAUUGCUGUUGAUACUAUUAGUCUCCCUUGAUUUUCAAAGAACUUUCAAAGUUUUUGUUCAGAUGUAUAAUAGCUCUGUUUGAACCUCAUAUUAGUGGGAAGAAAACUAAUGAUUUUAUCCUCAAAAGUGGUUUUGAUAGAUCUCAUAGAAUUGAGACAGUGGUUUUUAGGGGUGGUAUUUGGCUGUUUGAGAGGAAAGGCUUCAACAUGCACAUUGUUAUUAACCAUAAACGGCUUGUCUACCUUCAUAUUUCCAAUGCGUAUGGCUUUGUUUCCUAGCUUAGUGUUGUUUACAACAGUCUCAUUCCUUUGCUUAGGAAUCUUUUUUAGAAAGAGCUUGAUGUUAUUGCUAAGAGGGUCAUGGGGCUUGGAUUCUCAAGGGUGAAUUUAACACUAUUUUUCAUUCUUCAGAGAAGAGAGGUUGGUCGAUUCAUAAUACUGGUGUCUGCAAUCGUUUUAGAAGUUGGUAUGAUAGAAACUAUUUUUAUGAUACCAUUUUAGUGGUCCAAAAUUUACAUGAGGCAGAGGUAAUUUGCUUAAGAGGCUGGAUAGGACUUUCUACAAUGAUGCGUGGCUGGUCAAGUUCUUUGAGUCCCAAAUUCUUCAUCUUCCAAAAAUAAUUUCUGAUCAUCGUGCCAUGCUUGCAUGUUUUGCUAGAAAUGUGGCGCGACCCAAUGAUCCUAAGCAGCCUCACUUUCUGGCUCCUUGGCUUACAAACAACAAAUUUAAAAAAAUAAUUUCAAGCAACUAGGAUAAGAAUGGUGAAUGUAUUGCUCAGUCCAACAAUUUUAUAAGGAGGUCAACAGAUGGAACAAAGAAGUUUUUAGAAAUAUACAGAGAUAGAAAAGUAGAAUCCUUGCUAGACUGAGGGAUGCCUAGUGUGCUUUAGAGAAGUACUCAUCCAAAAAUCUUGUUGAAUUAGAAGUUUCUCUUAAGUAGGAAUUUGAAUUUAUUUUAACUCAUGGGAACUCUUAUGGUACUAGAAGUUAAGGAAUGAGCAUAUCUCUUGGGGCGAUCGGAACAUAACUUAACUCCAUCAUCAAACAAUUUAGAGAAGAAGGAGAAAUCAUAUUGAUAUGAUAAAGAAUGAUAAUAAGGAAUGGAUUUUGAUAAAGAUAUGAUUAAAGAUUAUGCAAUGAAGUUCUUUAGGAAUUUUUAUACCAUGGAAGAUAACUACUAUACGCCCUAUCUGUUAGCAAGUUGAGCAAUUUAUUGUCUAUACAGCUACAUUAUCACCAUUGCCCAUCCUGUGUUCCAUUUAACCCGUUAUUUGUUUUGACGCAGCAGCAUCGCCAUUUAAAACACUUAAUGCAGAAGCAUUGCCAGUUAAAACACUUAGUAGAGCAGCAGGGUCUCAAACAUUUUGGAAUGCAGCAGCAGGGUCUCAAGCAUUUUGGUCAUUUGGGCCACCGACAACAGUUGACACAGCUUGGUAUCCAACAUUUUGGGCAUUUAGGUUUCCAGCAACAUUUCGUGCGGCUAAGUUUUGGACAUUCAGGGCAUUUGGGUCGGCAGCAUUUAAUCCUACAGAACCUGUUAGCAGACCCGGCGUUGGCGUUGGACAUUAUUGGUAGAUGGAGUUUCUGCCAAAUCUUAUUAGGUCAGAUUUUAGUGUUCAUGUUCUUCAUUUCUUGAGUAAACCAGCAAAGGUGGUGGAUGUAAUCUGGAUAUAGCGCCAAGUUGUAGUGCCCUCCUCCUUUAAUCCACAAAGGCUCUAACAGAUCUCUUGCCAUUUUCCAGAGUUUAUUUCCAUGAAACCAGUUCACAACAUCAUCAUCUGUUCCCUGUCAAAUUGUGGACCACGCCCAUUUAAUCAUUUGUCAUCAAGAAGCCAGUUCUAAUAAAGAUAAAUCAACCAUCAUUAGUUACAAAUGAGCAAUUCAUCCACGAUGCAUGUCAAAGUAGUGUAGAAAAACAAAUCGAUUGAUACGAAGCUCUAAAGGCAAACUUCAAAGGAUAUGUUUGUGGUAUUUAUUAAUACAUGUUUACGAGAAUUUUAGGGAAGCUUUUCAAAAAUUUGGUGGUAUUAUGAAAGAGGACUAAAUACCAGCAGCUAAAACCGCCUACAAGGCUUUACAUUACUAUUAUAUCCUUUGAUGAGCUUUAUAAUUGCAUUGGCGGUGCAUGUUUUGAAAGAGAGAUUAAUGUUACUUAAACAGAUGAUACUAAAUAAUCAAUAAAUGUUGCGAGAGGUGGCACAUUUGCGCAUGCAGCACAGAAUACAAGUACAUUUGCUAGGCUUAGAAUUAGGGGAGGGUUGGUGCAACUCAUAAUCUCACUACCCCAAUAUUUGCUAGCCACGUAAGCCUGAGGCUGCUGCUCCAUGACACUACGGGUGCUUACCAUAAUUUGAGCCCAAGCUUUGAGACUAUCAUUCAACCAUAUUAAUAUUUAUUAGAAGUUAUGAUGAUCAAACCUAGGAUGCAAUACACAUUGAGGAGAUAACUGUAGAUAAUAGUUCCUGAUAAUUAUAGCAUGUCACUUUGACCAAUAUUAUUCUAGCCCACUUGACUAGCACAAUAAAAUUGACCAAAUUUAGAAACUAGAAAAACUCAAUAUGAUAGGUACACAAGCCGAGCGUCACUCUCUUGGAUGCAAUUAAUUCCAGCCUGAAACUAAUAAUAAAGAAGCCUGCAACCAACAGCAUCACAUUCAAAAUUACACUUGAUGCAUCAUUAUCCCUUGUUUUCUUCCACCACUUAUUAAUAGUUACAAAAAACAUCUAUAAAAAAAAGCUAGACCCUGAAUCUAUUACAGGAAAAAGGGGAUCCUUUUAAGUCCCCAGGUGCGAUUUUCCUUGUUUUUGUUGAGUUUGAAUACAACAGAAGCUAAGAAGAAUCUCCAAGAAUGAAGCAAAAAACCGAGAACCCACUUACAAGAUCAGAAACCAGAUCUUGAACACCAACACCAAACAACACAAUUCAAAGGGGAAAAUGACACUCUUUUAUUGCUCAAAUCGAUUACAAAUCUAUCAAAUCUUGUAAAGGAGAUUACAAGCUUUACAAAGAUUUUAGAAUCACAGAAAUUGGAUGAAAAACGAAAGAGAAAAGUAACAUACACCAGAUGCUACACAUCAGCUCUGUUUAUAAAGCUAGUUUUGAAGAUUUCCAGAAGCAGCCAACCAAACAAACAUAACGAAGUUUUAGACACGUCAGCAACUAAAUUGCAAAUUGAUCCUCAAACUUAAGUCAAUCUGCAUAAAGACCACAGAAGUCUUAACUCUUUUCAUUUAACCCCUUAAAACAGAAUCUGAUUCUUCACAAUCUCCACCUUGCAGAUUUGAUUCAGUUUGAUUCUUGACCAUAAAAACUGCUUCAAAAAAACCCUUUAAAGCACACAGCCUCGAGAUUAAGAAUAAUCUUGUUAAAAACAUCAAUGUGCUCUUGUAUUGACACACCUUCUUUUAUAGAAAAGGUAUACAGCCUCUUCUUUAAGAAUAGUCUGUGAGCAAGUGAUUUCUUCAUGCACAAAGCCUCCACUUUGUUCCAAAUGCCCAGAGCUGUUUUCUCAUCUGAGAUUUCCCUCAGAAUUGAGUCACUCAGACUCAAGAUCAGGGUACUAUGGGCUCUAUUGUGAAUAUGCUUCAUCUUUUCACUAGAUCUAGAACUUCCAACAGUUUCUGGAUCUUCUUCUUCUAAGGCUGACUCCAAUCCUUGAUGAACAAGGAGAGCUCUCAUUUUCAUCUUUCAAAGUGAGAAAUCACCACCAAUGGGGAAUUUCUCAAUCUUGUGCUUUGGAAGUGACAUUGUUGCGAUCCCCCUAUGGCUCUGAUACCACCUGUUGAGUUUGAAUACAACAGAAGCUAAGAAGAAUCUCCAAGAAUGAAGCAAAAACUGAGAACCCACUUACAAGAUCAGAAACCAGAUCUUGAACACCAACACCAAACAACACAAUUCAAAGGGAAAAAUGGCACUCUUUUAUUGCUCAAAUCGAUUACAAAUCUGUCAAAUCUUGUAAAGGAGAUUACAAGCUUUACAAAGAUUUUAGAAUCACAGAAAUUGGACGAAAAACGAAAGAGAAAAGUAACAUACACCAGAUGCUACGCAUCAGCUCUAUUUAUAAAGCCAGUUCUAAAGAUUUCCAUAAGUAGCCAAACAAAUAUAACGAACUUUUAGACACGUCAGCAACUAAAUUGCAAAUUCAUCCUCAAACUUAAGUCAAUCUGCAAAAGAUCACAGAAGUAUUAACUCUUUGCAUUUAACCCCUUAAAACAGAAUCUGAUUCUUCACAAUUUUGUUAUAAGUGGACCAGUUUCCCUUUUCAAUCAGCAUUACAAGUGUAUUUAAUUGUGAUCAGCAUUAAGGUGCGCAGGAUUUUACAGUAUGGAAUGUGAAUCAUAGGCCUCAUCAAUUCCCUCAGUCGAGCGAACAAAUGCUCGCCCUAACAGAAACCCAAGGCAUCAUUUUUUCCAUCAGAAAUAAUAUUUUCAUUAACACCUUUAAGAACAGCAAGAACAUUGGAAACAAGCAAACAGAACAUAUGCACAUAUACACAUUACUACAAGGACAAUCAACAGAAAAACACAACAGCUGCAAUCUUAACUUUCUAAUUGGACUUGAACACUAGAUGUCUAAAGAGAAAUUUGACACACAAUAUAAUGCAAAACAGCAUAAACCAAGUCUGCAGAGCGACCAGUCGUCAUCUCUCGAUCCACUUAAAGCAUAAUCACAAACACUUGACUCCUGCAAAGUGAAUAAUACUAUAGACAAGACGUAGGCUCUCAAUAUAGCUGAAAGGUGGAAAAAGCAGGCAUAUCAUAUGCUGAUAUGCUAAAAGGAAAAAGAUAAUUAGUUAUAAAGGAAAAUUAUAAAAGAAAAAGAAAAAAUGAAUAGAAAUCGUGUGCAAGAUAAUUGUUGAGUUAUAAAGGAAAAGGGUAAUUAGAUAUUCUAAUUGGUAAACUGCCUCUAUAUCAGCAUAUGUAUUGGAUUCACUUGGCUGUAAGAUUAUAAAGGAAAAAGGUAAUUUGUUACUUAUAGCAAUCAACAUGACAAGACUGCAAGGAGUAAUAAGAUUAAAAAGCAAAACCAGGAAAAGCACUUCUACUUGUAAGCCUGCUAUUAUGUUUUGACAUUGAAGGAACAGGGCAUAUGCUAUUGUCACUCAAGUGAAGUGGAUUUAUAAACUAAAGCUAAACACGAGAGUGUUGACAUUGAAGGAACAGGGUAUCCGCCAUUUUCAUCCAAGUUCUUAGAAAAUGUAUGAUGAGUGUUCGGCGAGCAAGAAAAUGAAAGAGCAUAACAAAAAGAGCUUGAAUAUUCUGGAAAAAAUGCUAGAUUCAAUUGUUAGCUCAGUUCAAAAGGAAUGAUUACAAUGUAGCUUAUUUAGUAGCUCUAGUGAAUCUAACUAACUAGCCACAGAAGCUACUCGAUCAGUCUACUUAAUAUAAAGUUUGUAACAAUUUCAGCUGUCAUGUAUAACUAACUUUGACAUGUCAGCAGCUGGAAUUUGUUCAGCUAUUCGAUUGUUCAGGAAGCUUACGGUGUUCUGCUUGCUCUGAACUAAAGUUAAACAUGAAUCUGAUCAGGAGAUUCAACAAUGUGGCCCUUAAUUUAAAGACACGUUUCUACCCAGAUAAUCGUACGCUUUAUAACAAAAUUAAGCCUGUCACAUGCCGGAUUCGUCUAAAUCAUAGCCGCAAAUUGUCUCAAAGCAACAAGCAAUCAUUUAUUAAUAUUAUAAUAAAUAUUUUUAAAAUUGAAAAUAAACUAAAAAAAUUAUAUUAUAUAUUUUAAUUUAAAAUAUUAAAAAUUAAUUUUUGAGUUAUUAAUUUUUAAAAUAUUUUUUAAAUGAUACUGCUGUACGGCCAAUGACUGGAUAAUAAUAGAGGUGGGUACCAUGUCUGAACCAAUUGGCUCUGUUGUGGAUUAUAUAAUUCAACAAUUAGAAAUAUCGUUUAUCUUUCAUAUAAUCUUUACUAAUUUGCAGAAGAAAAGAUGCCAAAUGCCUCUAAGUUCUUAUAUUGUCAAAAGUAUAUGAUACGAGUCAUUUUCUCACGUGGGUACCCUUAUUUUUUUCAUAGGAAUAUGAUAUAUAUAUAUAUAUAUAUGCUAUUAAACUAUAUGGCUUCAUACUGAAUUGAACACUAACUUUAUUAAACCAUACUCAAUAACGUAUCCAUAUUUAAAAAAAAAAAAAAAGAGGGUGCCCGCACUUAAGAAUUUUUAUUUAUGAUACUAUUUUAAAUUUUUUUAAAUAGAAAAAAUACCUUUAGGCGAAAUUGUUUGACCGUAAUCAAUGUUGUGUUUAUUACAUACAUUUUGAUCAAAUGGAUGUGUCUAAAAUUAGGAUAGGAUCCUCUCCUCUCUCUCUCUCUCUCUCUCUCUCUCUCUUUUUUCCUCUCCUUGCCUUUCCUUACAUUCAUAAUUUAUUGAAACAAGUUAAUUUAAUUGUCAAUAAAGUUGAAAAAAAAAAAUACUGAUUCGAUUGUCACCAUCAAUAUGAAACUCUAUCUUAAUCACUUUGUAGAAAAGCAGAGGCAAGGAAUAAAAAAACUAAUAAAAUAGAAUAAAACAAAAAAAUAAGGAAUGGAUUCUCGUAAAAUCAAUAUAUUAAGUAAGCAAUCUUAUCAGAACGCAUUUUAAUGAAUAAAGUGCCAAGAACUAGUAAUACUAAAAAAAAUUAACCGGCCGCAAUUUAGAUAAUAACUAGUGGUACCUUUCCUAUCAUCAAACAUUGAGGGGUGGCCGCCAAGGCUCUUAUUCUAUUCCCAUAAUUAGAUAGGUGUAAAAUUUCUAUCACGAUAUUAGUAGAAGUAUAAAUUUGACAAGUUGUGGUACGGGUAGAAUUUCCUCCCAAACACAGAGGUAUAAAUUUAGAUUUUAUUACAAUAGAACAGAAAUAGUUAGUUCCAACAGAUUUCAGAAAUAGAUUUCAAAUUGUAUGUAUAUCAAUAAACAUCUAAUUGCAAAGAUAUAUGUGUUAGAAAAUAAAAUAAAAAUAAAACUAGCUGGAUAUAUAUCAUCAGUCAUAUUACUGACCGUAAUAAAUAAAGAAUGUUUUUCUACUGAGGGUUCCUACAUUUUAUUUAAAAUGCAGUAACAAAUUUUGUAAUAUUGUAAAACUCAUUUACAAUAUUAUAAAAGUCAUUCCCACAUUUUAAUAAAAUGUGGGAACCUUCAUUGAAAAACUUCUAAUAGAUAAAAUCCCUUAUAUUAUUAAAAUAAAAAAUAGACAUGUGCAAUGCUUGUUGCAUAUUAGAAUCUAAUAGAUAGGAAAAAGGAUAUCUACGCCCCCAAAGUUUGGGGAAACAAUCACUAAGACCCCAAUGUUUUCAAUAAGGGAUACCUAGAUCCCCUUUUGAUACAAUAUUCUUUAACUUUAUUGACCUAAAAAAUUUGACUCCAAUGUUUUAUAUAAAUAGAAAUAUAAUAAUAUAAAUAUAAUAGUGUAAAAAUUUUAAAACUGCUGUACCGUACAUCCGCCUUGGCCGUAUUAAGAUCCUUAUAAUAAAUACAAAUAUAUUAUCUACUUCAUCAAAAUAAAUAUAGUAUUUUACAUUUUUAAAAUUAUUUAACUUUUCAAAUUAUUUUAAUAUUAUAACUCUACUGAAAAAUUAAAUUAUUUAUAUUAUAUUCUUAUUUAUUAAAAAUAUUAAAAUCAGUUUCUUCUAAUGAUCAUAUUUAAAGGGUAUUAUGAUUAAAAAAAGAAUACUUUUUGAAAUUUUGAAGAUAUACAUAACUAUUUUUAAUCUUAGGAUGUAGUUGACUUUUUUAAUCACAACAAUGCUAUAAUUAAAAUCAGGACAUCAAUACCAUAAUUAAACAUGAAUUAUAUAAAUAAAACAUAAGACAUGUAAAUUUAACAUAAAACUUGUACAUUGAGAUUAAAUAUAAAUAAUAAGACAUAAAUUAUCAAAAUAGAACAUAACAGUUGUAAGUGGAAGGUAAAAUAAAUAAAUCAACACAGGAAUGAUAAAUUUGUAUAUAUUAGUAAAUAAAACAAAAACUUACAAAUGUAACAUAAAACUUAUAAAUCAACAUUAAGUGUAAAAUAAAACAUAAAUUGUGUACAUGAAACAUAAAACUUAUAAAUGAAAGGUAAAACAAGUAAAUCAAUAUAUGAUGUACAAUGAUUGUGUAAGGUACAUUUCUGAGGUCAUAAAUUGAGCUACAUAUAUCCUUUUUCGAUGUAUAAUAUACCAUUUCGAAGCUUACAAUAAGAAGAAUCUAGCCCAAAACGGAGCUAAACAUUUCACUUCUUUCUUGUUCAUUUUCUAGUUUUAAGUUUUUUUCCUAAUUUUUCUAAUUUUUCUAGGAUUUUUAUCUUUUUUCUAGAACCUAGAUUUGAGUGCCGUUCAUUUUCCUUUUCUUAUUUUGAUGAGGAGAAUUUUAUUAUGAAAUAAUAUUUUAGAUUUGCCUAUUUUGAUAGAAUCAAGAUAUUUAGUGUUAUUAUACAAAUGGGUGUAAAACCUUAGUUUGUACUAUUCAGAAUUAUUUAAUAACCUUCUGUCAUGACCCAACCUAGAUCGAGCAAGAUAUUAUUCGUUUUGGGCCUUAAUAAGGCCUGCACGGUUUUUUUUCCUGGGGGUUUAAGGACAGAAGCUCCCGGUCUGAACCCCGUCACUCGACUUAUGGAGGCAUGUGUGUGCCAAGGGAAUAGGGGGCAGUGGAGAGAUAAAUUCUUCUUAUAUGUAACACCCUAGGCGAAUUCCAUAUCGGCAAAAGCACGGGAGAGAUGUUAGGUUUAUAAGGGGUGAUCCAUACCUUAAUUAGUAAGAAGCGUUUUAGGGUGUAUGGGUGCCCCAGGGAUAAAACUGUACGGGCCUUGUUAAGGCCUAAAACAAACAAUAUCUUGUCAGGUCUGGGUUGGAUCAUGACAUUAUGGUAUUAGAGCAACUUCGCGUGUCCUCUUGAGCAAUGGUGGGGCAAACCUCAUUAAGGACGCUGAGUUCCUAAGGGGGGUGUAUGUAACACCCUAGGAAAAUCCCACAUCGGCAAAGCACGAGAGACAUGUCAGGUUUAUAAGGGGUGAUCCACACCUUAAUUAGCAAGACACGUUUUGGGGUAUAUGGGCACCUCAGGAACAAAACCGUGCGGGCCUUGUUAAGGCUCAACGCAGACAAUAUCUUGUCAGGUCUGGGUUAGGUCAUGACACCUUCUUUAUUCAUAAACUUUGUUUCAACUAUCUUCAACCCUUUUACACUUCCGUUUCAUCAAUAUAAUAUUGGUAAAUUGAUGUAUUAUUAAUAAAUAAAACAAAAACUUAUAAAACUUAUAAAUUGAUAUUACGUGUAAAAUAAAAUAUAAAUGAUGCAAUUAGAAGGUAAAAAAAUAAGUUAACAUAUAAGUGACAAAUUGGUGUAUCAAUGGUAAACAAAUUAAAAACUCACAAAUAUGACAUAAAACUUGUUAAUCAACAACAUGUAUAAGACAAAACAUAAAAGUAAAUUAAACAUAAGACUUAUAAAUGGAAGGUAAAAUAAUUAAAUUAACAUAAGAAUGAUAAAUUGAUGUAUUAGUGGUAAACAAAACAAAAACUAACCAAUGUAACAUAAAACCUGUAAGUCAACAUUAAGUGUAAAAUAAAAUGUAAAUUAUGUAACAAAAUAUGAGACUUGUACAUGGAGGGUAAAAUAAGUAAAUUACUGUAAGAGUAGUAAAUUGGUGUAUUAUUUGUAAAUAAAAUAAAAAGUAAUAAAUAUAACAUAAAACUUAUAAAUUAACAUUAAGUGUAAAAUAAAAUAUUAAUUACAUAAAUGGAAUAUAAGACUUGUAAAUGUGGGGUAAAAUAAGUAAAUUAACAUAAGAAUAGUAAAUUGGUAAACAAAAUAAAAACUAAUAAAUAUAACAUGAAGCUUGCAAAUCAAUACUUAAUGCAAAAUAAAACAUAAAUUAUGUAAAUGGAACAUAUAACUUAUAAAUAGAAUGUAAAAUAAGUAAAUUAAUAUAAGAGUUAUUUGAAAAAAAUAAAAAUAAACUUACAAAUGUAAAUUAGAAAGUCAUUAGAAUAACGAUUACCUUAUAUAUUUAUUGAUUUUAUUUCUAAUUUGAAUAAUGAUAAUUUUGAAUUUAUGUAAUAUAUUUGAUGAUUUAUUUGAAAUUUUAUUAAGAAUAGAAUUUAUCUCAAAAUUAGAUUUUAAAAACUAUUAUUUUCAUGUUUUCUAAAUUGAUUGUAAGAAGACAUGAUUUUGCAUCAUUCUAAAUCUUCUCGAUAGCAACCCUAAAUAAUCUUUAAGUACAAGUAGAAGUAAAGUUUGAAACUACAUCAAAUAUGUAUAAAAUUAGAAACUAUGUCCAAUUUUAUAGAUAUAACAUAUAUGUCUAAUAAUAUAAUAAUAUCCUUUUAUUUUCUUUUUGGCAUGAUCCAUAUCAAGAAAAAUAAUUUUUCUUAAUUAAUAUGUGCAGUAAACAAAUACUAUGAUAGAAAAUUUAAAAAAAAUUAUAAAUGCACUGGAUGAAUAUAGAAUUUAUAUUUAUAACAAUUCAAUAAAACUUAUUCCAAUUAUUUUCAAUGCAAUUUUUUAUUUUCAAUCAUGAGAGAGCUUUUUCUUUGCUUGAUAAAUUAAAUAAAUAAACUAUUUUUUGCAUAAUUAAAGUUUAAUGUUGAUUUACAAAUUUUAUGUUAUUUUUAUAAGUGUUUGUUUUGUUUGUAAUUCUAAAAUACCAAUUUACCAUUCUUAUAUUAAUUUAUUUAUUCUAUUUUUUAACUAUUUUUAUAUAUAAUUUAUAAAAUUUAUAUUUAUCACGGUAUUAAUGCCGUAAUAUUUUAAUCAUGGUAUUAUAAAAUUUUCUUGUAAUCUUUAUAUACUAAAUAAAUUACUUAAUAUGGGGACCAUGAGGAUAUAGAAUUAUUAUCUGGACUGUGCUGAAUACAAAGAAUUAAUAUUUGGCAAGUACGUUACUCUCAAUUAUUCGGAUAGAGACUGACAUGUUAAUAAUUUUCUUUACAUCAACCACAAAUGUCUCAAUAAUUUAUUCUAUAACAUUUGUCUUUGGGCUCAUUACGUCGGCUCCACAUUACUUGUCAUUAUGGCUUGGAUUAACUUUUGAAUGGGCCUAGGUACGUGUGUCUCAACUAAUCAACAAGUACCAUCACCAGUAACAUUAGUGCUGCCAAUUUUCCAAAGUUUGAAAUAUAACGUUCUAGCUGCCAGUUUUGACAAUUUAGUACGUAAGCUUACAACUCUAUUUUGUCUUUGUACACUUUCUAAUUGUAAUAGUAUCAAAGGAAUUGUAACUGCACUCUACUUAAAUUUAUCUAUUUUCAUUUUUUGUGCUAUCACCUUGAAACAACUGAAAGCCUCCAAGUGGGCCGUGUGCCCAAUUUUUUUUGUUAAGCCAAGCACGGCUCAUGGCACGAGCCCUCGCGUGAUGUGCUCGGGCCGUACCCAAAAAAGACUUAUUAAUUUUUUUUCCUUCAAGUCCACGUGUUUUUUUAAACCCACAGACUUGGCGUAGUUUUUUUAAGCUCAUGUACCUAAUGUGCUUUUCCAAACUCAUUAGCCCAUUUAAUAAUAAUAACAACAACAACAAUAAUAAUCAUUUGUAUUAACUAUUAAGAGAACAAUUAACAUUUUAUUAUCAGUUUAUCACAAUUUCGCAACUAUUAAGUAUUUAAUUUCACAAUUACCAAUUCAAUUAUAACACAACAAUAUUAUUUGAACUACACUUAAGCAAAUUACACCUAAUUUUUAUUUGAACUAUUAAUAUUAUAAUUGGACUUGAACUCCAUUGAAUGAAAAUACAAUUUUUAAUUUUAUGUUUUUGUGUAUAAAUAAAAAAAUAAAAAAAUAUUCCGUUCAUAAUUUUAUUUUUUUGUAUAUAAAUAUGAAAAAUAUUUUAUUCACAAAUCACAAUUCACAAAUCACAAAUCACAAAUCACAAAUGAAACAUAUCUCCGUUAACUAAGUUACGAUUUCAUAAAUGAAAUAUUAAUUGUCAUAAAAUUUUGAUAUAUGAUUUAUAAAAUCGUGAUAGUUAUAAUUUUAUUUAUUAAAAUUAUGAUAUUUAUUUAUUUAUUUAAUAAAUGAUAAACAUAAAACAAUUAGAAUUUUUUUUAAAUCUAAGACUUAAAUUAAUUUCAAUUUUUAAUUUUAUGUUUUUGUGUAUAAAUAAAAAAAUAAAAAAAUAUUCCGUUCAUAAUUUUAUUUUUUUGUAUAUAAAUAUGAAAAAUAUUUUAUUCACAAAUCACAAUUCACAAAUCACAAAUCACAAAUCACAAAUGAAACAUAUCUCCGUUAACUAAGUUACGAUUUCAUAAAUGAAAUAUUAAUUGUCAUAAAAUUUUGAUAUAUGAUUUAUAAAAUCGUGAUAGUUAUAAUUUUAUUUAUUAAAAUUAUGAUAUUUAUUUAUUUAUUUAAUAAAUGAUAAACAUAAAACAAUUAGAAUUUUUUUUAAAUCUAAGACUUAAAUUAAUUUAAUAAAAUCUAUUAAAAUUUUAAUUUUAAAAUAUUUGUAAAAUCAUAACAUUUAUUUUUACUUUUUAUUAAAAAAUUACUUUAAUAUAGUUUGGUUCACGUGCUAUUGAUGGCUCACGGACCGCGUGUUAGCCUACUAAUGAAACAUGUUUAUUACGUGACUUUUUGCGUGUCUUGCUUUUAAGCCACACGUACCUAAAAAUUUGAGCCCUACCCGGCCACGUGUGUGCCAUGCUGUGCAAUUUACCUUGCCGAAACGUGCUAAUACCGUGCCGUACUGUAUGGACAUGUACCGCUCGGCCCGUUGAGCACCUUUAUUGAUAGCACAACGUUAUUUUUCUUAUUAUUUAUAACAAUUCAAUCUAAAAAAGACCAAAAAAAAAGAAAAAAGCUUACUCAAUAUAAGGAAAUUUUGCAACUGCUAUCAAAUUUUACACCUGCUGCCACUCGAGAAAUUUUAGUGGUAGCAGCCAUGGACAUUCUUGGUUCGUCUCAAACAAGUACUGUCGCAGCAAUUUUAAUCACUCUUUUAAUCAUUCUAUACACCUCGUUGUCAGUUUCAAGAAAUUUGCUUAGAAAAUACACAAGCAAGAAGAAGAGGGGAGCACCAGAAGCUGGGGGAGCAUGGCCUGUGAUUGGCCAUCUACACCUCUUAGGAGGGCCAGAACCUCCUCACAGGGUGUUGGGCUGCAUGGCUGACAAGUAUGGACCAAUCUUCACAAUCAAGAUGGGCAUAAAUCGAGCAUUAGUUGUGAGUAAUUGGGAGAUGGCUAAAGAGUGUCUUACUACACACGAC
rnacentral:lncRNA from 1 species